UAAACCAAAACCUACUACAUCGAGUUCAAGAGAAUUUCAUCUUACAAGCAGGAAAUUAUUUAUAUUUAGAUAUAUGAUAUAUAUUAUUUAUUUCAGUUAAUUCGGUUAAUUAUCCAAUUUCAAACCGAAUUAACCAAUAACUGAACUUCCAAAAAAUCAUUAAUCGACCUCCGACCAAAUUAGAUCGGUUAAUCGAUUGAUUAACUGAAUUAGAUUGGUUCGAUCGUUUAAUUCAAUUUUAAUCAAAAUUUGAACACUUGUACAUGCAAUUUAUUUCUAAUUUCAAUGAGCUGCGGGAGAGACUAAUUAGGCAUAUAUAAUUAGAUCUCAAAUAAUUUAUAAUUAGUUUUUAGCUUUUCACCUAUCAAUUAUAAACUUAUUUAGUUACAAAGUCAUUACACUAUAGUAUUAUAAUUUAAAUCUCCCUAAUUACAUACCAUUAUAAAGGCUACUUAAUAAGUACUCAUUUAAUGGCAUUGUCUUAAGUGUGUUACCCUCAUAAGAUAUCAUUAUUCUCUUUAGGAUAAAUUUGUUUUUCUAACAUGAUGCUAUUUUAUCUCAUGGUAACCGUUACAUCUCACUUCAUGAAAAGUCAAUUAUUAUCGAAUAGUAAUCAAGCCAUUUAUCAUAAAGGCAAAUGACAUGUGACCAUGUUUACUUUUUAUCUAUCAUGUAAUGCCGAUAAAAGAAUAUCAUUUACCCAUUAGUUGGACUAUGAAUUCAACUAUUGUGAAUGAUGCUACAUAGUACAGAAGUCGUAUACCGAACAUACAAGCUUUCGAUUCCUUAUCUAUUUGAACUCAAGCUUUUACUUACAUUAAAGCAUACAAGUCACACAUACAUAGCCCAUCAUCCACUCAAGACUAAGGUAUGUCACAAUAUGAACGUCACAAGUGAAUAAACCCAUAAAUGGAUCUAUGAUCUAUUAUACUAGGGUUCUAUCCGAUAUACUAUCAGUUUAGUCAGUUACUUCGAUAUCUCUAUCUUCUAGGAGUCAUUUACUGUAGUGUUCAAGACAAAGCAUCCCCCUAAUUAGACUUGAUAGAUGACAUGUUAGUUUUUCAAAUCCAUUUGCUCAUUUUCUAUUAGGCUAAGGACAUGUUUAGGUUUAUCUAGAAAUAUAAGUUAUCAUUUCGUAUUACAAUUUGACCAUUUUAUAUCGUUUAAUAUUAGUUAAAUGUUACAUAACCAGUGAGCCAAUAUUUUCUUUCAUUUUUCUUUGCAUAUAAAAACAUUGAGGACAGUUUACAAAUGAUAUUAAUGUAAUUAAUGGUUUUUUUUAUUAAACCAAUUUGUUCAUAAAAUACAAGUAUACAAAAUGAAUAUAGUAAACUUAAGGUAUUAGAUCCAAUACUCAUCCACAACCUUUUUGCUUCCUUCAAAUUCCCAAUCUCUCUUACAAUGGCAUGGUCAACUUGGAGGAUCACUUGUCCCAUUACAACAACAAUAUAAAUAACCUCAUCACCUCUGAUGUUGUCUAAUGCAGGGCUUUUAUAUGACUCUCUUUUCCAUCCACUCAUUUGACCAAUUGGUCAGGUUAUUUAUGAAUAGAUUUUUCCCAACAAGACUCUCUAGGAAUCUCCCGCUUACAUCAUAUCCAUCCAUCAAAGAGAGAAUGAGUCUCAUCGUGACUUUUUGAGAAUAUUUAAUUUGUGGCCAACACCACACACCAGUUUUUGAAGGGCUUCAUAUUAGUAAUCAUUUGGAUAGAUUGUCCAUUUUAUAUGAUAUGACAUAUUAUUUUUCUAAAGGUGAUGAAAUGGAAGACUGUCGUGCCAAACUAUCUAUUCUUACACCCUAUAGUUCUAAUCCUCCGUGAAAUUCCUCCUCUCUACACUGAUACUAGCCCCAAUAGAGGACUCAUCCUUCGAUAGGUGAUAGGAUUCAAAUAGUAUAACCUUCCACGUCAAAGAGAUCACUUAAUGGUAUAUACUGUUGAUAACCCUCGUUCUCAUCUCAAAAAUGACGAAUCCAAAAAAUGAGUAAGAUAUUUAUGUAAACUAUUUUGGCACAUUAUGGUAGUAUAAUCCACCACCCUGUUGACUUACUCACAAGUUAGAGUAAUGGUGCAUACUAGCAUAAAAGUAUUUGUCCGUUAGUGGUAGCUAAUGACUUAAUUUCAGGGCGUCAUUAAGUGAUGAAAGAGUAAGCUCUAGCGUUUUGGUUCAGCACAAAGAGCCUACCAAGUGCAUGGGAAUAUAGUACGAGACUUAAUUGUCUUUAAAGCCAUACCAUGUGCGAGGCACUGCCAAAGUAUAGUACACUCGAUUGGUUUGAGCAGCGUUCAAGUUGGUUCUUGUGACAAGAUUAAUUAAGAGUCAAUUGAAUUGACUUGACCCCUCCAUGACUAGUCAAAAAAUAACAAAGAUCUUCUUCAGAUUCUCUUUACCUUCCCCAGAUUUUGUGGAAAAUUAAGAGAUUUGGGUUAGGUAAGCAUCUCCACUUGUCAAAGUCCAUAGUAGGGGGACAUGAGUUUAUAUCUAAUGAAGGGGAAGACAUUCCAGAUAACUUACCUUUCUAUUCUACAUUCUAAUCCUUCUUUCUAACCUAAAUGAUCUCUUUUCAUCGUUAAGUUAGAGUUAAGAUUUUGCUUAAUCAGUGGAUAAGUCAACCUUUUGGUAAGUUUUAUAGCCUUAUAUGUUAUGAUUGUUGAAGAGUAAGAAUGUUAAAAAGGUGUAAGAAUAGUAGGGUGUGAGUGGAAAGCCCUGCAUGAGGGUCCUAUAUAUUUGAAAUGUUUGUAAAUUAUCUAUAAGUUGGGAUUUUAAUGAAAAUUUCUUGAUAUUUGAAGUAAUUACUACUGCUAGAUUGGGAAGGACAAUUGAAACUGAAGCUCCAAACUGAGGUAAAGGUAGGUCUCUGGUGAGUCUCUAGACUUGACUUUUGCAUGUUAUUUUAAAAUGAUUCCUUGUAUGGUUGAUGUCCAAAUAGAUGAACAUAUCUUCUUAAGGAGUUGCAGUAUGUAUGUAUAUGAGUUUGUUUCUGAGAAGUCUCUUUAUGUAUGUACUGAAAUGUACGAUGUACUACAUGAAAAUGACAAUGUAUGGUAAGCAUGUAUGGGAAUUUAUGUGUGGGGAAAGUAUGAUUCUGUUAAGAGUAUGAAUGAAUUUAUGUAAAUAUGUCCAUUAUGCUAAUUAGUGAUGCAUGAUAAAGUAUGGUUGGUGAAAAGGAGGUUCAGACAGAGUGUUGGGAAUUAUGGGAUAUGAUAAUGGACCAUACAGUGGUGUUUUGGUGACGUCCGUUGGGAUAAUAAACUCAAGAAAAGGCUAGUGAGGCAUAUAUGUGUAAAGACCAUAACCAUGACACAUUCUAAAAAUGGUGGAUAAGCUACUUUUGUCUACUAGGGUUUCUGUGUGUCUUGGAGGUAAUGAUGGGCAAACCUCAAGUGAUGCUAAGUUUAGGAAAAUCCAUAUUAUCAAACACAAAAGUUUGUAUGGUGCCUUGGUGGCAAGCCAAAUCGAGCCUUUGAGACGAGUAAUCUGUAAAGCCUUUUUGGUGAAUUAUCUUAAAGGCCUUUAUGGCGUAUUAUUCGGAAAGCCUUUGUAGUGGGUAAUUUGUAAAAUCUUUACGGCAAAUUAUCUGAAUGGCCUUUAUGGCAUAUUAUUUGGGAAGCCUUUGUAGCGAGUAAUUUGUAAAGCCUUUGUGGUGAAUUAUUUGAAUGGCAUUUGUAGUGUAUUAUUCAGAAAGCAUUAGUAGUGAAGUUACCUAUAAAGCUUUAGUGGCAAAUUAUCUGAAAAGCCUAAGUGAUGUAUUAUUCAAAAAGCCUUAGUGACAAAGUUAUAUGUAAAGCCUUUGUGGCGAAUUAUCUGAAAGGCCUAUAUGGCGUAUUAUUCGAAAAGCCUUAGUGGUGAAGUCAUUUGGGAAGCUAUUGUGGCGAGUCAUCUGGAAAAAGUGUAUAUAGAAUUCUAUAACGUCUAAGUAUGAGAGGUUAUUCCGCCUUUAUGACGAGAUCUGGGUAUGCCUUUAUGGCAUUUUCUGAAAGAGUUCUCAGCAGCGUACCCAACUAAUGAAUCCUUCAUGGGAACUCGCCAAGAGAGGGAGUUGACAUAUCUGAAAUUAUGAACGGGGUAAGUGCCCGCCAAACCUGGAAGUUCUCACGUUAUAUAUUGAAGUCAUCUGGGAUUCUAUUAGAUAAUCUAAACAUUGCAUUCAUCAGAAUAAGUUUGCUGUCUAGAUUGACUUAAAGAUAUAGUGUGACUAGAAUUCUUUCAGCUGCUAGAGCUAGUGUAAUAAUCUGCUAAGAGUGGUAUCUGCAUGUAUAAAAUUCAGAGAAAUAUAUCCAAAUUCUAUCUUCAAAACAAAUAGGACCAGCAUUAAGGUGUAAAGCUUGUAAUCCUCUUGUGGGGCCGAGUGUGUAUAAAGUGGUUAACUGUAAUAUUAGUUGAGUCUAAGAAUUAGAAAAAUAUCUGCCAAGGUCUAAAAAGAAGCACCAAAUCCUUAAGUUCAGGAAUUUUAUAGCAUCUUUUAAAGGAAGGCCUCAUGAUCAUUAUAUUGGUCCUUGAGAAAGCAUAUGACAAAUUAGAAUUGAGCCCUAUCGAAAUGGUCCUCGUUCAUUUUAACUUCCCCUCUAAAUGGACUGAACUUAUCCUAAGAUGAAUUUCCUACACCAAAACAAUUGUACUCCUCAAUGGAUUGCGUUUAAAGAGCUUUCUAGCCUUUAGAAGAAUUAGACAAGAGGACCCCUUUAUCCCUUUACAUCUUUAUUCUUUUCAUAGAAUAUUUAAAUCUCAAGAUUUGGAAUGCAGUGGAGAAAAAAGAAUGGUACCCAAUUUGCACAAACAUAGGUGGUCCACUACUCUUCCAAUUCUUCUUUAUAGAUGAUGUUAUUCUACUUUCCCGUACGAAUAAGAAAUCUACUAUCCCAUUAAAAAAAGUUUUGGAUUCCUUUAUGAUAAAGUCAUGUCAAUCCGUUAAUUCUCAUAAUUUAGAGUAGUGUUCUUAAAAAACACUAGCCAUGAAAAGAAAGAUUGGAUCAUUAAUGAAAUUAAUAUGAAUGAGUCAAGUAAUAUUAGACGUUAUUUGGGUUUCGCCAUUCAUUCUGAAAGAGUAAGCAAGAGAGUUUAUGAAUUUGUGCUUGAUAAAAUCCAAAACAGACUUUAUACUUGGAAAUCUAAUCUUCUCUCACUAGUUGGUAGGCUCACCCUUAUUUAGGCUACAAUGGGAGUUAUCCCUAUGUAUUAUAUGCAAGGUAGCUUACUCUUGGUGCCAAUUUGGAAAAAAUUCGAUCAACUUAAUAGGAACUUAUUUUGUGGAGGAUCAGAGGCAAAGAAAGUUUGCAUUUAGUUAAAUAGGAAAAUGUUAUGAAGCCAAAAGAGAAAUAUGGACUUGACAUAAGAAAAAUAAAGUAAAAGAAUCAAGCAUAAGUCAUUAAACUUAGUUAGAGUUUAAUUUAAGAAAGAUACAACCUAUGGGAUAAAGUCCUUAUAAAGUAUUUAGAAACCCUAAAUCCAAGCCACCAUAAUCAAAAUACCUUGCCAACUUGGAUAGCCCUUCAAAAAGUGAACCACUUCAUUAAGGAAGCCAUACAAUAGGGUAUUAGUGAUGGGAGAGCCAUUAAAUUUUGGCGGGAUAAUUGGUUGGGUCAUGGUCCAUUAAGACAUGAUCAAUAGCCCCUUAAAUCGAGAGAAGGACUGUAUCUAUUUUGUUGAAAUGUGAAUGAAAUGGUAGAGCCAGGGGCUUGAGGCUUUUUCUUUCCAAGUCUCACAUACCACCCUAAACCUUUUUAUUUGCACCCUAAUUUUUUCCUAGAUGAAAGCUAAGACAUUUUUUGGUGGUACUUCUCAAAUUCGAGCUACUUUUCCCUUAAAGGAGCAAAUCAUAAUUGGAAAAAUUAUGGAAAUUAAGGUUCUCACCCAAGCUAUAAUUGUUCAUUUGGAAAUGUUUUUGGAAAGUUCUCUCAACAAAAUACUUCCUUAUUCAUCGUGGCCUCAACCUACAUGAGCUAAGAGAAUGUCCUUUUUGCAGGAGUUAGAUCGAAAUGCCGAACAUAUUUUAAGAUUUUGCCCUAUUUCCAAUAACUAUUGGAACUUAACCAAAGGUUCCUCCUUUUUAGGACACAAUUGCUACAAGGACUAGGUAAGUUGGUUGGGUAGUAAUUUAAAUGAGAAGUAAUGGUUCCCUAAGCUAAAAAUUCCUUGGUUGAUAAUUUUCACAUUUUUUAUGGGAAUUUUCAUUGUUGAGAAACAAUUUCAUCUUCAACAAACAACUUAGGUUUGAUCUCCUCUUAACCAAGAUUACAUUAAAGGUUGGGGAGUAUUUUGCAAUUGUUGUAAACAUCAAGAGAAUCGUAGAACCAUAGUCCAUACCUAUUAUAUGGCAAAAGCUGAAAGUAGAUUUUUUAAAAAUUAAUACAAAUGGCUCAACUUUGAGUAACUUAGGACAGGCUAGUGCUGGAACCUUAAUCAAAGAUCAUAAUGGUGAUUAGAUUGUAGCUUCUUUUAGACAUAUUCCAAGGACUUCGAGUGUUCAAGCGGAGCUAUGAGUGCUUUGCGAUGGACUAAUUAUUGCUUUAUCUAGAAACUUGUUGAACAUUGAAAUUGAAAUUGAUGAUUCUUCUAUUAUAAGCUUAGUUAAAAUUUCUAAUCAUGUCAACCAUUUGCUACAAACUCUCAUUUUGGGUUCCACAACUCUCUUACCCCGCUUCCGGCAAUAGAUGUUGAAGCACAUUUUUAGGGAAGAAAAUUGUAGAGCAGACGCUAUGGCAUGGAAGAGAAGCAAUUUUCAACUGACGUCUUCCUUGGAUUUUAUUUCAUGUACUGGUUUUCUUUUUAUUUUUAAUCAAGCACCUAACGAUUUUGCUUUUAUUUUGUUGGUUGAUGCCAAUGGUAUUAUGCUAUAUUAAACCUUUGAUUAAGUGAUAAUUUAAGCUCACUCAUUUUUAUUGAUAAAAAAACUAAAACUAAAAUAAAAAUAUAUAUAUGCAAUUACUCAAAAUUAAAAUUAUGAAUUAAAUAAAAUUUAGUUUAAAUUUUUGGUAGGGAUAAUAUGUUUAGCUAAUAGCUUCCACUAGUUCAUAAAAAAUUACAGAAAAAAUCAGUGUAUAGAUUUCAACCAUUAAUGGCGAAUCCCCCAAAAUUAUAAAAAUGUAUCCUUUAACUUUUGAAAAGUUUGGCCUCCCUUUAAGCUGUUUUUUGUUCCAUAUAACAUAUGUUAACUUUUUAACUUUAAAUAUUUAUAUAAUAUAUUUUAACUUUACAAUUUUUCUCUUGGAUAAUAGUUGGUCACUUUUUAAUUUAAUAUUAAAUAUGAAUUUAGGUUAAAAUUCAUUUUGUUAACUAGUGAAAAAAAGAAGUCUCUUUUGCUAUUGCUAUUAAUGACUACUGUUAUCAACGUCUGUUCUUCAAACGCGACAUCGAGUUCAUCUUCUAAGGGUUUUUUUUUUCAUCUUUUUACUAUUUUACUAUUGCUUUUAUUGUGUUUUAAAGUUUAUAGUUUAAUUUUAUUUUUUAUUAUUAAUUUUAUUUUAUCUUUUAAGAUAUUGUAGUUAUGAAGUAAAAAACAAUUGAUUUAUUUUUAAAAAGAAAAAUACAGAGACAACACAAUCACCUUCGGAAGCGUAACAAAUUGAGGUAUGACCUUUAUUGUUUGCUCCUUUAAACUUUGAUGCUCGUCCUUCUAAAAUUCCUAGAGUUGAAGAUAAAGCAUUUGAUUUGUCGAACUUAGAACGUGAACCUGGGUUACGUAAGAAAUAUAUGAGUAUUUGGUAAAUAUGCAAGAUGAAAUUCAAAUAUCUUAUAUUAAGGUUGGACCAUAUCAACCUAUUCUUUCAGAAUAUCUCGCUCCUAAUUCAAAAAAACAUCCUUGUUGUUUUCAACCAUCAUGGUUUAAACAAUUUUCCUGGUUAGAAUAUUCACUUUCUAAAGAAGCAGUAUUUUGUUUGUCUUGUUUUCUUUUUAAUAGCAGUCUAAGUAGUAGUUUUGGAUCAAGUGCAUUUACUCAUAGUGGCUUUAGUAAUUGGAAAAGGGUACACAAUAGAUACAAUUGUGCUUUUUUAACAUAUAUGGGAAAAGAUCUGAAUUCACUACAUAACAAUGCACAACGAGCUUAUGUAGAUUUAAUGAAUCAAGCUCAACAUAUUGAAGUAUCACUUGAUAGAAAAACAACAAAAAAUUGCAACUAAUCGUCUACGUCUAAAAACUAGUAUAGAUGUUGUUUGAUGGUUGGCAUUUUAAUAGUGUGCUUUUAGAUGUCAUGAUGAAAGCUCGAGAUCAAAAAAUUUUGGGAAUUUUCUUGAAUUGUUAUCACUAUUAGCAUCUUAUGAUGAGAAAGUUGAAGAUGUUUUGAAAAGUGCUCCACAAAAUGCUAGUCAUACUUCUUCAACAAUACAAAAAGAGAUAUUGCAAAUUUAUGCCAGUAGAGUUCAUAAUGUAAUUCAUGAAAAAAUUGUUAAAGAGUUCAGCAUUAUAAAUGACAAUUGUUUUGAGAUUUGUUGAUAAACAAAGACUGGUGAAAGAACAAUUUUCUGAUAUAGUCCUUAUUAAAGAUAUUGCAUCAUUGACUUUGAAGAAUAUGAUUUUUAAUGUUCUCUUGCAACAUGGUUUUGACAUACAAAAUAUCCAAGGUCAAGGCUAUGACGGACCAAGCAAUAUGCAUGGGGAAUUUAACGACUUGCAAGCUUUGAUUUUGAAUGAUUGAUGAUAUGCUUAUUAUGUUCACUGUUUUGCUUAUCGUCUUCAGUUGCAACAGCUAGAGAAGUAUUUGAAAAGUAUCAAUUUUUUAAAAACUUGUUUAAUAUUGUUAGUAUUUCUUCUUCUUUUUCCCAAUGACAUGAUGAAUUAUAAAAAUCCCAAGUAGCUGAAAUAACUUGUUAGCUAUCCAUAAAUGAGUUAGCAAAUGGAAUAGGAAUGAAUCAGAUUGGCACUUUACAAUGUCCUGGUGAGACUGGAUGGAGUUCUCAUUUACUAGUUUACUAACGAUGUACAAUGCUACUAGCACGGUUCUUAAAAAUCUAAAAAAUACUGCUCCUAACUAUACUCAGCGUAGAGAUGCUCAUUAUGCAUAUAAUAGAUUCAGAUCUUUUGAGUUUAUUUUUAUUUUCCAUAUGAAGGAAGUUUUAGGGGUUACUGAUAAUCUUUUUGAAGCUUUGUAACGUCGUUCUCAAGAUAUAUUAAAUGUCAUGAUUUUAGUUUCGACAACAAAAUAUUUAAUUCAAAAGUUGAGAGAUGAUGGAUGGGAUAAAUUGUUGAAAAUUUGAUAUCUUUUUAUGAAACUUGGGAGUUGGAUUUUCAAGAUAUGAAUGCUCAAUACAUUGUGGGUCAUUGUCGUAACAAGGAAGAUGUUACAAUGGAGCCUCAUUAUUGAGUGGGUAUAUUUUUUGCUACAAUAGAUACUCAUUUGCAAUAAUUGAAGAGUAGAUUUAAUGAACAUGUUAUCGAGCUUCUCACUCUUACUAUAGCUUUAGAUCCCAAGGAGUUUUUCAAGUUAUUUGAUAUUGAUAAAAUUUGCAUUCUUGUAAACAAGUUCUAUCUAGAAGAUUUUUCUCAACAAUAGAUAGAACGUAUCCCAUAUGAGUUGAAGCAUUAUGAACUUGAUAUAUGUAAGCUUCUUGAUUUGAAAAAAAUAUCAGCAUUUUUUGAACUUUGUAGAAGCUUAGUUGAGAGUGGAAAGUUAGCCAUGUACCUACUCGUUGAUAGAUUGAUUGGUCUUAUGUUGACUCUUCCAGUUUCAACCGAAUCCUUAGAACAUACUUUUUCUGCUAUGAAGAUUGUGAAGACUCGACUUCGUAGCAAGAUGGAAGAUGAUUUUUUGAGAAUUCUUUAGUUGUGUACAUUGAGAAAGAAAUUGCAAAAAAAAUUAAUGUAAACGAAAUAAUUGAUGAUUUUAGUGAUAUUAAGGAUCGAGGAGUGCAAAUCAAAUCAAAUAAAAUUUUAAAUUUCUUUUUAGCUUAUUUUUAUUUAUUAAAUUAUUUUUCUUUAAUUAGUUUUUAUUCUUAAAAAUAUUAUUAUUGUUCAUUAUAACGGCCCUCCUCUUGAAAUUUUCUGACUUUACCCCUGCCAACCAUCAUUCAUUUUUUCUAGUUGGUCUUUUCUAAUUUUUCGAUUAAAAUGUUACAUAGUUAUACAUAAUUCGAAAAUAGAUUUUUAAAUCCGAAAGUAGAAUGAUUAAAUUUCAAAUGUAAGACUUAGAGUAUUGUUGAGAAAUUUUCCAUUGUGUCUUAUUGAAGGGAACAAUCGAAUAUUUAUAUACAUAGUUAUUGUUCAUGGAAUUGAUGUUCUUAGUAGACUCUAUGCAUGCGAGACACGUGUAUUGUUCAGGUCUAUCUGUUGGACUUCGUGGCCCCCCACAUGUGAAAUCUUUGGGUGUAUGCGAACUGGAACCGCGAACUCCCCUUACGAGCACCCUUUGACAUAUGCGAACUGAGACCGUAAACUCCCUUUGUUGACCUCCCACUAUAAGACUUGCAUGCAUCCAUAUGAUAGGGCCCAGUCAAAUCGCGGGUAAAUGACUCGAACCUUAUCUGAUUUUCAAGUUGAUGAUCGUAAAUACAUAACAAGUAUAUUUUAAUUUUUAAAUUUGUACUUUAUAAUUUCACAUAAAUAAAAAAAGUCAACCCAAUACAAAACAUGGGUAAACCAUAAUAGUGUAAAAUUACAAAGAUGGCAAGCAAAGGUGAGAGGGACCAUUGAUGUGGAUGCUUUGCAUGCAUGUGAUAUGUUUUCCUUUUUCUUUUUAGAGUUUAAAUUUUGGAGAAAGAGUAGGGGUUUAGGGUCUCAUAUCUUUUAGGGACCACCUCAAAUCCCUAAUAUAUAUAUAUAUGUAAUUCAUUAUUGUUUUAGGAAUUUAAUUUCAUCAAACCCCUAGAUUAUGGGCAGCAGUGGAUUGUCGGUGGAUCCAAGCAUGCUCCCUUCACAUGCUAAAAGCUUUAAAAUAUCCUCCUUACCUAAAACCAUACAUUAUACAUAGAAAAGUGGGAAUAUUUUCAGGCUUAUAAUUGGGGCCGGGGCCUCAACUUUCUUCUUGCCAAUAAAACAAUUGUAAUGGUGAGGGGUUAGUAAGAUUUAAUUGUGUUUUACCUAAAAUCUACCUGUCCAAGAACCUCAACUUGUUUGGCAGCAUUGUUUUAAUAAUUAUGUUUUAGGAAAUUUAUUAUUAUUAGUUGAUAUUGAAUUUAAUGAAACUAAAGUAGAAUGUUUUUUUACAUAUAUGACUACCGACUACAAAUCAUGCCCUAUCUUUUAAAACACAAACCCAUAUUAAUAUUUUAUUUAUGAAGUUAAAAAAAUACAUAAAAUUAUAAAUUUUAAAGAAUUAUCAUUAUAAUUUUAUAACUUGAGGUUGUUAAAUUGUAUGAAAAGUUAUGCCCCCUUGGAUCAACAAUAAUAUCAAAUAUAAAUGAAUGGUUAUGGGAUGCUGAUAUUAUCUUACUCCCCCACAUCACAUAAAUCAUAUAUUCUCUAGGGACAGAAUUAGGUUUAGGUAUCUUUUCCAACGGGGACAGCCUAAGCCAUUUUUUUAGAUCACCAUGGGAAGGUGCUUUCAUGUUUUUUUAAAUCGCACAAAUAUCUCAACAUCCCAUUUACAACUUCAACAUUUUAUAUUUUAAUUUCCUUAUUUCUAAUAUUUGUAUUUAGUAAAAGUAGACUUAAUUUAAUAAAUAAAUUUAAAGGCUAAAAUUUAGUAAUUUAAAAAAUAUGAGAUUGAAGUAAAAGCAGCAAACACCUUUGGAGACUAAUAAUAAAUUUUAACCUCCAAUUGUCUUGGUCAAGAAAAGUUGAUUAAAAAACAAGAAAAACUUUUACAACAUAAGAAAGGGAUGAAUUAUUGUCACAAUUUCCAACAAACCUAAUUUGCUUAAACUUCUCCAUCUGACAUGAUUAAAUAAAACAGACAAAACCUUUUUGUUUUUUGGUGAUUAAAUUAUGGUUGAGACACCCAAAUCCCUGCCUGCGAACAAAACAAUGUCAAAACUGUGAUUUUCAGCUAAACAAACCAAAAUCAUGUUUGCUUACACUUCUCACUUCCUAACAGUAGGGCGUUAAAAUGGGGUUUGGGACUGCAAAACGACACAUCAACCAUACCAAAGAAAACUAUGCAUCAACGGCAAUGCCAUACCAAAAUCUUUCAUCUUUCUUUUACCACCUAAAUCUAUGAGGAGAUAAUACAAAUUUUAAGAAUUUUCUUUCAAGUUCUGUUAAAGUGUGUAUUUGCUCAAUACAUAAUAUUAAUUGUUGAUGUCUUGUAGCGGCUAAUGUUAAUUAGUGUCAUAUAUGCAUAAAAAUAGUUGUAAUAUGCAUAUCACUUCUUCUUGAAUUAAGUAAAUAAAUAUAUAAAAAAAAUUAAUCUUAAAAUAAUCCUUGGGCCUUGUCAAAUGCCUCCUGUUUUAAGGAAGUAAUAUGAGUUUUUAUAACAAACCAAAAACCUAUCUUAAAUUUGGCUCCUGUUUUUAAGGAAGUAAUAAUGGGUUUUUAAGACACUUGAUUUCUUACUUUUUUUCUUCUUUUAAAUCAAAUAUUGAAUGAAAUGUUUUGAAUUUUUAUUUUUUAAAUUAUUUAUUGGUGUGAUUUAUAAGAUAAAUAGUUUCAUUUAAACAUGAAAUAUAUGUGGGUUAUGUCAAUAUUAUAAAAUUUUAAUGUUUUAAUAAACACUAAUUUUUUACCUAAUAAUUAAAUUGUAUUAAAUUAGUUUGGAUAAUUUUUUUAAAAUUACACAAAUAAUAUUGUUACAAAUGUAAAAAAUAAUUAUCAAUAAAUUAUUUUUUUAAAAUUACUUGAAAUUAGAAUCGAUUAAAUUUAUAAUAUUUGAUAAUAAAAUAUAUUUAAAGCAAUAAGUAAUACUAAUCAAAGAAAUGGAAGUUUAAUUUUUUUAAGAAAAAUUAAAAUUUAGAAAUAUAAAUUGAAAAAAAAAAUCACAAAUUUAAAAUGUUAGCAUAUAGUUUAAAGUACAUUUCUUUCUGUAAAAACAUGAAUUGAAAAAAAUAAAUUUAAAAAUGAUAUAAAUAAAAAUCUCAAAUACGAGCAUAUUGUCUAAAUUUAUUUCAAAAAUAAAAUUAUAUUAUUUUUCAAAAAAGUAUAAAUAUCUAUAAAUCAAUUUCAUUUAAUCAUAUUUGGAAUUUAAUAAUUUCAUUUAUAUAAUUUUAUAGAUUCCUUUAUUAUAAUUAUAUUUAGAACUUAACCUUAUAUUAAUUUGAUUUAAUUUAGUAACAUACUAAAUUUAAUAAAUAAAAUAAGUUUCAAUUAAUUUAAGAUGAAAAACAUAUGUUAUUUAUUAAUUAACCUUUUAGAACCUUUAUGAGGCAAAAUAUUAUUUUUAAAGUGUUAGUUAAAUUGAAAUGAAAAUAUUGAAUAACAAGGAAGAGAUCAUUUUCAAAAUUUAUAAUUAAUGUGAAAGUAAAGAUAAUUAUUUGGUAAAUUUCAUAUAUUUAAAUAAAUAUAAAAUAAGAAGAACCGAGGUUAUAAUUUAAACCGGUAAAAGGACUUAUGGAAAUAAGAGGAAAAUAGGAGAGGACUUCAAUUCUAAUUUCUCCAUAAUUCCAACUAUAAGUUUUCACUCAUUUUCACCGCUACUAUAAUAUCCAUUAAUUUAUAAAUUUAUUUUUUUUAAUAUUAUGUAACAAUUCGUAUUAAUUUUAAAAUUUUAUAUUAAAAUAAGUAUACAACAAUAAAAAAAAGCAUAAAAAUUAUAUUAAAUAGUUAGCAAAAUUAAGAAAGAUUAAAGUGGAAUGAAAUUAUUACUAAAACCAUCAAGUUAUUUUGAUUGAAUCAUGUUAACUAUAAAUAGAUUAAGGGCUGAAUCAUAAGAAUAAUUACUUAAAUUAAUUUAGGGAUGCAACUGCAUACCAUUUAGAAAAAUAUAGGGACUUAAGACAGAAUUAACCAGAAACAAUUUCUUACAUAGCAUUUAGAAGGAAUUAAAUAAUAAUGAAAAAUAUAUAUACGUUGUUGAAUAAAAAAGGAAAAUGUUAAAAUAAUAAAGAAUAAGAGACCAAAAAGGAAAUUUAAAUAGUGAGCUGGUGGGCUUGACAAAGACAUUGAAUCUGAAGAUAUAGAUUAGAGGUUUAAUUACGACAUUAAUGCAUGCAUAUCCAAGUAAGGUAGACUCCUUAUCUUCUUCAUUAGUCAAUCAAAUCUGUUUAAAACAUGCAAUGAUAAGGUUUAAGAGUCAACCAAUUAUUGUUCUCGGGUGUAUUGGCAUAGCCAAUACACCCCUAAUCGGUGGGCCCCACUUAUUACGCCUUUAAUCCGUUGUUUGGUUCAAUGUAUUACUAUUACGGGGCUAAACCAUUACUGACCUAAUCGGUGAAAUUCACCGAUUUCUAAUCCGUCCCUUUUGCUCAGUUUAGGUACUGCUUCACUUUACCCUCCCUGUUUUACCCUCUGCCUCUUCUGUUCCCCUUUGCCUCUUCUGUUUCGCCCGAUUUGCUCCCUCCGUUUCUUUUCUUUUCUUUUCUUUGCUUUGCUUUCUCCUUUGCUUUCUUCCUUUGCUUUGCUUUCUCCAGUCGACAUCUUCCUUUGCUUUCUCCAGUUUUCUCCUACCCAGCACCUUCUUCAAGGUUCCAAGUUCUUUUUGUUUCUCCUUUAAUUUCCGUUGUAUUGAAUUCCAUGGAUGUUAUUUUAAUUUGGAUUUAAUUAUGCCUAUUGAGGUUGUUUUUGCUCUUGAGAAUCAUAAAAAAUAAUUGGGUCAUUUUUAUUUCAGUUUCUUUUGUGUUCUUUUAUUUCAGAAUCAUAAAAAAUAUUGAGGGUAGAAAACCGCCGUACUGCAAAAGCAGAAGAUGUAUCUACGUAAAGCUGCCGUUAGUUUGCUAAGGAGAGUUCGCCUCCCUUCCCACUCCAUCUUCACUUCUGUUUCUCCUCCAACAACUUCAAUGGCUAUCGCCACUCCGUUGCCGUUCUCUCCUUCCAGUAUGUUUCUCAAUUUUUAAAUUUUUGUGAUCAUUUUUGUUAAUUUCUCUAUUUUUCCUGAAUCCAAUUUCGAUUCAGUGACGCUACAUUGAAUCUGAUCAAGCCCGUAUUAUCCUUUUAAAUUUGAGAGAGUUCCAAUUCUUAGAUUAGAAUGCUAAUUAUUUGGAUUAUUCCCCAAAUUGUUCAUCAUUUUUUUGUUUAUUAUGUACCAGUGUUUGUUACUUCUGCUAUUUACUUGCUUUAGGAACCAAAAAGAAAAAAAAAAGUGAAUUUGGGUACAAAAGCAAACAAAUUUAGAAAAUGUAAAACUUUUUGGCAACAAAAUUCUUGAGUUUACUUUUGAUAGUAGAAAUAGUGUUGCCUUUUAGCCAUGUUCAUGUUUGUUGACUUCCCUCGGAAAAAACGAAGAGGAAAGAGUGAACCGAGUAGCAUAAGUUACAAGUUAACUCUGUCUGUAAUGGUCUUUCAUGUUUAGCUGUUAUAUUAUCUAGUUCUUCCUGAUAUAAUCGAUUUUGAUAUUAUUGCAGGAAAAAUCCAAUUCCCCAAUCAAUUUGGUAAUGGAAGUUCAUGGAGUACGACUUAUGUUGAUCCUCCUAUAUGGACUAUACUAUCUAUUCAAGCUGGUAUAACUUCUCACUUUCUCUCUCAUCAAAUUUUCUUUCUUACCUACUAUACUAGUCUUUAUCUCUGCACUGUAUCUUUUUUCUUUUGUCAUUUCUACUGAAGCUCUUGUACUCCUCCUCAAUCACACCCUCAAACAUUUAAAAAGGACUCAGCUUUUCUUCUUUCUUUUUUUCAAUGGGGUUCUCGGUUGAUAAGCUACAAUAUUACUGCCUUCUAUUGACUUGUUGCAUUAGAUCAUAUAGGGAGUAUUUCUAUGUUCUGUAAAUCCUCUUAUUCCCUUUUGGAUAUCUGGGCAUCAUUUUAAUAUGAUUCCUGAAAAUUCAAGCACUUUCUUAAUGAUUUUUUGGGUUAGAAAUAGAACUGCAAAAAAGUUUAAUGUUUUCUCCCUUUCUUAUCGAAGUGUUUUGAUUUUUUUGGUCUUUCACAAUUCAAAAUGUUGUUGAAUUUCUUUGUAGCAUAUGUAGAAUUUUUUGGUGUUUCAAUCUAGAAUUUCUUAACCUAUAUUGUUGUCUGCCCUCCUCUUUCUCAUAUGUCUAAUAUAUUUGAGAAAAAUGGUUUUUACUAUUUUCUAUUGAAGAGUAUUUGUUUCGAAUUAUGCACUGGAUAGAUAUGCAAACAAAGAAUAUUGGCAUCUUGAUAUCACGUUUUAACCUUCUUGUUCUUUGAGUUGAUCAAAGAUUUGUCUAAUGUAUUAAGUUUUUUUCAGGAAAUUGUAGUUUGCAUUGAUUUUUGCUGGAGAUGGUUUCCAUAUCUGAUUCUAGUUUGGUUAUGGCUACCAAAUUUGGUGCUCAUACUAUUGAUCAUAAGUUUGAUCUGAUGUAUGCAAAGUGUGCAUUUAUGCAUUGGUAUGUCGGUGAGGGUAUGGAGGAAGGUGAGUUUUCUGAAGCUAGAGAAGACUUGGCUGCUCUUGAGAAAGAUUAUGAAGAAGUGGGCUUGGAAUCUAGUGAAGGAGAUGAAGAUGAAGGGGAUGAGUACUAGGCUAGAAUAUAGAGUAAAAUCUGCCAAUGGACUUAUUGGUCAGCUAAUAAAAAUGGGUUAUUUUGUUUGUCUUCUCUAUUGUAUCAAACUUCAAAACAUGUUUUAAUGGAUCUUUGCUUAAUUUCAUAUGCUCUAACUUGCAGUAAUUUCAUAUGCUUCAAAAAGUAUGCGUGCUUCAAAAAUGGGUUCUUUUGUUUGUAUUCUCUAUUGUAGUAUCAAACUUCAAAACAUGUUUUAAUGGAUCUUUGCUUAAUUGUUUUAUUAAAUUAUAUAAGAAUAUUAAUUAUUAAUAAUUUUAUUAAAUUAUAUAUUUUAAUUAUAAUAUAUUUAAUAAUAAUUAUGUUAAUUUAUAUUUUAUAGUAUCAUAUAUUAUGAUUUGAGUAAAUUCAUAUAAGAAUAUUAAUUUUAAGAAUUUUAUUAAAUUAUAUAUUUUAAUUAUAAUAUAUUUAAUAAUAAUUAUGUUAAUUUAUAUUUUAUAGUAUCAUAUAUUAUGAUUUGAGUAAAUUCAUAUAAGAAUAUUAAUUAUUAAGAAUUUUAUUAAAUUAUAUAUUUUAAUUAUAAUAUAUUUAAUAAUAAUUAUGUUUAAAUAUGAUUAAAUUAUUUAUUAUUGAUAUUAAUAAUCUUAUUAAAAUUUAAAUAACAAUAACAAUAAUCAUUUACCAAAACAAAUUUAUGCUAAGGGUAUUCUAGUCAUUUUAGUUUUUUCCAUUAUGCUAUUACACCUCUAUUCCAUUCAACCAAACACAAGAUUACUAUUACGCCUCUAUUCCAUUACAUUCAACCAAACAGUUGAUUUGCUAUUAUACCUCUAUUCCAUUACACCUCUAAUCCAAUACAGCGAACCAAACGUGCCCUUAGUUUUUUUUUUUUACUUAUAAAAAACUUAAUUUGGAUUUAAAAGGUAUAUGUGAAUUGAGGUUAGUAAAUUUUGAUUUAAUUCAAAAAAUUGAAUAAAAUUAAAUUUUGAGUCAAUCAAAUUGAAUUAUGCGAUUUUUUCGACUCAAUUCAAAUAAAUAAUUCAAGUUCAGGUCGAGUUGAAUAUUAUAAUUCGAAUAACAGAUUUGUGUAAAUAUCUCUUUGAUUUUUGUCAAUUUUGAAUAUGAGCAAAUUGAUUUCUCUAAUAAAAUUACAAAAUAAUUCAAAAUAAUUUUAAAAAAUUUAAAUAUUUAUAAAAAAUCUAAAAUUUAUAUAUUUUUAAAAAAUAUAACGUUUGUAAAGAAUAUAUAAAGAAAUUUAAAAUUUUUCUAAAGUAAUAGUUUUGGAAUUAAUGAUUCAAGCCUAUCAUACUAAAAUAUCUACUUCUUCUUCUUUUCUUAUUUUGCUAUGAAUAAGUUUUCAAAUAUAUAUAAUUUUAAAUUUAUGUGUUCUAACAUGAAGUUAAUUAUACUAUAACAUGAUAUUAAUUUGAAAUGUUUAAUUUUUAAUUUAAUUCCAACAAUUUCAUUUGAUCUAAUUUGACUUGACUUGAAUUUCAUUUCACUCAACUUGAUUUGAAAAGACUUCAAAUCAAAUUAGAAUGAUAAAAUAUGACUUAUUAACUCGAAAUUUUUUCAUUCGGUUCAGUCGAAUGCCCACUCAAACUAGAAGAAUACUCAAAUUCCAAAGAUUAAGUAGAGAGAUAGAAAAUAAAUUACACGUACAAACAUCACAAGACGACAUAUACCUAAACUAAACUGGAGAGAAAACAAGAAACUACAGAAUCCUUGGACGCAACCUCCAUAGAUAAAGACACCAUACCACAAAGGCCCUACUUACAUAACGAUUCAUUUCAUGUCCAUUACUCUUACUAUCAUAAUAACUAUAAAUCCUUUACUCAAACAUCAAAAAGCGUCUUCCAAGUAUAAAUAAAUUCCAAUUUUACAGUGUUGAGAGUCUAUGUAAGAUUUUGGCACUUAAUUUGUGUCUUCAUUUGUAUUUUAAAAAGUAUUAUAAUUUAUAAUUAUGUUACUCAAAUUAAAUUUAAGAAUUUUUCCGAAAUAAAAAAAAACCAUAAACAAGUUUAGGAAAGUGUCAUGUGUCCUUUAUUUAUUAAUUUUUACUUUUUAAUGUAAUUUAAAGAUACUUGACAGCUUUUUAAUAUCACUUGUAGAGUUUUUUAACAUUUUCUUUUUCAAGUUACAAGUAUCUUUACAAAUAAAACAUAUCCAAAUAACCAUAACUAAGAGCUAACCAUUAUAAUAAACAAUUGAAUUGAAAAUUGAAAUACAUCCACACGUAGGUAAGAACAAAUCUGGACAGGAUCUCAUCCAUGGUUUAAAUGGGAUGAGACUCAAACUUAAGAUCUCAAAGUUCCUAGUGUCGCAACCUUGUUGUUAGUGUUGAUUUGCUUAUCAAUUAUAUGUUAAGUUGUAACUAAAGUAACAACAGAAAGAGAGAAGUAACAAUAAUGCAUAAGAGAAUGGGUUAUGGACUUCGUAACCCUUUCCUAUAUCUACGAGGCCUAAUUACAAGUUAUUAUUUAAGUCCACUCAACAGCCUUAUCCAAGCUUUAAAAUAAGCAUGUUUAGAGCCAUCAAGUAUAGGGGUCUUAACUCGAGAUACAUUCCAUCUCUAAACAAAUCAACAAUAGGAUCCUCACCUAAUUCAUUAGGUGUCUAGCUUUGAUAUUGUCUAUUACUGUUGAGUUACUUGCCAGUCAUAUGUUAAGUUGAAACUAAAGUAACAAUUGAAGAAGAAAAGUAACAACAAUGCAAACAAGAAUCAGUUAUGCAUUUUAGAAUUUUUCAUACGUGUGUGGGCCUUAUCUAGGGAGUAAUCCAUUAUGAAUCAACAAUACAAGUUGUGAUCUAAGUUCAAGUUACUUAUCAAGUUGCAACCUCACACCUAUACAUUCAAUUAAGAUCACUCUCCAACUAAGAUUUUUUCCCUUGAAAAUGGAAAUAAUUUGUUGCAUAACAGUGGUUUCUCUAAUGGACAAGUAAGUGGUGUUUCUAAAUCGUACAUAAUUCUAAUGACAAAGUCUUCAAUAUACAGGCUUUAGUAGACUCGUACUAUUCCAGCUAAUGCGGUCAAAAUAUGCUUCUGUGAUUGUGUCUAAUAUCCCGUUACAAAAUGACAUUCUGCACCUGGUAGUAUUAACACUCACCAUUAAGCCAACCUUCAUUGGCUUAAUUUAAUUUUUUCCUAAAAAAGCAUAUAUUAAAAAGUAAUAUGCUCCCAUACCCUAUUUACAUACGUGUUGUUUGGCUAAUCUAUGAUGUCCAAAGUCUUAUCUGUUAUUUAAGGAAGGAAAUUAGACGUAGCUUAAUAAUAAUUGCAGAGGCGUUAUAGCCACAAAGGGAACCUUCCAUCUUCCCUGUGAGUUAAGUAAUUGUCGUUUCUGUGGCUGCAAAGCAGGGAUGGAAGACAAACCAAAACUUGGAUUCAGUUCAGAUAUAUUAAUUAAUUUUCAUUCAUUUAUGAUGUUAGUCCUCCAAACAGAUAUUCAAAGGGAUGUCCAUAAGAUUUGGUUGGUUAUGUGUCACAUUUAUUUUAUUUAAUGUUUGAUCACUAUAAGUAGAUAUAUUUCUUUUUCCAUGCAUGUGAAAAUCUUGGGGAUAUUUUUUAUUUUGGAUACACAAAUUUAUUUUAUUUUAUGGGGAUAUAUUUCUUUUAAUUUUUUAAAUAGUCAAUCCAAGUAUUUUAGGUCCCCAUAUUUAUUUGUUUUAAAAACAUAUUUAUAUUUUUAUCUAUUAUUUAAUAAUUUAUAGUAUAGUAUAGUAGUAUAUAAUACUAUCAUCGAUUUAGUUUAUAUAUGUUAUAAAUUACAUAAUAUAUAAAAAUAUUAAAAGUUUAUAAAAUGGGUCCGGUCGAGCCAAGUUCAAAUGUUAAAUGUUCAAGCUGGAGCUCGACUCAUAUUUUAAAUGGGUCUAAAUUUUUUAUCCAAGCCCAUUUUUUAAACUUUAUAUUUUUGCGUAGGCUUUCCCAAAUUUUAAAUUUGAGCGGAUUACCCGACCCAUAAACAAGUCCCUCUCCCCAUCUAUCUCUCCAUCUUCUCCCCUUUUGUCAAAGCUCUGCACCAUUUUCUUAGAGGUUCCAAAAUGUUGAACAGUCGUUAAUGCUAAACAAGUCCCAAAAACUGUAUGAUUAGUUGGAGAAGAUGAGGAUUACAAGUUGGCAAGGAUGGAAUAGUAAAAAUGUGAAUGUAGCAGGAAAAGAAAGUAUGAAGUAGAUGUUUUGAGAGUGUAUGAUGCCGUUGCCUAAAACUAAAACAAACUUGUCAAUAUUUUAAUUAUAGCAAUUGAGAUCCUAGGGUAGCAAAAUAAGGAUUAUCCAACUGCGUGAAAUAUCUUAGGAAAAUUUUGAAAAUUAUAUAAACUAAAUUAUAAUAUUAAUAUAUAGUGUAAAUUAAGUCAAAUUAACCUCUGAUGAAUUAAAAUUUAUUUUCUGUUCGGUGAAUGCAAUAUGACAAAUACAAAAUCAACACAAAUUUUACAAAUUACAUUAGCAUUAAUAAUUUCUAAACCAAUAUGCUGAAUUUCUAAUAAUAUCUAAAAUUAUAAAAACAACCAAUUUUAAUUCCUUCAAAUAUUUAUAUCAAUUAACCUUUAAAAUUUAUUAUCCUAUGAAUAAGGAAAAUUUGAUAAAUUCACAUGUUUAAUAAUAUGGUUUCAAAUCCACAUGUUUUUCUUCUUUGGAUUUUUUAUUUUUCUAGGUUCGGAAAUUUAAAUUUGAAUUUUUUGAGUUUAGAUUUUCUCUCAGUUGGAUGGGCUCCAAUGGAUUUAAAUAAUUUUAAAUUUUAUAGAUUAUUAAUAAUUUAAUUUCGAAUAUAAUAAUUUAUUUUACUUUUAUACGAUCACAACACAAUUUAAAUUUAACUUAUAAAUUUUAAAUAUUUAAUAAUUUUUAUAUAAAACAAUUAAAUUGUUAGUUGUAUGUAAAAUUUAUUAUUAUAUGAUAUGCAUAUAAAUUGAUGAAAUUAUCUUUUAUUAUUUGUUAUUAUAUUAUAUUGACAAUUGAACAACUUUUAUAUUUCUUAUUUAUAAACUUAAUACUUAUAUUUUAAAGUAUUUAUUCUAAAUAUAUUGUACUAAACCCAAACCUAAAUAAUAUACCCAUUAUCCAAAGUCUAAAUAAACUAAUUAUAGCCCAAAUCUAAAAUCCAAAAUAAAAAGAAAUUAAACCCAAUUCAAAAUCUAAUUUAAUAAAAAUAAUAUUUUGUCAAGAUAUUUAAAUUUUAACAAUAUUUUAUGUAUUACUAAUUAUAGAUAUGUAUUGUAAUAUACUAAAUUACACAUAACUAUUGAUACUAUAUCUUUUACUAUAAUCUAGAAUAUAAUAGUUGUUAUAUACGUAUUAAUAGUUUUAGUCAUAGUUAUGUACUAUAUUAUUAUAUUAUGUAAUAUAUAUCAUCUAUUAUAUUUGACUAUUAAAAUCGACUUAAAGACCAAAUCUGGCCAAUUCAAGCAAAUUAAUUGGAUAUGCAAUUUUGAUUUUGGAUCAAUUAAUAGUUACAUAUGUAUUAAUAGCUUUAAAUUGUAUUAUCACAUUAUAUAAUACUAUAUCACAUACUAUAAUACUAAUACAUAAUAUAUUAAUUAUUAAUUAUUAUUGUUUAUUAUUAUAUUGAUUGAAAUAUACUCUAAGUUCCUAUGCUCUUCAUGCAUGUGGAAGUUAAUCUUCCUAAUAUAUUAUGUAAUGCUGUAUCAUAACAUAUAUUAUAUAUUAUAUUAAUAGUUUAUAUAUAUACACAUUAAUAAUUAAACAUUAUAAUAUUAUGUAAUACUUAUAUAUUUUAUUAUAAUAUAUAAUAUAAUAAUAGAAACAUAUAUAUAUACUAACAGUUUUAGUAAUUGUUACAUCCCAUAUUAUUAUAUUAUCGAAUAGUAUAUCAUCUAUUAUAGUUAGCGAUUAAAAUUGACUUAACUAACUAAAUCAAGUUAAUUCAAACAAAACGGUUGGUAAAUUUAGUUUUAAUUUUGGAGCAAUUAAUAAUUAUAUACAUGUAUUAAUAGUUUUAAAAUAAAUUGUUAUAUUAUAUAAUACUAAAUCACAUACUAUAAUAUUAGGGGUUAAUAUUUGGUACACUGGUAAUAUACUCUUUUUUAUUCCACAAGUAGCCUUAAAAAUUUUCAUCCGUCUCUUUUUUUUUUAAAAAAAAUUAUUAUACCCCUAUAGGACACUUGUUAACCCCUGUAAAGCCUAAAAACUCCACUAACAAUGUACCAAAUAUUUUCCCUAAUAUUAGUACAUAAUAUGCUUGAAGUAUCCGUACAUUUGAAAGUUAACACUCUUACUAUGUUAUAUAAUGCUAUAUAAUAUAUUAGUAUCAUAUAUAUAUAUGUAUUAAUAGUUUUAGUAAUAAUUAUAUGCUAUAUUAUUAUAUAAUGUAAUAGUAUAUAAUUUAUUAUAGCUAGCAAUUAAAACCGACCUAAUUAACCAAAACGGGCCAAUUCAAUCAAAUUAGUUGGUAAAUUUAAUUUUUCGAUUUGGUUUGGAUGGUUUCAAUUUAAGGUUUAGUUAGACAAUUUGUUAGUUUGGUGUUGUUGGUUUGGAUUUAGUUCUGAAAUUCAAAACUAUUUAAAUCAAAUUAAUUAACUUUACAUUUAUUAAAUAUAAUAUGUAUUUAAACCCAAAUUCAAACCCCAACCCAAACAUAAGUCCAAUAUAAAUUUAUUCAAAACCCCAAUUUAAAAAAACCCAAUCCAAAAUAAAAAUUAAUAUAAAGAUAAUAAUAUUAAUAAAAAUAAAUAUUAAUAAAAACAUUAAACAUUAAUCAAAUGAAAAAAAAUACUAAAACUUAAGUUCCCAAAUCAUUACAAUUAGAUUUAUUAGUAAUGUUAUCAGCUCAAUCAUUUGUGUUAAGUAUAACACUAGUUAUUAUAUCAUUAAAUUAAUAUAUUAUGUCAUAAUAUAUUUUAUAUUAUCAUUAAAUUUAAAUUUUAUAGAUUUUAAUAAUUAUUAAAUUUAUAUUUAUUAUACAUAUAUAAUUAUAGUAUUAAAAAUAUAUUAUAUUCAAUUUAUGUUUUUAAAAUUUUAUUUCACUUUAUAAUUUAACAUAAAAAUUUAUUAUAAAUUACAUUUUCUAUUAAUAAAAUAUUAAUAUAAAUAUGUAAUACUUAUUAAUACAUUUUCAUAAAAUAAAUAAUUAUUAUUUUAUUUAUAUUUUAAGUAAUAUCAUAAAAUUAUAUUAAUUAUUACUAUCUAUUUUGGCUGUUCAAUUGUAAAUCCGGGCUUUGGGGUGGAUUUAUCUCUAGCUUAGGCCUGAUCGAUCUUAAACUUGGACUCUUACAAACUUGGGCUUUGGUUCCGUCAAGCUCGAAUUUUUUUGGUCUCAGGCUUUCGCAAACUCGGAUCAUUACAGGCUCAGAUUGGCGCGGGUGAGCUUUUGGGCUCAAAUCUAUUUUUCUAGCUCUACCUCCGAAUCCUCGACAUCCUUUUAUAUUGGUUGGUGUUAGUAACAAGAUAGUCAGUACCGCACCAAUAGGCGCACAAUUUUUCUAUAGGAAUUGGUGCAUACAAGUACCACUUUAUUUUAAUGUAUGAUUUUAGAUUUUUCGAUAUUUUAAAAAAAAAUAGUAUAUGUAUACAAAAUUUUUUACAAGUAUCACGUCUAGAUAUAUGUUUCGUAGUAAGAUUGGCCAGUUGAUAUCAAGCGAAUCCCGAUCCAAGACACUGGCAAGCAAUUAAACAUAUACUUAAGUACUUAUGAAAAAUGAGGGAUUAUAUGCUUGUGUAUUCUAGAGAGGAUCUUACUCCUAUUGGUUAUACCAAUUUUGAUUUCCAACAAUGUUAGGGUUCGAGGAAAUCAACAUUGGGUUAUGUAUUUGUCCUAGGCAGCAAGUCCAUAGUAUGGAGAAGUGUCAAGCAAAGCUAUACUAUUGACUCCACUAUGGAAGCCGAAUAUUUGGCUGCUUUUGAGACAGCAAAAGAAUGAAUAUAGCUUCGAAAAUUCCUUAUAGAUCUUGUAGUUGUUCUUAGUAUGGAAAAAGUUGUAACACCUUCUACUUGACCUGAUCGACCGAAUUCAAGUAUUAGGUAUUACUUCCUAAAAUAAAUGUGACCUCGACUCCUUUAUUCGCCUAUUUACUUGAUGAGCAAUGACUUAAUACAAGUUUCUACUUUUGUUUACUGAAUUACCUCAUUAUUUUCUUAUUAUGAAUGUCUCCUUGUAUAGUGUAAAAUCAGAUUUACAAUUUGAAUAAUACAAUUAUUAUAUUCGCCUUAUUUCUAUCAUUAUACAGAGUAUUACAUCUUGAGUGCAGACUUAAACUUCACCAUAAGGCUUAUCGUAUAAACUCAUAUGUUAUCUUUACUUCUAACUAGUCAUAUGGCUUUCUUAGUUUUUCCUUUGGUGUGGAUCGUAACUUCGCCGCAAUCUUUCUCUUCUUUUAUGCAUAUCAGCACGGGCUACCACUCCUCUGGUGUAGCCUUGGCAUCGUCUCUCAUCUCUCAUCUUUCUAACAUAUCCUACAAUCAGAGGCAUGUAUAACAAGUUCACAAGAACUUAGUAAGGCAUUGUCAUACACUGAUUCAUCAUUUCAUAUUGAAUAUAAAACGUCACAAUUUACUUUAUGAAACCAUAUAGGUACUCAUUAAGCUCAGCAAGAAUAUGUAUAAAAUCUCUACCUACCUUGUAUCUUUUCAUAUUUUGUAAACAAUCUUACCUCAGCCAGUAUCAUUCAACUUAAUUAUGGUGUUGAACUCACGACACACCUUCAUUUCACCUUUCAUUUUGUGGAUAGGGUAGACUUCAUCUGUUUCUUAGCAUGAAACAUUUUUUGCCAAUCUUUCAUUAUUGCAAGCUCGAUAGCUGUACUUCCAUUUAGAGUUAAAAAAUUCAACGUUGCCUUUGAUUUGUUGUCUUGAGGUUGUUUUACGGACUGCACCAUUAAGGCGUAUCCUUGACUUCAAAUAUAUUAUUUUAUUCUUAGAAGCUUUAGACACUCGCUUGAUAAAAAAAUAGCCAUGAAGGCAUCCACUUGACUUAGAUAGCCACAGAGGAAUACAUACAUCAUUAGAUAGCCACAAGGGCGUUCAGAUACAUACAAUAGACUUUAUCAUGAAUGUGCCUUUAAUAGAUUCAGCCACAAGGGCUCAUAUAACAUUUAUCACCAUAAAGGCUCAUGUAUAACAGAGAACAGCCACAAAGGCUUCCACAUUUCGGCAAAUGGCAUUUUCGAUGAUAGGGUUUUCCUAAAAUCAACAUCUUGAGGUUUACCUCUCAUCGCUUGGUACUCGCCCAACCUUCCUUUAUCUUUUCCCCACAUAACACCAUAGUCCUAAACUAGGUCUUACACUAUGUGGUUCUCUUAUCCUCAUAUGAUGCCAUAGCAACCAUGACUAGGUCUUACACUAUAUGGUUUUCACUUCCCUAUAUGAUGCUAUAGUCCCAGACUAGGUCUUAUACUAUAUGGUCUUCUUGCCAUGGCCAUGGUAUUUCCUUAUCAAAAGUCGUGUUUGUUGUCUCGACGGGCUUACACGUAAGCAAACUCUUUAUGCAAACUUAUGCAACUCAUGCAACUUAUGCACAUACUCCUCAUGCAGAGACUUCGUCAUGCUUUCAAGUGUGUUUAUGCAUGUACAUAAUUACUUAUAGCGAAUAGAAACAUACUUUCAGAUGUGUUCUUUACGCUUACACUUUCUUCUGUGGGAUAGAAACAUAUCAUCAAGCUUACGCCUUCUUUACACAUUCAUCAUACUCACACUUUUCUCUUCAUAGUAGUGGCACAUUGUCAUUUAGGCAUCAAGCCACACAUGCAAGCUUAUCAGAUAUACAUUUUCACAACAUAUUACACAAGUAUAAUUCACGUUUUGUUUCACAGAUUAGUCUUUUAACACGAAGAAAUAAACAUAUAAACAUACAUGAAACAUAUAGAAAAGAGUUCAUGGGGCACUCAAAAAACUCUAACCAUAUCCUCACAUAAUCUUCACAUUUUCCUCACCUUUUACGACUUCAAAUAUUAGAUCUGGGCUUUUAUCGAGUAGACCAGUAGCCCUUAAAUGUUAAACCACAAAAAAUUCAUCAAGACCAUUCCAUAUAGUUCAUUUCCUUUCUCAUUUAAACAUCAGAAUCGUACAACAAAGCUUUACAAUUUUUAUUACUAAGCUAACCAGAUUUGCUCUUCAGUAGCAUAACGUGUAAGGUCAUGAAUCUUACAUUGACAGAGGUAUCUCAGAGUUGACCUUCUCAUUCCCGGCUCAUCUUAAAGGAUGAUAGGAUGUUUUUCUUUAUCCCAUUAGAUGGUUGACAUGCAUCUCAAUCCUUGUGACUAACUAGUUAGAUGUGUAAUAGUUGUAAAGCAACAUGUACGAGCAUACAGAUGUAUACGUAACUUAUGCCUGGGUCGUAGUCGAUCCUUCUCCGUUAGGGCGUAGUUGAUAGUUUGACUGAUCAAGAGUCGGCGCAUCACGCCUUCUUGGCAAUAACCCUAUUACUUGAGUCCACUAUGUGCUCUACUAGGUGUAACACUCUUAACCCGUAUUCGUCGCUGAAAUAGGGUUAUAGAGCAUUACCAAAAAAUUUUAACUUAAAACAUUCAAUUCAAACAUUUUAUAAAUCACAGAAAAAUUCAAUCAAACUCAUGCAUAACGUCCCUUAUUCGAGCCCUCUAGGCCUUAGAAACACUUUAGAAAUGAUUCGGGAAUAAAUCGGAAACAUUUAAAACUUUAUGGAAAAAGAUAGAAGUUUUCACACUACAGGAGUCACAUGGCUAAGAUACACGCUUUUGCCUCAGGCCGUGUGAACAUUCGAAGUAGGGGCAGAUGGCCAUUUCCCAGCCCAUGUUCGUGCCCUUGUAACUCUCUAUUUGGGUUACACGGCCAAGCCACAUGCCCAUGUGUCAGGCCGUAUAACUCUCAAAAUGGCCUCAUACGCCCAUGUACUAGACCGUGUAACUUCCUGGCUUGCAACCCUUUGAAACUUAUAGGGGACACAUGGCCAUGUCACAUGUUAGCUUGUCACACACGUCUGAGACACACACCCAUGUCUUUGGCCGUUUGGACAAGAAAAUAGCUAAAAUGAAGCCAUUUCUUUCACCCUACACAAGCAUAAACUUAGGCACUUUUGCACACAUGAUAAAGACUUCUAAAUAUGCUCAAAACCUGCAUAAAAAAAGAUCCUUGCAAUAGCCUAAAAAUCCAUACAACCAAUAUGCCAUUUAACAGUAUAUUUAGCGAAUUCAACAAGUGUUUUCUUUUUGUCUACUAAUGUAGUGCAUAUAUACGAAUGAUUCGAUCCAAGAUCAAUAAAUGUAUAUACAUUAAUAUCAAAAAGAGAAAAAAUACCCGCAAUAACAUCUGGAGCAGUAGCUUCAUCUUGAGCCCAAAUUGCAUAUGCUCUAGCUGGUGUUCUCACUUUUGACCGUUCAUUCAUCUCACUAUUCUUUCCUCAACCUGGGGUAGUAUUCCUAGCAUUCUUAAAUUGUCUACCCCUCUAACAAUUUGCUUCAGGAUUAUUUGAUUGAUUCCCGAAAUCAUUUUGCUUCUUAGGACAAUUAUGAAGAAAGUGGUCAGUAGACCCACAACGGAAACAAGCUCUCGACUUUGAUUGACACUCUUCAAAAUGUCUUUUAUUGUAUUUAUCACACACUAGAACGAUUCUCUCCACAUUCCUUACACUUCCAACACUCACUGCCGGAGCGUUGACUGACUGGAAAUUGCUUUGUCUCAGUUUCUCUUGAUUAACAAACUCUAAAGGCAUAACUGAUCGACUUGUGUCAUUUCUAAAUUUCUUCAAGGGAGAUGAUUGAGUAAGCUUGAAUGACCCUCUCUUGAUAUAAUCUCUAAUUCUUAAAUCUAACUGUUGUUUUCUUUUACAAAUCUCUUCAACCUUUUGAGUCUACUCGAAAAGUUCUACAAAUUCUCGUAACUUUAAUACUGUUACUGCCAAGCGGAUCUCAUCGUUCAACCCAUCUUCAAAUUUGAUACACAUUUCUUCCUCAUUUAACACGAUGUUACGAGCAUACUUGCUUAAUUGUACAAAUUCUCAUUCAUACUCAGCUAUAGUCUAGUUUCCUUGUUUUAAGUCGAGAAAUUCUUUCUUUUUCUGGUCGAUAAACAACCGACUAACAUACUUUUUCUUGAAUUCAUUUUGAAAGAAAUCCCAAUUAACCCGAUCAUUAGGUACUAUCGUGCUCAAAGUAUCCCACCAUAGAUACGCUUCAUCUUUCAGUAAGGACACCGCACACCUCAAACAAUAUUCAGAGGUGCACAGCAACUCCACAAAAACUCUUUUUAUGUUUAAUAGCCAAUACUUGGAUUUUAAAGAAUCAUCAUCUACCGUACCUUUGAAAUCUUCUGCUCUACAUUUCUAAAUUUUGUUUAUAGAUAUCUGAGUAACCAUUAGAGGAACAGGGUUGGUAGUAUUCAGGGGUGCCGAAGGAGGCACAAUAGGGGGUGGGGGCUGCGAGGUUGCAAGAUUUGCUUGCUUACACUCGUUGAAACAUUGGCUUGUCAUUCCCAUAAACAUAUUUUUCAUCUCAUCUCUGACAGAUUGUGGAAUAGGCACACUAUUGCUUGCCUCAGGAUUCAAAUCUUGAACAUUACUUUUAGCUUCAUUAACUAUAUCUCAUUUCGAUUCAACUGAAAUCUUAAAUCUAUAAGAAUUAAUAUGUUAAAAUGGAUCAAAAGCAUCACAUUAUCACAGGGUAUAUGUGGCAUGUAUAUACCAAACUCUACUAUGCUACGUUAGUCCUACAAUUGACUAAACUGUAGCUCUGAUACCAUUAUAUGUAACACCCCUAACUCGUAUCCGUCAUCGAAAUAGGGUUACAAAACAUUACUAAAUUUUUUUACUUAAAACAUUCAAUUUCAAACAUUUUAUAAAUCAUAGAAAAAUUCAAUCAAACUCAUGCAUAACGUCCCUUAUUCGAGCCCUCGAGGCUCUAGAAACACUUUAGAAAUAAUUCGAGACUAAAUCGGAAACAUUUAGAACUUCAUGGAAAAAGAUAGAAAUUUUCACACUAUAGGGGUCACACGGCCAUGUGGCUAGGCCGUGUGACUUACACGGCUGAGAUACAUGCCUAUGUCUUAGGCCGUGUGGACAUUCAAAGUAGGGAUGCAUGGCUGUGUCCCAACCCGUCUUCGUGCCCGUGUAACUCUCUGACUUGGGUCACACGCCAAGCCACAUGUCCAUGUGCCAGGCUGUGUAACUUUGAAAAUGCCCUCACAUGCCCAUGUGCUACGCCAUGUAACUACCUGCGUUGCAACCCUUUGAAACCUAUAGGGGACACACGGUUGUGUUGCAUGGUCGUGUGUCACACACGGGUGAGACAUACGCCCGUGUUUUUGGCCAUGUGGACAAAAAAUGGCUAAAAUAAAGCCAUUUCUUUCACCCUACACAAGCAUAAACUUAGACACUUUUGCACACAUGAUAAAGACUUCUAAAUAUGCUCAAAACCUGAAUAAAAAAGAUCCUUACAAUAGCCUAAUAAUCCAUACAACCAAUAUGCCAUUUAGGCACACCAAACAUAUACAUAAAACAUACUUAAACAUGAUCACACUUAACUAUUCAUCAACUAGUUUAUCUUCAGACCAAAUCAUUUCCUAAUUAACCACAAAGCAAACAUACCAAAUUGGUCAUAUUCAUACCAAUCCAAAAAGCAUCAAAGUGCCAAAAACACACCAACUAAUAUACCAUAUUUAUAAACCAAACAUAUCAACUUAAUUCAUCAACAAACCAAAUCUAUCCACAACAAACCAAAUCUAUCCAUAAGUGUUUACUUUCAUAGCAUUUUAUUUGCAUCAAAAGAUAUCUAUUCGUAAACUUAGUCAAGUACUUAAUCACCUAAUUUAAUAAUUCAACAUAUUAUACCAAAACAACCUAUAUAGUCAUAUAUACAUGCCAAUAUAGUCAUAUAUACAUCCACAACCCUAAAGAGAACAAGAAUUAUCAACGUCGAUGGAUAGUGUGAGUCCUGGAUUCGAUCUGUCCACAAGUCAGUGGUAUUAAUCUACAAAACAAUACACAAAAACAUAUAAGCUUACAAAUCUUAGUAAGAACAUAGUAAAUCUUUUAACUUAUCAUCAAUUAAAUGCAACUUUUAUUUUACUCGAUUGAAAUUAUCGAAGUAUAAACAGGGGCACGUUUAUGUAAUCAGGGGUACUGAGGUACAAACAGGGGCACGUAUAUGCAAUCAAUAUAAUUAACAUUAGUAUUUUAUUACAUGGUUAUAAGAUGAAAAUAUAUAUAUACAUGAAAAUUCGAUUAUACAUUCUAAAUACUAUGAACUUACAUUGACAACCAGCGCGUAGGAGUACGAUCGAGCCAAUCCGUGACUUUUGCCUUCCUUCGAUUUAUAACUGGCUGUCAUAUAUCUUGAUCUAAAUAAAUAAUUAUUUUCAAUUAAAUGUUUCAAUAAAUCUCAAUUAUUCAAUUCAAUCCACAAAUCCCUAUUUGACAAUUUCAAUAAAAUUCACUUUACAAAAAUUGUUUAUCUAACAACAAAGAUUCAUUUUAUUCCAUGAAACAUUAAAACCCUCAUGAAUAUAUUCAUGGAAAAACCCUAACCUAUUAAAUUUUUUGCGAUUUAUCCCCGGUCUAGCUAGAUUAAGUUACAAAGACUCCAAAAAAUAAAAAUCAUUAAAAAUGGGACAAAAUCACACUUAUAUGCAAGGAUUUUAUGAAGCCGAAUGGAAGAACCCUAAACAAGCUUUUCUAUUUUCAAUUUUCGGUGAAGAACACCUUUGAAGAAGAUGAGAAACUUUUGUUUUAAUUAAAUUAACCUUAAUUUACCUAUUUACAUUUUUAACCUUUAAAAAUAUGCUUAAUUACAUCAAAACCAACUCAUGAAUGUCCACUAUCUAUAAUGAUGGUCUAUUUACCAUUUAAGUAUUCAUACUUUAAGGUUCUAUAGCUAUUUAAUACAUUUAGCUACUAGAACUCUGGUUUUGCACCUUUUACGAUUUACACCUUUUUACUAAUUAAACAUGCAAACGAUAAAAUUUCUUAGCAAAAAUUUUAUACAACCUUGCUAAUACGCUGUAGAAUCUAAAAUAAUAAUAAAAUAAAUAUUUUCCAAUCAGAUUUGUAGUCUCGAAACCACUGUUCUAAUUUUACUACAAAUAGGAUGUUACACCGAGCGUCCUUUCUUAAUAGCGUCUCGCAUCAGAUUUCAUUAUAGACUAGGCACUCACAUAAACGAAAAAAGUUUUAGUGGGGCGGAUAACGCUUUAUUUACUUAUAGACAUUAGAUCUCGCCGUUCAUCAGGCCUUAUACUUAACUAAGAAAAGUUUUCCUAUCUUCUUUGCUUUGGUUUUGCUCUCCCGAAGAGAUAUAUAUAUGAUAUCUUUCUUACUUUAUACAUUUUGACUUGUCCUUGUACUUUAUGUGGACUUAAAAAAUGUCAAAUCAAUCUUUUGGUGGUUGUAAUAGGCCCAUUUUGCCCGAGCCCAAACCCAAAACCAAAACAGAAUAAUAAAUAAUAAUAAAUAAAUAAAGUCCAAAUUAACAAUCCAUUAAACAAUUCCAAAUACAGGCCCAAAUCUUGAGGCCCAAACCAAAUAAAAACCCAAAUAUAAGGCCCAAAUAAACCCCAACCUAAAUUGGCCUAAAGUCAAACCCUAGGCCACCAAGCUGCCGUUCCCAUGUGCCUCAAACACCAUCAGCAACGGCUUCCAUGCGCACCACAGCCUCCACACCUGCGAGAAGAAAAUAACAAAAAAAUAGCAAACAACGAUUGAUAGCAAAUAAUAACAGAUUACAGCAAGGAUUUUUUAUUUUCCUUUUCCUUUUCCUUUUAUUUUUAUUUAUUUUUCGGCUAUAAAGACCAGGGAAAUCGAAUGUAAAAGGGGGAUCCUUUUGAGAGGAUUAUACACGCAUAUUGUACAAAGGAGAAAGUAAUCCCAAAUCAGUUGAAAAAGGGGAUUUUUUUUUCUGAAUACACGAUGAGAAGAGAAAUAUACUGAAAAGAAAAAGGUGAUUUACUCUCUCUGCUUUUUUAUUUUUCUUUGUUACUUUAUCUUAGAAAUCUACAUAACAAAUACAAAGAAAAAAGAGAGAUCUCUUACCAAUCGAUCGGCGCCGACCUAGUCGGUGGUUGCUUCUUCGAUCCAAGGGUAGACGGAUCUUAAGGAUUCGACUAAAGCUACGACGGAGGAGGUGUGUUUGGCGCCACCUUCGCACAUAGAUCAAUCGAAGGGAAAGAGGGCGGCUAAGAGGAUUGGGAGAAAAUUUUUGAAAACUCUUUUUGUUUUAAGGAAAUAAUCAGCCAAAUGAAUGCAUUAGGGCAAAAAAAAAUAGUUUAUAUAUGUUUAAAAUGACACCAUUUUGUGCCUGAGGUCUGAACGUCUAAACGACAUCGUUUCAUGGCCUUUGACCCGCGCCUAGAUCUGACCCACAGACUGGAUCCGCGUGUUUUCUUGUUGAAGGGGUUAUUUGCGAAGUUAGUCCCUCUUCUCCUGCACCGAUCUUUAAUCAAGCCUCAAUCAUGUUUUAUUUGUUUCUACAUUUUCCCUGAGAUUUGUGCAUUGUUACGAUCUAAUCUUUAUUUGAACGCUGCGUUUUGAGAUUCAGUAUAUUUGCAUUCCAAGUCCCUACUCAUUUGUGUGCAUUUUAUUUUGAUCCUCAGUUCUGUUUUAAUGAUUUGUUUUAUUUAUAGGUUAUCCUUUCGAUUUUGUUUUUACCUCAAUUAAGUUUAGUUUAUGUUCUAUAUUUUUUAGGAUUCAUUUAUUUUUUUAACCUAUUAUUUUAACAUACUAUUUUAAACUAUUUUAUUAAUUUCAUUUUGUUUUAGUUUUUUUUAUAUUGUUGAAUUGUUUUAUUAUAUAAUUUAUUAUUUUAAAAUUUUCUCCAUGUAAUUCUAUGCUUAAACUUUUUUAUAUAAUAUUUUUCUUCAUAUAUUCAUAUUUAUAUAUAUAUAUAUAUAUUACAUUGAAUUACUUAUUUAAAUUCCUUUUCGAACAUGUUCAUAUAUUUCUUCCAUUAAAUUUAUUUAUGUAUAUAAUUUAUUUCUUUUAAGAAUCCAAUUUUGGUAUUAUAUUUUGUUUGUUUCAAAUAUUUUCCUAUAUUAUUAUAUUUUGUAUAUACAUUAUUUAUAUUAAGUUUUCAUUUCAUAUAUAUAUAUAUAUAUCAUCAUUUUUAAACCAAUAUGUUUUAUUUUAAAUUAUUUUGUAUAUCAUUUUUCUUCAAAUUUCUUCUUACAUAAUAUUUAGUUUAAUAAUCAUUCGUAAAUUAUAGGUGUCAUUAUUUUAUUCAUAUAAAUUAUUUCAAACCCUAGCAUGUGUUGUUCCUUUGUAAAUUAUCAUAUAUUUAAUCGCUUUUAAAUUGUUUAUAUUACAUCGAUUCCUAGUUUUCAUAUUGUUUUGCAUAUUGUGUGUCAUUUUUGGUUUUCACAUUGUUCCAUAUAUUAUUGUUGCAUAUUAUUUAUUUGUAUUUUUGUAUUAUUAUUAUAUCAAUUGUUAUUCAUCCAUGUUUGAGAAUUUGGUUAUAUUUUUCUUGAAUUAAUCAUAUUAUAUUGUUUGUUUGGUUAAAUGGUUAAGUAAGGUUGUGUUAUUUUCGUUCACCAAGUAUUGUAUUUUAUGCAUGUAUAUUAUCCCAUGAUUAUUAUUUUUUUCUUUUGGUUUACAAAAUGUUGCUUUAUGAUUUUCAACUCUUUAAAAUAAAUUAUUCCCUUUUAUUUCAAAAUAAAAUUAAGACAUUUUGAGCUAGUUUACAAUGGUUUAUUUAAAAAAUUUCAAAUAAGGCAAUGUUCAAUAUUUGAAAAUUCAAAGAAUCGUGCCCUACUAUGCUGGGUUUCGAUUCUUUGUUGGACUAAAUAAUUGGACAUUCUUUUGUAAUUUUCAAUGCAUAAACUUUGGAGGUCAAAAAUCAAUCGUGUUUUUAAAGGUAUGAAGAAUCGUUUCCAAUCGUGCUGGAUGUGAUGCUAUAUAUCUUUGAAACGAGAGAAUUUUGACGACCAGCUUGAACCACUUAAAUGUUUUAAAGAAACCAUAUUUCAAUUUUUUUUUCUAAAAUCUUAGACAUAAGGAUAGCACUUAAUUAAUCUGGUACCAAUUUUUGGGUGUAGUGAGGGUGCUAACCCUUCCUCAUACGUAACUGGCUCCCGAGCCCUUUUUUUUUACGUAGACCAAAAUUGAUUUAAAUGGAAUAAAAUAUUUUAUUAGGUGAUCCAAUCACACCUAAGAAAAAAGAUUGGUGGCGACUCCACACUUUAUUUUAAAAGGUCGAUCCCCGUUUUUUCCUUAAAAAAUGGUUUCGACAGUGGUAUUAUCCAAAUAUUACAAAUUCCAAGAAAAUUAAUCAAGUGUUCCAGUUGGUUCUUGACUAUUUUAGUUCUCAUUUGGUUACCUCCUAAUUAUCUUUUCCUUAAAUCUUAACCGACUCAAGGCCAACAUUACUAGAUGCACUUAUUGUUGAUAUAAACUUUCUUAUCAUAGGGUUCAUUUUCUUAUUACGGAGUCUACCAUGCCAAUAGAGGCUUUUAGGGCGAAUCCUUUAUUAUCAGGCUUACUACGUGCUUACCUAAUGUUCUCCAAUCCCUCAAAGCAUCACAGGUGAACUCACAAUGGUUUUUUAUACUAGCUCAAACACCAUUCACUUCUAACUCACCUUAUCCAACACAUUCUCUGAAUAGUAUUUAGAUACCAAGAUUCCGUCAGGCUGGAUGUUACAAAAGCUAUCACACUAUAUUGCAAUAACAGUGCGACAAUAGCUAACACCAAGGAAACUGUAAAAUGAAAGAGGACUAAGAAUAUUGAUAGAAAGUUUCACAUUAUAAAAACGACAGUGACAGAAGAAAUAAUGGAUGUAGUCAAAGUCGCAUAAGAGGACAACCUUACAGACCCAUUUAUUAGGACUCUGGUAGCUAGGAGUUUUGAGAAACAUGUAAAGGACAUGUGAUUAUGAAAUAUGACUCAUCUACUUUACUAGGGCAAGUGGAGGAUUGCUGGAUCUAGUUCCGUAAAUGUAGUAUAUUCAUUUUCUGUAUUGGUAAUUUUUUGAACAAAUUGGUUUAAGAAAAUAUCCACUGAUUACAUUAAUAGUCUUUGUAUGUUGUCCUUAAUGUUUUUGCAUGUAAAUAUUGCAAAGGAAAAUGGAAACAAAUAUUAGCUCACCGGUUAUCUAACAUUUAACUAAUACUAAACUGUAUUAUAUGGUUGAAUUGUAAUACAAAAAGACAACUUGUCUUAGUAGAUAAUCCUAAACAUAUCCUUAGUUUAAUAAAAAAUGAGCAAAUCAAUUCAAAGAAUAAUAUGCCAUCUAUCAACUCCAAUUAGGGAGAUGCUUUGUCUUGAGCAUUAGGGUGGAUAGCUCCCAAAAGAUAAAGACAUAGCUGUGACUGACUGAACUGAUAGUACAUUAAAUAAGACCCAAGUAGAAUAGAUCCUAAAUCCAUUUAUGGAUUUAUUCGCUUAUGACGUUUAUAGUGUGACAUAUCUUAAUCUUAAGUGGAUGAUGUAUGUAGUGCCCUAUACCAGACCCUAGAUGAGGAUCCAGGAAUGGCGCGUUACAAUUUUACAUCCUUUCCAUUUCUCCAAACACAAUUUGAAAAGAAGUUAGACUUCAUCAAAGCUAACUUAAGACAAUAGAAUUUUGAAAUACUAAAUCAUGAAGUAAACCAUUACAAAUCGAGACCAUAAGCUUCAUUUCAAAAGUUAGGGAAAAAAUAUAAUUUGACGAAUACAAUUUUAGUUACAAAAUAUCAUUGUUCAAAAUCCUAAGCUUAAUGCCACCCCCAUUAUCAUGCAUAACACAAAAUCAUUAGAAGUCUUACAACAAAAAUAUCUUUUGGUGUGGUCCUUGGUGAUUCAUUUACUUCUUCAAUGAUCCUGAGAAGGAAAGGUAAUGUAGUAAGAUCAUAGAACUUAGUGAGUUCUAGAGCAGACACUAAGAUAUACAUACGGUAAACAAAUCAACCUUUUCAACUUAAUGAAACACUUAGUUUCCCCAUUGGUGAAUAUUAUACACAAGAAGAAUUUAUAGAUUUCACCUACUGGCGAAUAUCGAAUUUACAGAGACCAUAUAAUAGACUAAGUUCCUUUGGCGCAUACAUUACGCCCAUGCAUUCAUGUAGACAACUUUCUUCAUGUCGGCCAAAACCCUAGUAUGUUUUUAAAGAUCAAUCAUUCAUUUCGUUUCCUUUUCCAUGCUUGCCAAUCUAGUUUGCAAUGUACUUGCCUUACCAGAGGCCACAUAACCAUUAUUCAUAUAUCACGAUCUGUCAGUUCAAUGCACUUUGCAUUGAAGGCAACACCAUGAAUCCUUUUCUUUAUUUUGACAAUAUGGCUCUUUUUUCAGAGUAUAAUGGGUACUCAACACAAAGUAAGGUUCUUUUUCACUUUCAUAGACAUGCAAGACUAGACUUUUCACCGAACAAGUGAACUUACCUUGAACUAAACUUUAACAAAAGCACGAUACAUUCACAUAGGGUAUAAAGGAACUCACUAGAAAAUACAACAAGGUUUAAAUUGCAGGUCUCUUGCCCUUGUCUCGAGAGCCUUUAGGAGUUUCUUGAGUUAUGACAUAAGCAGUUAACUUAUCAGGUUACGUUCUUCAGAAAAGCUAAGCAAGUUUUUCAAGAAUACUAUAUCAAGAUACCUAGAAUUUGGAAGUUUCCUCUCCUCUUUCCUUCUAAAUUGAUCAUAGAGCAUGAAACCCUAAUAACCAUGAUAAUAGCUUAAGUUUCAUCGAUAUUUACUAGGUAUCAAACUUCGAUGAAAUUUGCUGACAAACCCAAACCUUCAAGCUAGCCUUACUUCUAGAGCUUUCCUGGAUGUUGCAGAGAGAAUAGAGAGAGAAAAUAAAGUUUUCUGAAGAAAGCAUAAAGCUUAGUCAAGAAGCCAAUACUGGUUUUAUAUUGAUCACACGGAAGGAAAACUUAGUGGGCAAGUUUAUUCUCCACACUACCCCUCAUUCAGCAACCGUGACUAAUAACUUUCUCUCUCUUCUUAAAUGCAUGUCCUCUUAAUAUCAGACAUCUUGUCUCAUUCUAACUGUCAUUUUCCAGGCCAACUAUCUAGUUCAACCAAAAUAAUAAGGCUAACAAUACUAAUAAAUAAGCACUAACGUGUAUUAGCAGGGGUGACGUACACUCUGUAAAGGAGCUUUGCCAUCCACUAAGCUUGCCUUAACAUGGACUUUGCCCGAGGGUGUACUCAUACUUCUUAAGAGCUUAGCUAGUUCUUAAUAUUUUAUUUGCUUAGAAUUUAUUCUAUAAGCUUAUCUCCAUAAAUAGUACUUAAUGCCCUAGACUACACUGGGCGGGAUGUUACAAUUCUCCUCCACUUGGGAAAUUUCAUCCCCGAAAUUCAUACCUAAAAACAAUUGUAGGUACUGUUCUCUCAUUAUGCUUUUCCUUUCCCAAGUGGCUUAUUUAGUGUCGUGAUUUCUUCAUAGUACCUUUACUAAGGGAAUUCUUUUAUUCCCUAUCUUUUUAACUUUCUUAGCCAAAAUACGGGUAGACUCUUCCUCAUAAGAUAAUUUGGCUCAACUUCAAGCUCUUCAAUUUGUACUACAUGUUUAGGUUUGGAUCUAUACCUACACAACAUCAAUACAUGGAAUAUGUCGUGGAUCUUUGAUAAAUGAGGAGGCAACACGAACAUAUAUUCUACUGUACCAAUCUUGUCCGAAAUCUCAUAUGGUCUUAUAAAACUAAGGCUUAGCUUCCCUUUUUGAUCGAAGCGUAUAAUCCUUUUUUAAAGGGAGAUCUUCCAGAAUACCUUCUCUCCUACCUGAAAGGAUAUUUCUUUCCUCUUUAAGUUGACAUAUGACUGUUUUCGAUCUUAUGCAACCUUUAAGUGAUUGCGAAUAAAGACAACCUUUUCUUCCGUUUUGUGCACUAAGUCUGAUCCUACAAUUUUUCUUUCAUUUAGCUCUGGCCAACAAGUAGGUGUUCUACACCUUCUACCAUAUAAGGCUUCAAAGGGAGGCAUCUUUAAAUUGGUGUGGUAGAUAUUGUCAUAGGUGAAUUUAAUCAGGGGAACAUACUUGUCCCAGUUUGUCUUGAAAUCGAUCACACAAUAGUGCAUCAUGUCUUCUACUACUUGAAUCACUAUUUCAAAUUUGCCAUCUGUCUGGGGAUGGAAUGCAGUGUUAAAUCUCAAUCUUUUCCCUAGUAAUUUUUGUAAUUGUUGCAAAAAUCUUGAAGUAAACCUCGGAUCUCUAUCAGACAAAAUGGACAAUGGCACCCCACGGAGGUGUACCACUUCAGCAAUAUAUAAUUCAGUCAACUUUUUCAAAGAAUAUUUGGUAUUCAUAGAAAGGAAAUGUGCUGAAUUUGUAAGCUGAUAUACUACCACCCAAGCAGAAUUGCUCGUGGAAGGACUAAUGGGUAAUCCAGAAACAAAGUCUACAGUGAUCCUAUCUCAUUUCCACUCAGGGAUUUCCAAAGUGUACAACUUACUCGAAGGAACUUGAUGCUCUACCUUUACUAUUUGGCAUGUCAGACAUGUGGAAACAUAUUCCGAGAUUUCCUUCUUCAUAUUAGGCCACUAGUAAGAGUCUCUCAAAUCUCUAUACAUCUUGACACCACCAGGGUGUAGCGAAAAAUGCCCUUAGUGAGCUUCCCUCAAUAAUUCCUUUCUCAAAUCAUUUUCCAUCGGUAGAAAUACUUAGUCUCUGAAUCUGAGUUUACCAUCCUUACCCACAUUAAAGUGUAAUGUUUUGUCUGACGACAUAUUUUUCUUGUAUCUUUCACAUUAGCAUCAUUUAUUUGUUUCUCCAGAAUUUGCAAAAGAUGGGUUGGCUUCAACACUAACUUUUCCAAUAAUGCUCCAUUAUCAUCCAUUGUCACUUUAACUCGUAAGGACAAUAAGGCCGCCAUAGUUUUCCUGCUCAAGGCAUCUGCCACCACAUUUUUCUUAAAAAAUAUUCGAUGAUAUUCUAUAAUAUUCCAAACUAUGAAUACCAACUUUUCCAAAGAAUAUAUUUCCUGGAUGAUAUUCGAUGAUCAGGUCAUAAUCUUUUAACAAUUCUAGCUGUUUCCUUUGGCGUAUAUUCAAUUUCUUCUGGGUCAUUAGGUAUUUGAGACUUUUGUGAUAAAAAAAGAUGUGGCACCUUUCUCUAUAGAGAUAAUGUCUCCAGACCUUUAUUGCCAAAACUACAGUUGCCAAUUCCAGAUCAUGCAUAGGGUAGUUCCUUUCAUGCAAUUUUAAUUGGCGUGAAAAAUAUUCUAUAAUCUUUCCCUUUUGCAUAAGAACACAUCUUAACUCAUUCAAGGUUACAUCUAUAUAUACUGUAUACUCAAUGCCAGGUUCAGGUUGAACCAGUAUUGGAAUGUCAGUUAGAACUGCCUUUAACCUUUCAAAGCUUUAUUGGCACUCAUCACUCCAAGUAAAUUUCAUUUUUCUUCAACAAUUUGAUAAGCGUUGAGGUUAUAACAAAAAAUCCCUUCAAAAAUCUCCUAUAGUUCCUAACCAAUCCUAGGAAACUAUGAACCUCCGUAACAUUCCUCGGUGGUCCCAUUCAAGGAUUUCCUUUACCUUGACAGAUCCACCUUGAUACCUUCCGUUGAAAUCACAUGACCUAGGAAGUGUACCUCUUUCAACCAGAACUCACACUUAUUAAACUUGACAUACAACUGAUGCUCGCGUAAGGUCCUUAAUAUAAUUCUUAAGUGUUCUUAUUGAUCUGGCUUGUUCUUAGAUUAAACUAAUAUAUCAUCGAUGAAGACCACUAUGAACUGGUUCAAGUACAGCUAAAAUACUCUAUUCAUUAGAUCCAUGAACACCAUGGGCGCGUUAGUUAAUCCAAACGACAUUACUAAAAACUCAUGGUGCCCAUAACAUGAUCUAAAUGUCGUCUUAGGUAUGUCAUCUUUCUUAAUUUUUAUUUGAUAGUAUCUAGACCUUAAGUCAAUCUUGGAGAACAUUGAAACUCCACUUAAUUGAUCAAAUAAGUUUUCGAUUCGGGGCAAGGGGUACUUAUUCUUAAUGGUGACCUUAUUCAUUUGGCGAUAGUCUAUGCAUAGAUGCAUAAAUCCAUCAUUCUUAUUGACAAAUAAAAUUGGUGCACCCCAAGAAAAUACACUAAGCCUAAGGAAGCCCUUACUUAAUAGAUCUUGUAACUUCUCUUUUAUCUCUUUAAACUCCAUUGGCACCAUCCUGUAAGGUGUACAUGAUAUAGGAUCUGGUCCAGGCUCUAACUCUAUUGAAAACUCUAUCUCCCUAUCCUUAGGCAUAUUGGAUAGUUCCUUAGGGAAUACGUCCAUAAAUUUUUUUACUAUGGCACUUGGCUAACUUUGCUCUUGAGCUCAAGCGAGUCCAUGAUAUACACCAAGUAGGCAUCUGUGCCCUGAACAAUCAAUUUCCUAGCAGACACUACAAAAAAAAUCCUCUCCACUAAUUAUGACUUUUUCCCCGUUAAUAAUAUUUCCUUUCCCUCCAAACUGGCCAAGCACACAGUUCUAGACCGACAGUCUACCAUAGCAUUAUGCCUAGUCAACCAAUCUAAUCCUAAUAUGUCAUCAAACUUGUGAAAACUCAAGAGAAGUAAGUCUAUUGAAAACACGUGCUCGCUCAUAGCUAGAGGGCAAUUCCUUAUCAACUUAUUUACCAUAGUGCUCUGCCCCAAAUGGUUCAUUACUUAUACGCUAGUCUUAGAACAUUCUACCUCGAGAUUUAGACCCUUUAUGAUCUUAGGACAUAUAUAAGAAUAAGUAGAUCUAGGGUCAAUCAAAGCAUAAAUACCAUUACUGAGGAAAGAAAAAUUACCGGUGAUGACCUUAGGUAGGUCUACGUCUUCCUUGGCUUUCAUUACUUAGGCCCGUGCUGAGGCGGCAGAAUUAGUUCUACCAAAAUAUUUCCUUUGUGACCCUUGCACUAAACUAGACUUAGCCCCUAUUUCCAAUAUGUUCUUAGGUUUGUAAUUCCAAGGGGUUUUAACUGACUGCUCUAUAGUAUACUCGGACUUGGUGGGGCAAUCUUUUAUUAUGUGGUCCCUAUACCUACAACUAUAACAGGCUCUUAUCUUCUUUCUACAUUCUCCGCAUGACUCCUUACACAAAACUCACAUCGUUCUUUCUCUAUUUGAAAAUUUCCAGAAUUGUCCAUAGAUUCGAUCGGCUAAUGUUCAUGGAACCAACUAAAAUUUUUGACUAACAUGUGCACUUAUCAAUUAAUAGUAUAACUAUGGUAAGCAAAGAUAUCAUUCCUAUGAAGACUAAAAGUACAACUAAUUACUGUCUUUCUAUUAUUUAACUGAACAAUUCAAGUGAUCAAUUAAAAACUAAAAUUAAUUAAAUUAAUUAACUGAAAAAACAACAAAUAGAAAAAUAAGAAAAUGAUCGAUUAAUAACCAAGAAGUGAAGCAAUACCGAAGAAAGAAUUCACUUAGACUUCAUCUGUCACUAUCAAUCUAAAUUAUGCAAUUUCUUUACUUAGCAACUUGGUUCGUAGAAAUCCCUAAAUUAUGCUAAUAACUCUUUCAAGAAUAAGAGCAACUGACCCUAGGUUGAUUAAUUGAAAUUUUUUUCUAAUUAAAAUCUAUAUUAUUGCAUUAACUUGUGCUAUAGAUUCCUUAUUAGAUUUUACUCCAGUCCAAUAGAUUUACGUCAUCCUAUUUCUAGGAUUGCAAGCAAAUCCACUCAAUUAUACAAGAUUUACUCUUAAAUAAGGUUUAUUCAACCUCUCAUUUAAGCACAUCAAACAUGGAUCAAUAAUCUAGAAAUGUCAAACCAAGAACCAAUCACACAUAAUUGAAAACAAGAAACUAAGUCUCUAUUACGUAAAAUAAGAAUCUGAUGAAAAGAAUCCAUCAUAGGGUUCAUCUCCCUAGUUAUUUAGAAAAUAAGUUCAUGCUUGAAAAUAAAAACAUCCAAAAGACAGUAUAACCGAAAGAAAUAAAGAAACUUAUGAUAAUCUCUUAAGAAAUCGACUGGGAAUACUCAAUCUUGACAGAAAUCUACUUCAAAUUAGGCUUUAAUGGUGUUUUUUGAAUUGUUUUCUUGAAUAUUCUAUGACGACUGACUCCUAUCUUCUUAAUUUUUUCAUAUACACGUUUUAGAAUGCCCAAAAAACCUAAAAAUCACUUUUUUUUUAUAAUUCAGAGUGUAAAUCUGAGCAAUCAACACGGUCUACCAUAUGGUCGUGUGAUAGCCCGUGUGGGUCACACGACUGUAUGGAAUGGGUCACCCUGUGUGGCUCCUAUAGCUUGCUCUGAUGUAACAACCCAUUUUUCAAUGGUAAAGGAAUAGUAGUUUUGGGACCACAAAUUUUUUUCGUGUCGACUCAUAAAUAUUUUAUAGAAUAUUUGUAGAGUCAUUAAGGUCGUAUUAAAAUUUGGUUAAGAAAUUUUAAUGUUUAGGUAGCUAAUUAAGGAAAAAGGACUAAAUUGUAAAAGGUGAAAAACUUAGUAAUUAUUGCGUUUAGGUUAUAAAGUAGAUUACUUACUUAACGAGGAAGGACCUAUAUAGUAAUUACCCCUAGUUAAUGUGGUUGGAUGGCAAUUAGAAUGAAAAUGAUAGAAUAUUAUAUGUUUAAUGGCAUAAUUGUAAAUAAAUCAAAAUUAAACAAAACAAAUUGAAAGAAAUUAGACAUUUCCUAUUCAUUUUUCUUCAACCAUUUGAAAUCACCAUUGAAGAGAUCUCCAAGCUUUGGUUUCAUCUUCCUUGUGCAUGUGAGCUCAAUCCUCACCUAUUUCUUGUAAUUUUUAUGUUUUUGAGAUUAUUGCAACUAGGUCCAACUAGCCUGUACCUUUAUUUUUUAAUCUGUUAAAAAUUUUAGAAGUUAUAUUGAUGAAUCUUGAAUUUUUUUUAUGAUAACUAUGUGUUUGAGGCUUUGAUUGUGGUAUUUGGUUGUUUUGUGAAGUGAUUUUUGAUAGAUUUUGAUUUAAGGAUUAAAUUGUCAAAAUGUGAAAAUUUCAAGGUUUAAAUGGUGAAUAAGAGGUGUGUAACAGCCUGAUUUAGACCCUAAUCGAAAUGGUGGUUUUGGGACCAUGAAUCCGAGUCAGAUAAUUUUUAAAAAAAGUUUAUUUUCUAUGUUUAUUAUGUGUGAAUUUAUAUGUGUGAAAUUUUCGUGCUUUAAUUUUGUCAUUUGAGUGCCCAAUUAAAUAAAAGGACUUAAUCGCGUAAAGUGAAAAUUUGAUGAUUAUUUUUAAUAGGGCCAAUUGAUGAUGUCUUUUUUAUAUGAGCUAUUUAUGUUGCAAAUUUCCCAUGAUAAUUUACAAUGGACGGUAGUGACCAUGACUUAAAAUGGUUUUAUAUUUCAUUUAAAAGAUUAAUUAUGUAAAAAUUAUAAUAUGUUAUUAUAUAUCAUAAAACAUAAUAAAAAAAUAAAGCCAUUUUGGGUGUUCAUAUUGUUCUUACCAAACAUAAAAGAAAAGAAAAUAAACUUAGGGCAUUCGACACUAUUCAAGCUUGAUUCAAGGUUAGUUUGGUUUUGGUUUUUGAUAAUUUUUACGUUUUUGAGAUUGUUACUUCGAAAACUAUCCGACCUGUGCUAGAAUUUCUAAUUUUGAUGGAUGUUUUGAGUUAUGCCAUUGAUGAAUAUUUGUGUUUGGUGAUGUUUGAUGAUAAAAUAUUAAAGAUAUUUUUUAGAUUAACAUGUUUUGUAUUGGAGUUUUGAUGAUUUUGAGUAAUUAGGGCUAAAUUGUAAAAAUAAUAAAUUAAGGGAGUAUAUUGUGAAAUAAACAAAAUUUAAGGACUUUUAUGGGUGUGGGGAGUAUUCGGCCUAAGUAUAGCAUGAGCAAAUUAUGCUUGUUUUGUGUUUUAUACAAUUAGGACUAAUUUGUAAAGGUAUGAAAUAUCAGGGGUAAAAUGGUAAUUUUCCCAUUUAUGUGUUGUUGGAUUAAAUUGAACAAAAUUGUGUUUGAAUGAGAUUAAUUUGAAAUUGUAUAGAUCAAGAACAAAAGAAAUCAGACUUGGAUUGGGGAAAAGCAAAAAUAGUUGAAUAGUCGAUUUACAUCGUUCGUCGAUAUCCGAGGUAAGUCUUUAAGCAAUUAAACAUUAUUAAUUUUGAAUGUAACUCAGUUUAAUAUGUUGAUUUAGAAUAAAUAAGUUUAUAGUAGAGUAGCUGAAUGUGAAUAAGCAUAGAAAUAACGUAUUUGAGUUUAAUUCGACUGAGUUAUAACAUUUGAAAGUUAGUAUCAACUAUAUGGAAUAUCUGGAAUUUUUGAUAUAUGAAUUAUUUAUGAGACAACUUUAUAAUAGUGAUAUUCGGGCUUUGAGCCUAGCAAGCCUUGUGCUGGUGAAUUAAAUCGGGCUUUAUGCCUAGCAGGCUUAUUGCUGGUGUAUAAAAUCAGACUUUGAGUCUAGCAGGCCUUGUGCCGGUGUGUGAUACAGGCUUAGGCCUAGCAGGCUUUAUGCCGGUGAAUUAUUAUAAGUUUAUGCCUAAAAGACUUUAUGCUGAUGUGUUAAUUGAAUACGUUAAAUGAGCUAAAUGAUCAGGUAUGAGUUAGCUUGUUGUUUACUUGAGAUAAGGUAAAUAAGUAACUUGAUAUUUGUUACUAAUUAUGUGUGAUACAAAUGAAGAUUUCAUGUGAAUUUAGUAUGUGUAUUUGGCUUAGUAAAUAAAUAGUAUGAAUAUUGUAGAAUUUAUUCUUGGAUAUGUGCAUAUAUGUGAUCAUGUAUAUUCGGCCAUAUAAGUGGUGUAUGUACAUGAUGUUAUAUUAUAGUUUUUGAGCUUAUAUAAAUGUGUAUGUGUAUGUUUGAUUAUAUUAAUACACUUUGGCUUUGAUAUUGAAUAAGAUUAGGUCAUAUUGAUUAAGUGAGCAUUCGGCUAAGAUAGAUUUUGUGUUUGAAAAUGUGAUAUUUAUCUCAUUUGUAGGUUUGAGGUUAAACAUGGUAAUGAUAAUGAAGUUUGGAUUAGCUUAAAAUGAAUUGAUUAUAUGAUUGAGGUGUUUAUUUUCUUAUGACUUAUUAAGCUAUUAUAGCUUACUCUGUGUAUUUUCGUUUACUCUAUUUUAUAGAUUUUGGAUUCAAGUUACAAGCUCGGAGAUCGUCAGCAAAGUCUAUCACACUAUCAACUGUCUUCGGUAUUUUAUAAGUUACCUUUUGGAACUAUGGCAUGUAUAGGCUGGGAUAUACUUUUGGAAAUGUUGUAUUUCGGUUUAUGUAUAAUUUGAGCCAUGCGAAAAUGACUUAAUUUCUAUGUUUGAAUUCGGUUAUGCUUGGUUGUGGUUUGAAUUCGUUUUAGUUAACAUGUUAAGUAAUAUGAAUGCAUGAAGUUUGAAAUAGGUGUUUUAUGCUUUGAAAAUGGCUUAACUAAUCCGGUUUUUUUCGAUUAUGUUUGAGUUCCUUUAGAUUAUUAUGUCAUGUGUUUUAAAUGAAAGUUACAUGUGGUAAUUGGUAUAUUUAUAUACAUAUAUUUUGAGUGUUAAAGAUGCUUGUUAAAUUUGAAUGUAUGUAUUAGGCUGAUUCGGUUAUGGUAAUCAUAUAUAAGUGAUUAUUGUAUCUUGGCUGUUGUAUCUGGUCAUAGUGUUGAAUAUGAGAUAGCGUUAUAAGUAGUUUGGUUAUGUUCGAACAUGACAUAAGAUCGUUUUAAUAUGUUUAUUAUAAGAGGAAGACAUUUAUAAUGGUUUUGAUUAACUUGCGAUUUGGUGUUUGACUAUAUAAAUAUUUAUGCACUAGGAAAUGACUUGAUAUGCAUUUUACCUUAAGUAUAUAUAUAUAAACAUGAUGAUGAUUAAUGAUGUGUUUCAGUUAUAUAUGAAUAGGGAAUGUAUAUGGUGUUAUAAAGAAUUAUGCAUUAUUAAGCUAGAAAUGCAUGUUAUUUAUAGGAUAAUAUUCAGUGUAUGCUUAAUGUGCAUUUUAAAAUAGGUAAUGAUUUAUAAAAUGGAUGAACAAGGUUGGAAGUGAACGAUUGUCUAACUUAUUGGAGAAUGCAUUUAUAUUUGGAUUGAUGAAAUGAAAAUGAAAAAGUGAAUGGUAUAUAAAUGUAUACAAGUUUAUGCAUGUGAUUAUUCGAAUACGUGUUCUGAUUGGUAAUACCUCGUAACCCAGUCCAGCGAUGGAAACGGGUUAUGGGUGUUACAAGGUGUUUUGUGUAUUUUUUAGAAGCCUUGAAUAUUCAGCUAUAAAUUUUAACUUGUGAAAAUGGUUAAUUUGAAGUUUUUCGAUUUAAGGGACUAAAUUGCAAAAGUUGUAAAAGUUAGGGGUAAUUGUGUAAUUUUAAAAAAUAAAAAGGGUUUAAAAUGUAAACUAUUUUGGAAUAUGAAAUGUAUGCUAAUAAUUUGGAAUUUUAUAUUUUAGAUCAAGACCCUGUUAAUUUAUGUGGAAAAAAGAAAAUUAUGGAAUAGUCCCUAAACCUCUGCAACUAUUACAACUUAGUCUAGGUAAGUUUGUAUUGUUUAUAAUUUAAUAUCUAUAUUUAUUGUUUGAUGACAUAAUAUGAUAUAAUGGAUGUUAAUUGUUUUAUUGAUUAUGUAAGUUGUUUUAGAAAUGUUAUUGAAUUUUGAUAUUUGGAUCAGAUGAACACAAGAUAGAUUACAAUUGAAUGAUGGUGUGUUAUGUGGGGAUUAAAGUGGAGAUUGAUGUGGUGUGAUUUAUAUAUUUUUCCCGAGUAUACCGAGGUUCAGCAUUUGUUGUGAACCCUCGUGUUAUACUAUCUUAUUCUGGAAUGUUAUGGGGGCGGAUGUAUAGCUAUUAUGAGCAUUUGGCGUGGUAUCGGUUAGAUUAGCUCUUAUAAGCAUUUGUCGUGUUAUCGGUUGCAUUAACUCUUAUUAGCAUUUGGCAUGUUUUGGUUGGAUUAAUUGUGUACUCACAUCUAUAAGUCGUUCAUCAUAUCAUAAAUUAUUAUAUUAUAUCUUAUAUAAUGACUUGGGAUUGGUUUGACAUGUAAAUGAUAUCUAGAAUUGAUUCUAUUGUGGAUAUAUAUAAUUUCCAGGAUAUUAUUGUUGAGCUUUGAUUUGAACUAUGCAAUUCGCCAGUUGACAUUGCGGAUGGAAGGAAACAUGUAACAACCCGUUUUUAGUUAAAUCAGAAUAGUGUUUUCGAAAUAAAAAAUUCCGAGGUCAAAAUAUUUAUUUUAUUAUUAUUUUAAUGUUUAUAGCAUGAUUGAAUGAUUGUAUGAAAGUUUUGUUAAGAAAUUUUAUUGUUUGGUUAGUCAAUUUGGUAAAAAAGGACUAAAUUACAUAAAGUGCAAAACUGAAGUUCUAUUAGCUAAAAGAAUCUAACAGCUAUAGAACCUUAAAAGUAAAGGUCCUUAUGUUCUAAUCUGACCAUUAAUGAAAUAAGUGGACAAUUAUAGACAACUAUUAAGUGAUUUUUAUUGUUUAAUGUUAAGGUUAAUUUGGUAAUUGUUAAAUACAUGUUAAUUAACUAAAACAAAACAUAAAAUUUAGGCAUUCAUCAUCUUCAUAGAAGAAUGUUAGGGCAAAGAAAGCCAUUUUCAAGCUUUCAAAAUUUCGGCAACUUCACUUGGCUAUUUUGGUAUGAAUUUUGUCUCGUUUUUAAUUAUUUCUAAGUUUUUGUGAUCGUUGCAACUAGUAAUAACUAGCCUAGGGACUAUUUUGCAAAACUGUUAAAGAUUUUGAAAGUUGCCAUUGAUGAAAAUAUGUGUUUUUUGAUGUUUGAUGAUGAAAUAUGAAUAUUUGUUAUGAAUUAUACAAGUUUUGUUAAGUGAUUUUUAGUGAAAAUGCAAAAUAGAGAUUAAAUUGAGAAAUGUUAAAAUUUUGUGGUUAAAAUGUGAAAUAAAUGGAAAAUAUAGGCUGCUGGGGGUAUAAUGGUAAUUCAGAUAGCAUGGGCUAGUCUUGAAUUUCAUAAAUUUGUGAUUUUUAUGUAAUAAGGACUAAAUUGUAAAAAUGUGAAAGUUUAGGGGCUAAUGUGUAAAAUAGCUCAAAUGCAUAUUUUGAAUUGAAUUGAAUAAUUAGAAGAAUAAAUAAGCUGAUUAUGAUUACUUAUAGAUAGAUCAAGAAAAGAGAAAUUCGGGCUUAAACUGGGGAAAAAGCAAAGUAAUUGAAUAGUCUGUCCAUUCCAUCAUUCCGUACAUUAGGUAAGUUCGUAUAAUUGAACUUAAAUGUGUAUCUGUUAAAUUGAUGGAUGGUAUUGUGAUUGUAUUUAUCUUAUUGGUUAAAUUUGGAAGAUUUUGAAUUAAAUGUACGAUUUAAGUAAGAAGAAUUGUUAAAUAAGACCAUAGCUAGACUAUGGUAAAUCGGAUAAUAAGACCAUAACCGGGUUAUGCAAUGUGAAUGUAAGACCACAACAGGGCCAUGGCAACAUAUGUGUAAGACCAUAGUUGGACUAUGGCAUCAAAAAAUCGAUGUGCUCGUACCAUAAGCAUUUAUAAAACCGGAGUGACUUGGUAAGUGAAUUGAUGAGAAAUAGUUACAUAUCGGUACAGGUAUGUAGAAACUGUUCAAAUGAAUUAAAGGAAGCCGAGAAUUUAAGCUUAACAUGUUGUUAAACUUUAUGUUAACUUAGUGAUUGAUGCUUUAAUGCAAUUUAUGUUAUCUAUUUAGAUAUGUUAAUGAGUGAUAAGAUUAUUUCCUAUUUACAUAUGAACUUACUAAGCUUCAUAGCAUACUUUGCUUACCUUUCCAUGUUUUAUAGUCUUAGAAAACUAGCUUGGAUUCGAGGAUUGUCAGAGACUUCAUCGCACUAUCAGACAUCUAUUUUGGUACUUUUGAAGCUUAUAUAUAUGGUAUAGGGCAUGUAUAGGCUUGAGUGAUUUUGGUAUGUUUGAUGAACAUGUAUUUUGGCCAUUUGAGUUGGCUUAUGAUGAUAAAUUUGAUGAUGUUUAUAAUUGUGUAAAUGGUUCUAAUUUGAGUUUGGUAAUUAACCUAUAUUGUGUGAUUGAGGUUGAAAUUAUAAUGCUUAAUGAUAUUAGGUAAUUUGAUUGCUAAAAGGUUUGAUAAUGUGUAAGUUAUGUGCUUGUGAAAUGGUGAAUGAUAAUGCAUGUUUGGAAUGAUUUAGUUAAUUGAAUUGUAUAUGUGAAAUAGGUAUUCAAAUAGAUGGCAAAUUGUGGCUUAUUUGUGAUUUGUAUUGAUGAUAAUGAAAUGGUAUGAAUUGAAUAUUGGUUGACGAUAUUUGGUUGCUAUUUUUGUCUUGAAAUGGGACUAUAUGAGCUUGUAUAGGUAUGUGCAAAUUGGGUGGCAAAAUAGCUUGGUAAAUAGCCUAUUUUUGUCCACACGGUCAAAGACACGAGAAUGUAUCUCAGCCGUGUGUGACACACGGUCAUGUUACACGGCUGUGUGUCCUCUGGUGUUGAAUUUGAAACCAAUUCAAUAUGCUCCACACGGCCUCACACACGGACGUGUGACUUGGCUGUGUGGCAUAAGUCAGUAUACCCUACAGGUUUGGCACGACCUAGCAUACAGCCUGGCACACGGGCGUGUGUGGCCAUUUUUAGGGUACACGAGCUAUCCACACGGGCAUGUGUGUUGGCCAUGUGACCCAAGUCAGAGAGUUACACGGGGUAGGACACAAGCUGGGACACGACCAUGUGCUCCUAUUUCGAAUGUCCACACGGCUUGUGACAAGACCAAAAAUAGGCCUGUGUCACAAGCCGUGUGGACAUUCGAAAUGGGAUCACAUGGCUGUGCCCUAGCUUGUGUCUGGCCCCGUGUAACUCUUUGAUGGGGUCACAUGGCCAACCCCACGCUUGUGUGACCAGCCCGUGUGCCCUUCGAAAUGGCCCUACAUGCCGAUGUGCUAGGCCGUCCCAAACUUAUAGGGCAUACUGACUUAUGCCACACGGCCAAGUCACACGCUCGUGUGCUGGGCCAUGUGGAGCAUACUGACUUGAUUUCUAAUUAAACACCAGGGGACACACAACCAUGUCACCUGACUGUGUGUCACAUACAGCUGAGACACACGCCUAUGUCUCUGCUUGUGUGGACAAAAGUAGGCUAUUUACCAAGCCAUUUUGCUCACCCAAAUAGCACAUACCUACACCAAACCAAUUAGCACAUAAUAUGGCAUAAAUAGGCAUUCAACCAACAUCAGCCAAUCAUAUUUCAUACCAUUUCAUUACCAACAAUUACGAGGCACACAAAUAUAACAAUACACCAUUCAAUCUCAUACCAAAAAUUCACAUUCUUAAAUCAUCAAUAUGGUCACUUUCAAACAUGCAUUAUUUUAUCUAAAAUUCACAAACAUACCAAAUUCAAAUCUCAACCAUUUAGUAUCGCUAAUUGCCAAUUAUCAACAAACAUCACAUAUCCAUUAUCAAUGUAACACCCCAUACUCGUACCCUACACUGGGACGGAGUACAAGGCAUUACCUAACUUAAACUCGUGUUUACUACCAAUUCUGAGUCUCCAAGACUUGGACAAAUUNNNNNNNNNNNNNNNNNNNNNNNNNNNNNNNNNNNNNNNNNNNNNNNNNNNNNNNNNNNNNNNNNNNNNNNNNNNNNNNNNNNNNNNNNNNNNNNNNNNNNNNNNNNNNNNNNNNNNNNNNNNNNNNNNNNNNNNNNNNNNNNNNNNNNNNNNNNNNNNNNNNNNNNNNNNNNNNNNNNNNNNNNNNNNNNNNNNNNNNNNNNNNNNNNNNNNNNNNNNNNNNNNNNNNNNNNNNNNNNNNNNNNNNNNNNNNNNNNNNNNNNNNNNNNNNNNNNNNNNNNNNNNNNNNNNNNNNNNNNNNNNNNNNNNNNNNNNNNNNNNNNNNNNNNNNNNNNNNNNNNNNNNNNNNNNNNNNNNNNNNNNNNNNNNNNNNNNNNNNNNNNNNNNNNNNNNNNNNNNNNNNNNNNNNNNNNNNNNNNNNNNNNNNNNNNNNNNNNNNNNNNNNNNNNNNNNNNNNNNNNNNNNNNNNNNNNNNNNNNNNNNNNNNNNNNNNNNNNNNNUGCUAUGUUAGUCCUAGAAUCGACUAAAUCGUAGAUCUGAUACAAAUUAAAUGUAACACCCCUUACCCGUAUCCUUCACCAGAAUAAGGUUACGAGGCAUUACCGAAUAAUACACAUUAUUCACAUACAUUAAAACAUUCAUAAUCGAAAUCCAAUCAAAUCAUUCACAUCGUCCCUUAUAAGGUUUUACGAGACCUUAAAACAUACUUAGAAGUGUUUCAGGACUAAACCGAUAACAUAUGUAUACUUUGGGAAACUUAGAAAAUUUUCUUUAAUUUCAGGGUCACACACCUAUGUGAACAGGCUGUAUGCCUCACAUGGUAACCAGACACGCCCGUGUCAUAGGCCGUGUGAAAACAGGGCAUACAUACUGACUUGUAUCACACGGCUAAGGACACGCUCGUGUGCCAUGAUCAUGGGAAAACUAGGGAGUUUACUGACUUGGGUCACAUGACUGGCCACACGCCCAUAUGCCAGCCCUUGUGCCACACACGGUCAAUAGACACGUCCGUGUAUCUAGGCCGUGCCAAAACUGAAGGGUAUACUGCCUUAAUUCGAAAGGGUAACCUAGGGGAUACACGGCCAUGUAACAUAGUCGUGUGCCACACACAGCUGAGACACACGCCCAUGUCUCUGCUUGUGUGGACAAAAACAGGCCAUUUGCAAAACCAAUUUUCCAUCCUUUUCUCAUAUUCACCUAUUCAUCAUAAUGGUACCAUUUCAACACAUAUAUAAGCAUCCAAAAACAUGAAAUUCCAUAUACAUAACAUGCCAUCUAUCACAACCAAUUCAACUAACCAAUUCCACAACCAAAACAUAUCUAAACAAUACGCCAAUACCAACAUUUUCACUUAUCUCACUUAUGUAUUUUCUCAUCAACUUAUCACCUAUUUUAUAUCACAAAACUUACCAACUUAGCAUCUCAUAGUCAAACCACAAUAUGCCAACUUAUAAAGCAUUAUAUAUAUCAUAUUCAUCACUUAUCCAACACAUAACUUAAGCCAACCUAAAUGGUCAUACAUACCAACAUUUACAAGCCAAAUCUCAUGGCUAAUAUCAUGACCCAAAAUAUAUCAAAAUGACACUAACCUAUACAAGCCAUAAACCAUAUAUACAAAGCCUCAAAAGUACCAACAAGAUGAUCAAUAGUGCAAUGAUGUUUCCCAACAAUCCUUGAGUCUGAGCUAGUUUCAAUAAUCUAUAAAACAUGGAAAUAACAUACAAAGUAAGCUUUAAAAGCUUAGUAAGCCAUAUACAAAUAAAACUAUCACAUGAACAUUUUCAUUUCAAUUCAAAUAUGUUUAACAUAGCAAAUAUCAUUCAAAUUCACAAACCUUUCCCAUUGAACACAUAUAUUCAAUGUCUUAAUCGAGUUCAUCCAAUAUUUACCCUUUUCAAUACUCAUAUGAAUUUCGUAUGUACCUGUGUCACUUAGCUCAUUCACCUAUUCUUUCUCAACUUGACUUUUCCCAUUGAACCAUCCGGAGUCAAUAAGGAUACUCGAAAAUCACAGAAGCUCAUACAAUGCCAUAUCCCAGAUAUGGUAUUACAUGUUAUCACAUAUAGAUGCCACUGUCCCAAAUAGGGUCUUACACGAAAUUGAUUAACAAUGCCAAUGUCCCAGACAUGGUCUUACACGUAAUCUCAAUAUAAUGCCAACGUCCCAGACAUGGUCUUACAUAUAAUCACAUCUUGAUAACCUAAUGUCAUGACAUCAGUAUCUUAUACUAUUCUUAAGGUUCGUACGAGACUUUCGGAUGUCGUAACUCUGUUGAUUCUUCUCGUAAUUGUUCUUUCAACAUUCAUAACAAUUCAAUGAUAAAUAAAUACAUAUAAUUCAAUUUAAAGACAUUUAUUUGCAUAUGAACUUACCUCUUAGUCGUAAUAAACAGACGAAAUCGACUAUUCAUCAACUUCUGAUUUUCCCCGAUCUAAAUCCGUUUUCUUUCGUUCUUGAUCUAUAUUCUAUAUACAAUCAAAAUUAACUCUUUUAUUCAUAAACACUUUCAAUUUCAUCCACAAACACAUAUUUGAGCAUUUUUUCACUUUAGCCCCUAAAGUUACACAUUUAUUCAAUUUAGUCCCUAUUUCAUAAAUACACAAAAUUCACAAAAUUCAAUAUGACCCAUGCUUAGCCGAAUUCUUUAUAAGUCCCUAGCAGCCCAUAUUUUUCAUUUAUUUCACAAUUUAACCAUUCAAUUUGCACUUUUCUCAAUUUAAUCUCUAAUAUAUAUUUUUACUCAAAAUCACUUUACAGAACAUGUAUAUCAAGCACCAAGCUUUCAUAAUUCAUCAUCAAACAUCAUAAAACACAUGAAUUCAUCAAUGAAAACUUUCAAAAUCAUCAAUAAUUUGAGAAAUUAGGGUAAGGGCUAGCUAGUACUCAAAGCAACAAUCAUAAAAACAUAAAAAUCAUUAAAAAUCGAGCUAAGUGCUGAACCCUAAAAUGAGCCUAAAAGCUUUCUUUUCUCUGCAAUAAUCGGUUAUGGAAAGAAAAAUGAACACCAUUUUCUAUUUUUUUAUUAUUUAUCUUAUGUUAUUUAGCAUUUUAAAAAUUUAACCUUAAUUAAAACCAUUAUAAAACAUAUAAUUCAAGGCCAUUUAUGUCCAUCACCACUAUCAAUGGUCUAAUUACAAUAUAAGGACCUUUCAUUUAAUAAGCCAUAGCAAUUUGGAACUUUUAACUUAUAGAAUGCAGCUUUUUCAUUUUAUAUGAUUUAGUCCUUUUUCUCAAAUUGAACUAUUAAACGAUAAAAUUUGCUCACGAGAUUUUCACACAUGCAUUUUCACAUACUUUAAACGUCAAAAAUAAUAUUAAAAUAAUUUUACAACCUCAGAUUGGUGGUUCUGAAACCACUGUUCUGAUUUAGCUAAAAUUAGGCUGUUAUAGUUCCAAUUCCUUGUAGCACCGAGUAUGAUUGAGGCAUAGAGGUUUGAAAGAAGUGGAAAUUAAGGAUUUAAGGUUUAAAUAGUUGUAAGAGAUUUUGAGAGGAUUGAGAGGAUAAGGGGUUAAGACGUGUUUAAGGAGGUAGAUAAUAUGUUUUUAGGUUAAAAAUUAGCGGUUUAGGUGUUAACAAGUCGGUUUUAACACUGCCAGGUUGCACUGUCAAGUCGGGUCACCUUAAACAAUUGCAGCGAUGUCACGACAGAGGGGUUCUUAGUCAUAACACACUCUAAAUUUUUAGAUUUUUGAGUAUAUUGAAUUUGAUUUCAUGACACUGAAAGUCCGUUUUGUGACAUCGCAAUAAUUUUCUCAAAUUUUUUAAAACCUUAGUGUUGUGACAGGGGUCCUGUGUUGCGACACUGGCUCUGUUUUCACUUAAAGUUCCAUUUUCUAGAGUGCUACAAUUUCUAUAAAAUGAAAAGUUAGUGAAAAUUAAAAUCUAUACUAAACAAUUAUCUAAAUAUACAAUAAUUUACAAAAGUUUAGCAUCAUUUAUUCUUUAUGUCAAGGCGAUGUUGCGAUAUCCUUUGCCCUAUGUUGCAACACAGGUGGCAGUUUGCUUGACUCAUGCUGAAAUUCAGGGCUGUGUCACGAUACCAAAGGCAGUCUUGUUAUUUUGGGUAUCCUGAUCAUCAUGUUGUGACUUCAAACCUCCAUUGUUCCAACAUGGAAACUAGUCUCAUGUUCUCAUGCCUCCAAAUGAUUUCCUACAAACUCACCAAACAUGUUAGUCUUCCUUUUGGCCUACUUUGGUCCCUACAGUCAUAUAAAUGACUCAAAUCACACUUUUUUAUUAUUUAAGAACUAAAAGAGAAAAACUAAAUAAAACAUGAUGAAAUUACUUUUAUUCAAGUUUGAAAAAUGGUUUAAUCUACAACAAAAAAUUGUGGCAUAUCAAACUCCCCUAUGCUUACGUCAUUGCUUGUCCUCAAGCAAAAAGACAGAAAAAACUACAAUAAAAGAGGACUCUUGAAAAAUUAUGAUAAAAGGACCAGUUUUGGAACACAUAACUAGGAAUAAUCAUACAUACAUGUAAUUCUAACAUGAUAUAUAAAUGACUUACCAUUCUUAACUUCAAACACCUAAGUUCAAUAUAUUAUAAAAUAUAUAAACAAUAGGGUCCUCAAAUAUAUGAAUCCAUUGAUAAAUCAUAUAGGUAAUUUGAUUAUCCUAGCAGAAUACAAACAAUCUUUAUUACAAUUACUAGAUAUAAUGUCCAUUCAUGAAUAGAUUUACCAAGGUCACAUAGAACUUUUUGGGUUGUAAGUUCUAACGCUUAAGGUAGGUAUGGAAUUCAAGAACAAGGGCAUCAAAAUAGUUUCAAGCACAAAAUUAGUUUGACACGUCACAUUAUUCCCUAUUCUUCCCCUUAAUAACCCUUUCCUGCUCACCUUUUUAUUUCUCGUUCUCUCACCUUUCUUAUUUCUCGAUUUAGGAAGCCACAAUAUAAUAGAGCUACUAUGGUCAGCUUACAAGUUUUUGUGCACGAAUGGUUGAGAUUUCUAAUUUUGUAACUAAUUUUUUAGUCAUUUUUUAUUUUUUCAACAUAUCUCACUCACAAUGCUUUCAUUUUCAUUGUUCAAGUAAUUUUUCUACUCGUUUUGACCUUUCUGAAUUUUUUCUUUUAUUUUGCACAUUUUGGCUAAACCUUAUAAUCACUAUAUCACACUGCUCCUUCCUAUAUCACCCUACUUUUUUACAAAAUUGGCAUGGUGUCUCUACCUAACCCUCAAUACGUAUGACCAAAUUUCUAAAUUUAUGCAUUUCAAGGACCAAAUAAAAAGGGUAAGUACAAGUUCAUAAGUUGGCUCAGGUUUUGCAUGAAGGUUCAUCAAAAAGAGUUUUCUGGCUCAAUAUGGUACUAAGGAUAAAUGACUAAGGUUUGAUUUUUGGCUUUGGAUUAUACCAAACAAUACCUUAGGUCAUCCCUAGGUAUCUCAAUAUUCACAAAUUUAAUCAAUGAAGAAAUCACCAUUUUAACCAUUGAUCAUACAUACUUGUAUACUCGUCUCCCUAUAUUCUCUUUGUCAUUUGGUAUAUUCAAAUACUUAAUGCCUAUUUAUAGUUUAAUAUAUAGCACUUAGUAGUCUAAUAACUAAAAAUUAAAAAUCAUUCACUAUCAUGCCAAAUUUAUCGUAAAUACAACCAAACUAUAUACAUGCUUCUAACCAAUCACUUUUAUUUCUACAAGCUGAAACACACUUUUGACAAGAAAAAUAAAUGUAAAAGUGUAAAAAUCAAACUAACCUAUGCUCCCCUCACACUUUAAAUAGCACUGUGUCCCUAUUGUGUAGCCCUUAAAUAUAUAAUGAAUGAAGUUACUUGAUUCAUUGUGACAUUGUUGUAGUAUUAUGGUGGGUACUUCCUUCCUCGUUCGUUUGAAGUUCGUGACAUGAGGAGUUAAUGUCGCAACAUACAAAGAAGUUUCCCAUUUCGUUGAGUUAUUUUAUUCUUCCUACAUCUCCUUCAUUCCUGAAUUAAAAUUUUUCCUUAUUGGCUGUAGAAUUUUCAAGCAUUUCAUUCAUCUCCCAAUUUUCUUUCGUAGUUUUUCUUUCUUCAUGCUUCAUUCAUAUGGCUUUACAUUGCAAAUCUUGUGUCUUGAUUGCUUCUUUAGCCGUUCCUCUGAAAUAAUGUUUUAUUCUUUUACCAUUGACUAAAAAAGUUGUUCCCCAUUUCUAAUGGGCUCUAUUGCACCGUGAGAUGCUACUUGAUUUAUAAUCUACGGUCCUAUCCAUUUUUAUUUUUAUUUUCCAGGAAAUAAUUUUAAUCUUAAGUUGAACAAGAGUACUUUUUUCCUAGAAAAUAAUCUCGCUUAUUUAUCCCUUCAUCCUGUCGGAUUUUACUCGUUUCUUUAUAUAACUUCGCAUUUUGAUAGGCCAUGAAUUAGAAAAUCUUCUAACUCUUGCAGUUAGAAUAACCCCUCUUGCUUAGCUAAUUUAGGAUCUAAGUUUAAUUCCUUUAUUGCCCAAUAUGCCCUCUUUUUUAAUUCAAUUGGCAAUUGUUUUUUUUUCUUACACAAGUUUGUAAAAGGACAUACCUAAGGGUGUUUUGUAUGUCGUUCUAUAUGCCUAUAGUGCAUCAUCCAAUCUAAGGGCCGAAUUUUUCCUGUUAGGAUUAAUAGUUUUUUUCUAGGAUUUGUUUGAUCUCACGAUUGGACACCUUUGCUUGUCCAUUAUCCUGAGGGUGGUAUGCUGUCGUUAUUUGGUACCUUACACAGUACUCAAGUAUAGUUGUUCCAAAAUAUUUACUACAAAAGUGAGAUCCUUCAUCACUCACAAGAGUGCGAGGCAUUCCAAAUCUUAGGAAUAUGUUUUUCCCCAGAAAUUUAACUACUAACCUCGAAUCAUUUGUAGGCAGGGUUGUUGCCUCAGCCCAUCUAGAAAUGUGAUCAAUGACUAGCAAUAUGUAUUGGUUUUGGAAGGAACUUGGAAAUGUCCCAUAAAAUCAAUCCCCCAAACAUCAAAUACUUUUACCACAAGGAUUCCCAUAUGUGGCAUUUCAUCUCUUUUAGAUUUUUUUCCAGUUCGUUGACAUCUAUCAAACCCCUGUACAAAUUUGUAAGAGUCUCUGUAACACCCCAAACCCGGCCCAGACGUUAUGAUCGGAUCUGACAUGCCACAUCGAAGCGUUCAAAAUAUUUUAUAUUGUUGAUCCUGAAAAACUUACUUAGUGUUUUAAAAGAUAAUUUCAUUAUAGGUUAAAGUGAAUGGAAGCUGUGCACCAGGUAGGAAACCGGAAAAGAGGUGGUGAGUCCAUCGGACUGCUUAAGUACCAAGCUCCCUUCGGAUCCAAUCCUAGACAUGCAUACCGCCAUUGCCACACCUUAACGUCAUGGAUAUUUCUAGGAAACCGAUUUGAUUAAGUCAUUUUUAGGAAAAGUGAUUAAUUUUGGAAAAUACUUUCAUUGCGGAAGCUUUGUUUGUUGUCGUGUUAUUUUAAAAGCAAUUGUUGUUUUUGAAAAUGCGCCCUAAAGCUAUCCAAUUUCAACAGUUAAAAUAAGUAAUACCUAUCUUAGUAAUACAUAUUAAAACCAUCAAAAAUAAUUAAACGGCCUUAUUACAUUUAAAAACCCAAAACUUCAAACGUAAAUAAAAGGAUGUCCAGUUCACCAGAAGAAAAUCAAACUUUCAGAACGGGUGGCCACUCCGAAUUCCUUCACAGCUCCAAGCCCACUAUGGUUGGGGAUUACCUGCGUGGAUGAAAAUAAAAGGGGUGAGUUUGGGGAAACUCAGUAUGUAAGGAAAACCCAUUCAAAGCCCAAGUCAGCUUAAGCCCAUUGGGCCUAAGCCCAUUCAGGUAACAGUGGUACUGGGCCAGAGCCCUUUUCAGAUUACAAUAAACUGGGCCUUAGCCCCUUAUUCAGAUAACAGUAUGGCCCAUAGGCCUAUUUCAAAAUACAUGCAACAUCAGUAAACAUAUGCAAGCCCAUUAGGGGAGACUACUCAACCCACCAACCACUACACUCCACCCAUACCAGCCAUACACUCCAUGUGGGGAAUAGCUCAACCCACCCAGCCCAACACUCCACAGUUGCAGCCUUGCUGCUCAGUUAACAGUAAAUUGAGGCAAAGCCUCCAGUAUGUGGACAAGCCACUUUCAGUACUUCCUCCGUCAAUAUCCCAGUCCCAUGCAUCAGAUAAUAACAACAUGGCAUGCAGUAAAUAACAACAGUCAAACAUGCAUUUAGGUCAAUUUAACCCUAGGGGUAUUUCAGUAAUUUAUCUACUAGGUGUAAAACUGUAAAUUUUCCACUUUUUAAAGGUAUUUCAGUAAUUUAUCUAUUUUAGGGUUUUUCAUGCAUAUUCCUACUUUUCACGUACUAACAGAAUCACGUACCGAGGGUUCUUACCGAAUUGGGCCCGUUGUCCCAUCAUUCCAAUUUUGGCCCAUUAAGCCCAAAAAUAUCGAGGGCACAAAAAUCAUGCACUUUGCAGUCCAAAUUUUGCAGCUUACCAAAAACAUUAAUUGAUUUACCUCACGAGCAUUCGAACACUCACAAAUCUAAAAAAUACCGAUUUUCGGCAUUUCGGCUUUUCGACUUUUGCCGAUCCAGACUAAGAAAGAGGGUCUUAGUUACACACCUGUUUGCAAUGAUAUGCUGACGAGAUCCACACACGAACCGCCUACAAUUGGAUUACUAACAUGUUAAUCUAAUUAUUCAAAUACAAAAUACAUAUUAACCCCUUACAAUAUUCGGCCAACCACACCUACAGAUCAUAGUAAGCUUAUAAGAAAUCAAUAAGCAACUCAUUAACAAAUUUUUGUCAAUGUUAACCACAUAAUCAUAAUCUCACUGCAAGCUGUCUUCCUGAACAACAGUCACUAAAUCAUUUAUAACUGGAGCUACGAAACUCCAAAUCAAGUUCCAUUAAUUUUCCCUGAAAAUAGACUCAUAUAUCUUAUAUCCAUAAAAUUUUCAGAAUUUUUGGUUUGGCCAAUCAAUACCAGAUUUUUCUCAAAGUUUCGCAUGUUUCACUGUUUGACUAAUCUGACCACUCUUCAUUACGAAUCAAAUUUCUCAUUGUACAGAAUUCAAAAUAUGUUCUAGUUUAUUUCAUUUGAAACUAGACUCAUUAAGCUUUAAUUACAUAAUUUAUUCAGCUUCUAAUUCAUCUCCCACAAUUUAUGGUGAUUUUCCAAAGUCAAGUUACUGCUGCUGUCCCAAGCAGAUUUAUUACCAAAUCACUCUUUCACACCUAACUUGCAUGCUUGUUAUUUAAACAUGUAUAUCACCAAUCAAUCAUCACAUAUCUAUGAUUUUACUUAAGUAUAAUCUCCAUUUCAUCAUUUUAAAGCACAACAUGUUAGCCGAUUUUUCCCUUUAACAUCUAAGGCACAUGCAUGCUCAUUUGUUUGGCUCAACUUCACCUAUCUUCCAUUUUUCAUCAAAAGAACAUGAAACGACAACCAUUUCCUUCAUUUUAAUUCAUGACUAAAUGCUCACAACACAACUAAAAACCAAAAUAUGCUUCAAGAGUUAAGGUAGAAUCAAGAAGAACUCAUGAACCUCAAAAUAAAAGCAAACUACCAUGAACUUACCUUCAAUUUUCUUCCCCAAGUGACCGAACAUUCAAGAGCUUUCUCCUCUCCUUUCUCUUCUCUAACUUUAGGCUAUGAUGAACAAAGAUGGACAAAACUUUGUUCUUUUCACCCCUUUUUCUUUUAAUAAAAUUUCAUAUUUCAUCCAUUUAAUUAUUUAAUACAAAAGACAUGAAAUUCCCAUCAUGGAACAUUUACCUAACCCAUUAUCAUGGAACAUUUACCUAACCCAUUAUCAAUUUGUAUAAAAUUUGUACCAUAAAUUAUGGAUAUCAAGUGCACAUUUUGUCUACAACAACAUGAUGGCUGGCCACUUCAUGUAAAAUGGGAGGUUUGUCAUGCAAAUCCUCCUAUUUUGCACUCCUAUUUAUUUGGCCACUUCAAUUUAGCCUAUAGCAUUUUCAAACAUUUUCACAUAGGUCCUAUUUCAUAAUUUCACUCCCUUUUUCUUAUGGAACAAAAAUUAACUAAAAUUACCGAGUUCUAUCUUAAGCUUGGGCCUUCUAGAGGCCCACUAACAUAAUUAAACCUAUGCCAACAUUCACAGAAUUCCCGAAAAUUGGGGCGUUACAGUCUCUAUUCAUGGUGGGCCAAUAGAAUCCUAAUUUUAAUAUCAUCUGAGCUAUUUCAUUUUCUCCAAAGUUUCCACCACAUUGGGAAGUAUGACACUCUUGUAAAAUGUCAUUUAUCUCUUCCUCAACUACACAUUUCUAAACUAAUUGAUCGACACACUACUGAAAAACAUAUGGUUGCUCCCAAAUAUAUUUUUUCGACUCGUGUAUGAUUCUCUUAUUUUGUUGCCACGAUACAUUUAUUGGUAAAAGUCCCUUAUCAAUAUAAUUCACGUAAUCAACAUACCAUGGCAUCUUAUUGUCCUAAUACCCAUCAUGAUUCAUCUCUACCUUAAAUAAUUGCUCAUAAAUGAAAGUUUCUUUUAUUUCUUCAAGAGUUUUUGCUUCAAUUUCAUUUUUUAUUAUGGAAAUAUUAUCCACAAUUUGAUUUUCCAUUCCUUUUUGAUCUAUUAUCUAGAGACCCAAUUCUUGAAGUAAUAAAACCCACCUUAUUAAUCUAGCUUUUGUUUGUUUCUUUUUCAUGACACACUUUAAUGCAGAGCGAUUAAUAUAGACAUAAACUUUGUUUACCAUUAAACAAGGUCGAAACUUUUCACAUGAAAACACAAUCACAAGCAUUUCUUUUUUAGUAGUAGUAUAAUUACACCUUACUAAAUUUAAUGUCUUACUUGCCUAGUGGAUCGCACAAAACGAUUUGUAGCAUCGCACAUUAUAAUAAAAGGUUUAGAGCAAUCAUAGUUAAUGAUAAUAGAAGUAGAGAUAAGUUUUUCCUUUAUUACCUCAAAACCUUGAAUGCACUUUUGGUUGAAUACGAAUGGUGUUUCCUUUUGAAGGAGCUGGUUUAAUGGUUUGGAAAUGUGAGCAAAAUAUUUGAUGAAUUGCCUGUAGAAACCGGCAUGAUACAAGAAGUUUCUUAUUCUGCAGACUAUUGUAAUAAUAGGAAGGUUCUUAGUGAAUUCAAUAUUUUCUUUGUCCACUUCCAAUCAUUUUUUUGAGAUUUGAUGCCCUAAAGCUAAUCCUUUUUUUACCAUAAAAUGACAUUUUUCCAAGUUAAGUACUAAAUUGGUUUCUUCACAUAUUCUUAAUACUUUCUCAAUGUUAUCCAAAUAUUCUUAGAAAGACUCCCCAUAUACCGAAAAGUUAUCCGUAAACAUAUCGAGACCUCUUUCCGACAUAUCGACAAAAAUGGCAAUCAUGCAACUCAUAAAGUUUGUUGAAGCAUUGCAUAAUUCAAAUGGCAUACGCUUGAAGGCAUACAUACUUAAAGGGCAUGUGAAAGUAAUUUUCUCUUGGUCAUUGGGAUGUAUAGGGAUCUGAUAAUAUCUAGAAUAUCCAUCCAAGAAAUAGUAAUAUUCUUUUCGGGCUAAUCUGUCCCACAUUUGGUUAACAAACGGAAGAGGAAAAUGAUCUUUAUUCGUUGCAUCAUUCAAUUUUCGAUAAUCAAUACAUAUGUAAUUAACUUAUUCUUCUCAUAUUCAACAACUGUCAAUCCUCCUUUCUUUGGUUCACAUUGUGUAGGGCUCACCCAUUCACUGUUGGAGAUUGCAUAAAUAAUGUCGACAUCCAACCACUUGAGCAAUUCAUUUUUCACGACUUCUUUCAUAGAUGGAUAUAAACGUCAUUGAGCAUCUAGCACUGGUUUCUUUCCUUGUUCCAAUCUAAUUUUAUGUUGACAUAAUGCAAGAUUGAUCCAUUUAAUAUCUGUGAUAGUUUAUCCAAAUGCUUUUUUGUGCGUCCUCAAAAACUUCAAUAAUGCCCCUUCCUGCUUUGGGGGUAAUCCUAGAUUAAUAAUUACUGACAAAGUAUUUUGAUCUCCUAAAUAUCCAUAUUUUAGGUGGUCAAGAAAUGGUUUCAACUCCAAAAGAGGUGAAUUCAUAAUAGAAGGAACCAUUUUAGUUGUAGAUGGAGUUACCUGUUCUGGUUGUUCUCUACUUUUACGCUACCAAUUGUGUUGAAGGGCAAAUUCGUUAUUCUCUAGUUUCGAGCCAUCUGUUCUUUCCUUUUCUAUUUCAUCCUCAAUCAGCUCGAUUAAAUUCAACAUUCUGCUUCAGGAUCAUAUGACAUCCAUUCUUGGGGUAUACAUUCUGUUGUUAUAGCAUUUUCUGUCUCCCUGCUCAUACCCUAUGUAAGCUCGUUAUCACUGACUUUCUCCAAUAUAUCUCAUAUUUCCUUCCCGUUUUUGACCAAAUAAUUCCUCUGGCUAUGAUAUCAAAAUUUUGUUUACUCUAUCCAUCCAACCCAUCAUAAAAAUGUUGCAAUUGUAUUGCAAAGUUAAUACCUCAUCCCAAUAUUGACCGAAUAAUCACUUUGAACAUUUCCCAUGCCUGCCCUAUUGUCUUAGUAACAUCCUGCUAGAUUUUAAAUAGCUUCUCAUAUGUGCUAAUUAUAGUCGUAAUGGGCACAACUCGGCAUAAGGAUAAUUGCACAAGUUCAGUCCAGGUCACAAUCGUGUCUGUGGAAAGUGCACCUAACCAAACCUUUCCUUAUCCUUCUAAGGCCAAUGGGAUUAAUAACAAUUUAAUAACCUAUAUGGAUACACUGACAUGCACAAUUAUGUUGCAUAUGUGCUCAAACCUUCUGAGCAAAUCUCUUAGGUCCCCAUUUUUGUAGCUGUUAAACCUGAUAUUUGAAUACAUCCAUGUUAAUAAUUGAUUUGUCACAAUACGAUGUAGCAAGAUAACUAGUUUUCAUACUUAAGGAGCUUGAAUACAAGCAUUUUUAUCAUGUUUUAGUAAAGUUUUUUGUAUUUGUUUUGAAUUCAAUAAAAAAAUUAUAUUUGGAGCCUUUUUAUGACUUUAGAGGUCGAAUGAGGCCUAAGGGUGAGCUAAUGUACUUAGUGAGUGUGCAGGAGACCAUUCAAAGGAAUAGGAACUCAAGGCUGGUCAUUAUGUUGUGACUGCCUCCGGACGUACUAAGUCCUAAGUGUGAAUACUUCAACUAAGGAUAUGGGUUGGAGGUGGUGUCCGCAAGGAUACGGGUCAGGUUGUAAUAUAGUUUGUUUACAACGAAACAUUUGGUAAGUAUUCUGAGGAUCAUGCCCAAGUGAUUGCAGUUUGGGGAAAACUACUAUUAAGCUAAUUACCAAAAAUAAUUACUAAUCUACUCGAGUCACAAAUUAGUAGUGUUAAUCAAGAAGCAAGAUAAUAAUAAUAAGAAACUAAAUAAAUUUAACUAAAUCUAAAUCGACUCAUAGGUUCAUGUAUCGGCUUUUCCUAUUCCUUGUUUUGACUAUGUGAGUUCCUUUUAGUCUAGAUCCAAUUGUUUUAUUUAAUUAAUUAUUGAUGUGAGCUCUAAUUAAUCAACUAGUCAUUAUCCUAGCAGGAUAUUUUGAUCUUCGACUAAACUAACAAGUCAACAAGAACUACUUAUCUCUCGACCUCAUAGUCUAGACCAGUUCAGGGUUAAGGUGUUCACAGAUAGGCCAUACCAAUUCUGGGUUAAUGCCCUCCUAAAAGAUUUCCUAGGGUUAUCAAGCUAGGGUCUAAGUUCUUCCUCUCUCAAAUAGCUGAUCCACUAAGAAACUCUAUCAUUCAAUCAAUUAAUUAAGUUAAAGCAAUUGAGACAUGCAAAAUAUGUAGAAAGCAUAAAUUAAUUCUAAUAUUUACAAAAAAAAUUCAUAUAACAAUGUUAAAGAAAGAAAUAUAAAGAAGAGAAUAAGGAAAAGAUAUGCUCAUGGAUUUAUCAAAGAAAUCGUGGUUGCGGAACAAUCUCCCCUCGCUGAAGUCUCACAUCAGAAUAGGAUCUUUCGAUUACAAGAACAUAAAAAAAACCUAAGUAAAAACUAAGAAUGAAAGAAAAACCUAAGACUAAAAACCCUAAAAUUGUGUGUUUAAAUUGAUUACAAUGGCCUUUAUAUAAGCUAAAACGGAAUAUAAAGUGACUAAAUUAUCCUUGAAAGUCCAUAGAGUUCGACUGGGACAAAUACACCUAAUUUACCUCCAAAACAUAAUUAAAACGAGCAGGAGUUUUUGGGCUGCGCAGGGGGUUGGUGGCCUAUAAUGUUGCAACAUCAGAAUACGAUGUUGCGACAUUGAAGUGCCAUGUAGUGACAUUGAGGGCAGUUUUGCUCUAGAACUUGUUUUUAGCUUUUGUCUUUGACAUUGAGACAUCAGUAACUUGGUGUCGCGACAUAGGCAUCAAUUUUGGCCCAAAUAUGCAUCUUUAACUCUUGAUUUCUCCUAAAAGACCAUGUAACCUUAUUUAGAUAUAUAGAAUGUAAUAAAAAAUACUAAAAAGUAUAAAUUACUACUUUAAGCAUGAAACCCUAAAUAUAUACUAAGAUGCUUUGAUUUAAUGUAACACCCCUUACCCGUAUUCAACACCGGAACAGGGUCCGAAGAAUUACUGGACUUACCACACAAACAAUCAUACAAUUCCGAGCCAUAAAUUUGCGUCCAAAUUAAAACCAUUUGCAAUUAUUCUUAAAGUCCCUAAUAUGAGCCUACGAGGCCCUAAACAUGCUUUGGGAGUGGUUCGGAACUAAACCGAGAACUUUCGAAAUUUUUACAAAACAUAGAAAAUUUUCCACUAAACAAGGGUCACACGCCUGUGUGAUAUGGGACACUCCUGUGUGGUCAGGCUGUGUGGUCACACACGCUAGUGUCCCGACCCUGUGUAACUCUCUAACUUGUAACUCAUGAAAAAAUUGGGAUCACGCGGCCAAGUCACACGCCCGUGUGCUAGAUCGUGUAGAAAAAUAAUUUUCAUAACAUAGGUGCAGACUUCACAUGGCCAGGGCACACGCCCGUGUUUGAGGCCGUGCCGUCCACAUGGCUGAGACACAUACCUAUGUCUCUGCCCGUGUGCUCAAUUCUGAGCAUUCUAUUUCUCAAAAUUAAGGUGUAGGGGAUACACAGCCAAAACACAUGCCCAUGGAACAGGCCAUGUGUCACACACGGCCUAGACACACGCCGGUGUGUCUACUCGUGUGGACAAAAUAAGGGCUAUUUACCAAGCCAUUUGCCACCCUUAUUCACAUACACAUACACCAAUUCAAUGGAACAAAACAUAAUAUACUUAGGCAACCAAAACACCCACAAUUGUGACCAACACAUGCCAAUACAAUAGCAACAUCUAUCAUACUCACAACAUUUAUUAUGCCCUAAAUCAAUCAUGCAAAGUUCACAUUCAUGCUAUGAAUCACAUUCCAUCUUUCACCAAGCAUAUCAUGACCAUAUCAAAAAAUACAUUGGCACAUUUAUGAAUAUACUUAGGCUUACAACCAUGUUAGCAAAAAUAAGCCAAUUUACACAGCCAAAUAUCAAAUCAAGCCUUUGAUAAUUACAAGCCAAUACAUUGGCUAAAAUCAUAAUGACACAUAUAAAAAAAUGACCAAGUCCCUAUACAUGCCAUACUUUCAAAAUACUAGGAUCAUUAAUACCCAAAAAUGAGAGUUUGAUAGUGUGAUUCGGAUCUCCGACGAUCUCCGAUCUGAGUUAGCUUGGUGACACUAUAAAACAUGGAAAAUAAACGGAGUAAGCUAUAUAGCUUAGUAAGCUCGUAUGCAAGAAAUAAGCAACCUUACCAUGCAUAUAACAUUUAAGUAUUAUAACAUAAUUAAAUGUAAAUUUACCAUAGUCUCAUGAUCAUAACUCAUUCCACCACAAAACUUACUUCAUAUUCAUCGUUUCAAGCAUUUAAUAAACAUGGGCUUUAUGUACAUACUUGAACCAUCUCGAAAUGAAUUUACACAUAUUCUCAUAUUUGACAUACCUGUGAACCACACCAAAAUAAUAAUGUCGGAUACUCGGGAUUUUUGUACACUAAGUGCCACAUACGUAACCAAUGCUACCCCAAUCUCAUAUCACAUAAUCGCUCGCUCCCGAGCUAUCAACGGGCCUUCUCACACAUGCUGUCAGUCAAGACAUAGCUACGCGGUGUUGCUUACACAAGCUGUCAAGUAUCCAAAACAUAUGCCAGUAUAGUCAACCAUCGGUAGGACGUACAAGACCAGCACCCGGAUCACAUAAUCACAUAACAUAUAAUGGCCCUAGUGAUAAGUCACUUGUAUCCUAAUCUAUUCCUAAGGUUCAACGGGACUUCUCACUUGCCGAAUCGUCGUUGAACUCGUUUGUAGAAUUAUACUCAUUCACAUAAUCAAAUAUACAAUUCAUGCAAUAUUAAAGGAUUUAAGUACAAUUAUUCUAAAGCUUAUUUUUAACAUACGAACUUACCUUGGUUACAAAAAUGACCAAAGGGAGCUAUUCGUCAAUUACUUUGUUUUUCCCCCGAUCUUGAACCAAACUUUGUUUUUCUUGAUCUAUAAUACCAAAUUUUACUCAUUCAAUCAUUACAUUAUUCAAAUUAAUCCCAAAAACACCUUAUGGAAAAAAUUACAUUUUUUACCCUAACUUUUUAACUUUUUACGUUUUAAUCCCUAUGCUUGUAAAAUUAUUUUCAUUCAAUUUCAUCACAGCCAGGCCUAGCCGAACCUAUUCCUUGCUCAUAACAACCCAUAUUUUUCAUUUAUUCACUUUUUUACACACAUUUUACAACCUUUACAAAUAGGUCCCUAUUUGACAUUUUCAUCAAAAAAUCACUUGGUAAAUGUUGUUUAUCUAACACCCAACAUGCAUUUUCUACCAUUAAACAUCAAAAUACACAAAUAUUCAACAUGAGUAAAAUUUUAGACUUUGAUUUUGUUUCAAAUUAGUCUUUAGAAUAGCUAAAUCAAGUUACAACAUUCACAAAAACGUAAAAAUCAUUAAAAACGGGACAAGACGGACUUACAAUUGAGCUUAGAAGCUUGGCCAAAACCCUAGCUAUGGUGACCCUUGAAAUUUCGGCACGAGGAUGAAAUUAAGAAGAUGACAUCUUUUAUUUUUUUUAUUUUGUCUUUAUUAACCAAAUGACCAAAAUGCCCUUAAUGGCAAACUUUGAAAUUUCACCUAACCAUGUCCAUUUUUGUCCAACUUAGAGUAUAAUGGUCUAGUUAUCAUUUAAGGACCUCCAAUUUAAAAUUUCAUAGAAUUAGACACCUCUAGCUUCUAGAACACAUAUUUUACACCUAUUGUAAUUUAGUACUAUUAGUCAAAUUGGACAUUCUAUUGAUAAAAUUUCUUUACAAAAUUUUCACACAAUCAUUCAAUCAUACUGUAAACCUUAAAUUAAUAAUAAAAUUAACAUUUCUACUUUAGAUUUGUGGUCCCGAAACCACUGUCUCGAUUUGUCCCAAAACGGGCUGUUACAACUCUCCCCCCUUUAGGGCUUUUCAUCCCCAAAAAUCUUACAGGAAAAGAGGUUUGGGUACUAUUUUCUCAUAGCUUCCUUGGUUUCCCACGUAGCUUCUUCGACCCCAUGUCUUUGCCACAAAACUUUCACUAGGGCUGUAUUUUUAUUUCUCAACUAUUUAACUUUUCGGGGUAGGAUCUUGAUCAGUUCUUCACCAUAAGUUAUGUAGGGUCGAUUCUCAACCUUAGUUUGUGAAAUUACGUGUGAAGGAUCUGACCGGUAACGACGUAACAUCGACACAUGAAUCCUUUCUAACUCUGAAGGCAAGGCUAGUUGAUAUGCCACUGGCCCUAUUCUUUCAAUAAUCUCAUACGGCCCAAUGAAUCGCGGACUCAACUUGCCUUUGAGACCAAAUCUAAAAAUUUUCUUCCACGGAGACACUUUUAGAAAUACCUUAUCACUGACUUAAAAUCCAAUUUCCUUUCAUUUUAGAUCCGCGUACAAUUACUAUCUUUCCGAAGCUGCUUUCAAAUAAUAACGAAUUAAUUUCAUUAUUUCUUCGAUUUCUUUAACCAAAUCAACCCUGUGAAUCUGUCUCUUACUGAGCUCGGUCUAGUACAACGGAGUUUAACACUUGCGACCAUACAAUGCCUCAUAUGGUGCCAUCUUUAUACUCGACUAAAAACUGUUGUUAUAAGCAAAUUCGACUAAAGAUAGAUAUUUUUCCCAACUACCUUCAAACUCUAAAACACAAUGAUCGCGUUAUUUCGUGAUAGGUUUUAAAUAUUUAUAAUUACUCGUUCUUGAACUAAUUAUUAUCGCGAUGUAGGAAAGUGUACCUAUCGAAUAAUAGUAUAGUUUUAGCAAGACCAGAUUGUCGAACCCAAAGGAACUAAAAGUACUAGUAAUGAUUGUCUUUUUAUUAUCUAGCCUAAGAAUAAAGAGGUUUUGUUUUAACUAACUAAUUAUCUAAACUAAGAACGCACAAAGAAAAGAAAUGGGGAAUUGCUUUUGGGAAAAUCGAUUGACUUAAGACAAUACCUAAGGAAAAAUCCACCUAGACUUUACUUGUUAUUCUGGCUCCGAAUCGGAUGAUUUAUUCAUUCAACUUGUUCUGUAGAGAUCCCUAAGUUAUGUUAUUAUCCCUAUUCAAGACUAAUAACGUCUAAUCCCUAGAUUGAAUAACCGAUACUUUUCUCUAAUUAACACUCUAGGGUUGCAUUAACUCGAUCUAUAGAUCCCCUUAAUAGGUUUCACCCUAAUCCGGCAAAAUCUUGUCACCCUAUUUCUAGGUGCGUAAUCAACUCCGCUUAAUUAUGACAAAUGUACUCUUAGACAGGGCCUAUUCCUCCUCUAACUAAGAGCUUGUCUUGAAUUAGUAUCCUGGAAUAUUAAAACAAGAAUUAAGAACACAUAAUUAAGAACAAGUUAAAUAUUUAUCAUACGAUUCAGAAAAUAUAACAAGAUUCGUCUUAGGUUUCAUUCCCCUUAGGUAUUUAGGGGUUUUACUUCAUAACUAAAUAAGAAAACAUCGUAGAAGAAUAAAGAAUACAAAAAAUAAGAAAACCCAAAACUCUUGAAAGGAAAUUGAGGAGAGAUCUUCAGUCAUGAUGAUGAAUCCAGCUUCUGAGAUGGAUCGACCGGCUUCCUUGGAGUAAUUCCUUACCCCUUAUUCUCCGGCUCCCUUUUCUUCCCCGUCUAGGGUGUAUUUAUAGGCUUUGGAAUGCCUAUGAGCCCUCAAAAGUGGCCUUUUCUGAAUUGGACUCAUCUUGGGCUCGGCCGGGACACGCCCGUGUGUGAUUACUUUAGGCAGUGUUCGAGCCUGUUAGAAUGGCACGGGCAUGUGCUAUACCCGUAUGAGUCGUGCUUCGAUUCUGCCAGAUUGACACAGCCGUGUAGUUUGACUGUGUGAGGAGGUCCAGGCCAUGUUGAUUCGUACUUUGGCCCAUUUUUUCUGUUUUUGGCCCUUUCUCGUUCUUUCGCUCUCCUAUGCUCUCCUAAGUAUGAAACAUGAAAUUAAAGCAUUAGGAGCAUCUAAUUCACCAAUUCUAAUGAGAAAUCAUUCGUAAAAUGCAUUAAACAUGGGGUAAAAAUAUGUAUAAUUUAUGAUUUAUCAAAUACCCCACACUUAAGCAUUUGCUUGUCCUCAAGCAAAAUUCUCAACUCAUAAUCAAAAGAAAUUUUUCUCAACUUAUAAUUUCUAUCAAUAAUAUCUCAAAAUAAUCCAUAAGUAAUCAUACUUUGAGAAUUCAUCUAAAAUAGCAUAAAAGUUUCAAACAUUCCAAGUUGAGUAUUUAGUCAUGCAAACAUAGGUGCCUCCCUUCAUCUAAGUAAUUACCUUUAAGUCAGAAUAUCACAAAGUUUCACAUCCUCACUAAAGAUUCACUCAAAUCACUUGAGGUGUUUAAGGACAAUUGAAGCACUCAAUAGUCAAUAUUGAAAAGUCAUUACCAUAGGCUUGCAUGAAAAUCAAGUCUCCACCACUAUAAUUUAAGAUGAUACAUCAAUCAAAAGUUCUUUAGAGGGUUGUAAUGAGGUUUGGUUAGAGGGUGUGGUCACAAGCUAAAAGAAAGGGUUAGAAUCGAGAUUGAAUUGAAAAAUUACCUACCUAGAAAAAGAGUUAAUCUUCACUUGCGUACAACAGAGCUUCUCUCAAAAUAUGAAAUUACAGAUAUGUAUACAUAGUUUUUUUUAAGAACAAGUUAAAUAUUCAAAGACUAACUUAUUACAAACAAGAUAUAACUAAGUAAUUUCUUCAACUCAAAUCUCGAAAAAAAAUAGGGAUCAAAUUAAUUUAGGGGAUUUCAACAAUAAUGGGUUAAGGGUCAAUAUUGAGGUUAAUACAAGGAAUGGUUUGUUAGGCUCAAAGGGGUUUACUAAGGGUUAAUCGUGGAGGUAAGCUUUUCAUGGCAUGAGUGGGUUAAUCCUAAGUGCCUUAAUCAUUUUGAUAUAUCAAAUCAAAUGGUGUGGUCUCGACAUGCAUAAUCAAGCAAGUUCUAGAAUAACAGUUCAAUACUGACGCACUCAAAGCAAUAAUAAAAGUGAGCAUGAAAGAAUUAAUAGAUGCUCAAAAGGCUCAAAAAUCUCACCAAAAAUUAUGGCUUUUUUAUGUUAAAAACUUGUGAAUUCCAAUUCAAAGUAAUACCUAGACUUGGGGAAACAGCCUAAGUUUUUAAAUUUUUAAAAAAAUCAACUCAUCAUGCUUGAUUCUCUAUUUCUUAAAGUUUAAAAUAAUCAAUGCAUAAAUCCCUAUGUUUUAAUUCAAGAUAUAUCAAUCAAAAUCAUAAAUCAAUUAAAAUUUAUCCUAAAUAUGAUAUGAGAGCUUUUUAAGAGAACAAGGCAGUCAUUUAGGGAUUUUUCUGAUAAAGAAUUGAAUACCCCCUCCACACUUAAUAUGUACAUUGCCCUCAAUGUACAAAGAUAGGUAUUAUAAAAUAAUAAUAAGAUAGGGAGAGAAGUGAAACUUCCUGUAUGAUGAAUUCCUCGAACUAGAGUUUUGGAGAGUAAUUGGUUCGAGAGUGGAGGAGGAUACUCCGACUGUCAUAGAGGUUCAUUAGACCGUAAGUCCUGCGCCAAAAGAAUAUUAUAUCUAGUGGUAGCUAUGGUCAUGGUCGAGCAGGACAUGGCAGUCGUGGAGAACCUUUCCUGGUGGAGUUUUAGUUCCUAUGUGAUGAUGAGCUUAAGAGCUCUAUAACUAUGAUAAAAUCAGGAACUUUUUAGGGGAUAUUAGGAAGAAUAAUUACUCGAAAAGAAAUAACCAAAAUUAAUAAUUAAAAAUAAAAUUUCUAAAAUCUAAUAAAAAUAUAAAGUAGUUUCAAUAAAAAAUUAAAAACAUAAAAUAAUAAAUAAAUAUUUUUAAACAUCUUCAUCACUAGAUGGUUCGCGAGGUGGGACUGGCGAUGAGAUGUGGAGGUGCUGACAAAUUUGCUGUAGAGUAUCAUCAAUGUUGUCAAAUCAUUGAAAACACUGAUACUCGAAUCGGGUGAGGCGUUCAGAGAUGUCACCAUAGGAGGCCUUCGUAUGAACUGGAUGAGAGGGUGGUGGUGGCUGAAUUGGUGGGUCCUCAUGCUGUGGGGGGACAUCAUCAGGAAUGUCCUUGUAGGUCUCCUCCUCGGUAGAUUGGGCGAGACGAUACUGGGGAGGGUAGGUUCCUCGGCGCCUCUCGAUCAUCCUCAUGCUAAGCAUGCUCGAGAUGCUUUGUGGAGACAUCUGGCAGAUGUGAGUGAGGGAUGAUUCUUGGGCCACGGUGUUGAGGAGCCCGAAGUGUCGCGCCAGCCGAGUCACAUAGGGGCCAAUGGAGAUGACCCCCCCUCUGGUGUCGCUGCGUUUGGUGGCGUAUGGCAAAGGCGAUGAAGUAGGCGAGGUCGAUGACAUGGCCGUUGGACAUACACCACAAGUAAUAGACAUCGUAGGUAGUGACGAUGCCGGUGCUCUCCCUCCGUCUUGUCAAAGUGUGAUAUAAGAUAGAAUGGAGGUGCCUUAGGGAUGGAGGGAGGGAUGAUGCCUUGGUGCGACUGGGGUCGUAGGUGGCCAAACGUGACACAAGGGCAUUCCACAACUUGGAAGGAGAAUAAUGGAUGUGGCGAUUGAGUGUAUCAAGAUCAUUCUCCUCUCAAAAUUCCUCUGUGUAAAGUCCCAGUGCUGCACCAAACUCUGGGACGCUCAAUUGGCAUACUAGACCGCCAAGUCUAAAUUGGAUUGUGCCCGGAUCAUCAUGGUUGGUCAUGACAAGCACAGUUCUAUUGUGAGCUCGAGGUACGUCGGCUCAAUGAUCUCAAAGAAUUGCUCCCAAGGGUCGGUGGUAAGAAGAACCCGAAUCGUGUCAGCCAAAUGGACUUGUUCGACAGCAGCCCAGUCGAUGCAGCAGUCCGCUGCAAAGGUCGGGCCUGUAGUAUUUGAAACAGUUCUUCUUAGGCCUUUUGGGGAAUUGGAGGAAAGGGUGACAAAUUUUUGCGGUAGGACCCGAGGAAGAUGAUGCUCCCUUCCUUUUCUUUGAAGCGAGGACAGUGGAUUUAUUUCCUCUUGGAGACGACAUUGUAUACCUUUAAUUUGUCAAGAAGAAUAAUAGUAAAUACAUGAAUUUGGAAAGCCAUGAAUUUAAACUACUAAUUUCAGCCAAAAUAUGAACCAAACUCAACCAAAAAAAUUCUUUUUGAUAGCAUAAUUUCGUGACAUUGUAAGGGCAUGAGGAUGGGCAUAAUAAUGGUAUGUGAAUGACAAUGGAAUGAAGCUUUCCUAACGACCUACAUUAACAUAAAAUGCAUGAUAAAUAAUCUAAUAAUGCAGGAAAUAAUGAACAAAAUGAACAUAGUAUGAUAAAAAUAACAAUUAUUUUAAGCAUAUGCAUUAAAAAUAAAUAGAAUAGAGGUGAAAAGAGUGAACAAAUGAUAAGGGAGAGAGAUUGGGCGUCAAAAAUGGAGUGAGAAGCGGUGCACGGGCAUGGCACAGAGGCCGUGUGGACUUGCAGCGGCUAGGGUUAGGGUCUUUCUGAGUGGGGAAGACAAUGAAUAGUGCAGCCUAUUUAUAGAUUUUGGGACACACGGCCAUGGGACACAUCGUGUGCCCCAAUUUCAGCCUAUGUGUUUCGUGUUUUUCCUAUUUUGGGGCGUCUAAAAUUUGACACACGCCCGUGUGCCUCGGACGUGUUGGUGAAUACGGCCGUGUCGCACGGCUGUGUCUAGCUUCAUUCGCUUCUCCCACGCCCAUGUGUUAAAGCCCUACACCCGUGUUAAUUUGACAGGUUCACCCACGGGUGUUAGACACGGGCGUCUCGCAAGCCCAUGCUAUUUUAACAGGUUCAUCCAUGGUUCUUCCACACGCCCGUGUUAUUUUGGCAGGCUCGACCAUGGCCAUGUCGCACGAUCGUGGUGUUUUAUCGUAGCCAGGGUUGGGGAAAUCUUUUGCCCUAUUUUCACGCUGUCCUAAGCACGCCCGUGUGCUUGGCCAUGUCCCUAUGGUGGACUUAUUUUCAAGAGCUCCAUUAGUAGGUUAGGUGUUAAACACUUAAAAUCUGAAGAAGUUAAUACAGUUAGUUCUCGGGUUGCCUCCCGAGAAGCGCUUAUUUAUAGUCUAAGCUCGACUUACCUCUCUGUUGAAUGGUCAUGGUAGUUCAAGGAGUUCGUACUCCUCAUUCCUGUUAUCAGUCUUGACAAAAUAAGGUUUUAGACGGGUAUUGUUUACCUUAAAAGUGCCAAACUUGGGAUGACUUACCUCAACCGUACCGAAUGGGAAAAUACUAUGUACCGUAAGAGGGGUUUCUUCAUUCGGGUUGGUAGUGACAAUGUGACAAUCCGCGGCAUCUAGUAAGACUUUAUCUCCAACCUUAAGUAAAUUUGGGGAGGUAUCGAACUCAUUCUGGCGUAAUUUUAGUUUAUCGUGUGUUCUUGGUUUAUGUGCUCGCCAUUCGUCUAGCUCCUCUAUCCGUAGCCUUCAUUCUUCAUGAAUCUGUCCUCUAUCAUUGCUGGAACAUGGCUCAUGAACUUCUUUAAAACUCAAUUUCUGCAAAGUAGGUUUUUUCAUAUUGUCAGUUUUAGUAGACUGGUGUGGACCAUUACCUUCAAUGUUUGAUGUGAUGCCAGAAUUACGAGCUUGAAGGGUGAUCGUUUCGUCUCCCACACGAAGUGUAAGCUCACUUGUGCCAACAUCAAUAAUGGUUUUAGCAGUUGCUAAAAAGGGCCUUCCUAAAAUCAAAGAGGUGUUAUUAUCCUCCUCUAUGUCUAGAACAACGAAAUCAACGGGAAAUAUGAACUUAUCUACUUUCACUAGUACAUCUUCAAUAAUACCCCAAGGAAAUCUUAUAGUUUUAUUUACCAAUUGAAUGCUCAUCCUAGUCUGUUUAGGUUUCCCAAGACCUAGUUGCUUAAACAUUUUGUAAGGCAUGACGUUAAUACUAGCCCCUAAAUCAGCUAAUGCAUGAUUUAUAUCUAAACUACAAAUUAAGUAAGGAAUUGUAAAACUCCCUGGAUCUUUCAAUUUGUGGGGUAGCUAAUUCUGUAGAAUAGCUGAGCAGACUACGUUUAGCUCCACAUGCUACGCUUCGUCCAACUUCCGCUUAUUUACUAAAAGCUAUUUUAAAAAUUUCAUUGCAUUCGGCAUCUGUGACAGAGCUUCAAUAAACGGUAAGUUAAUAUGUAAUUUUUUCAAAAGUUUAAGGAAUUUACCGAAUUUUUCGUCUGAGCGGUCUUUCCUUGUCGCGUUAGGGUAUGGGACACAAGGUUUAUAUUCUUCAUUCACCAUUUUUUUAUGACUUACCUCACUUUUACCCUUGCUCACCACAGUUUCUUGCAUCAAUUCUGGCUCAGGCGCAAUGAACCCUUCCUUAUCUUGAGUACUAAUUGCGUUGAGGUGUUCCCUUGGGUUAUGUAACACCCCUCACCCAGCCCCGACACCAGAACUGGGUUCAAAGUGAUACCGAACACUUUUACACUAUUUCAAGUUGUGGCAUUCAAAAAUUACCUUCACGGAAUACAUCCGAUUUCAAUUUUCUUAUUUAUUUACGUAUCGGGCCCAUAACGCACAUAUAAGCAGGUUCGGAGAGAAACCAAGACCCUUCAGUCACUUAAGAAAUUUAGCAUUUAACUACAUCACACGCCCGUGUGACAUUAGACACGACCGUGUUACCAAAAUAGAAUAGGGGGUUAAGUUGCAGGGGACACACGUCCUGAGAACACACCUGUAUGGUGUGACCGUGUGUCACACACGGCCUAGACACACGCCCGUGUGUCUAUCCAUGUGGACACUUCUAAGCUAUAUGACAAGCCAUUUGCCACCCUGAACAAUCCUAAACACCCAUACAAUUAUUCAUACAUUCAAAACUUCAUAAACAAUGAAAUUAUAUCAUAUGAUUACACAUUAUCAUUAUACAUAACUCACACUCAGAAAAAUGGAGUCCCCUAUACAUGCCUUAAACCUUAAUGAUUUACAAUCCUUCUCACCUCACAUGAUAACUCGAUAGUGUGGUGUUAUCUCCGGCCCUUCCAACUCGAGCUAUUGUACAGACCUAUAAGAAAUGGGGAAAGAGAACGGGGAGUAAGCUUCAAAGCUUAGUAAGUUCAUAAGAAAACAAUUAGCAACUCAUUAACAAGUUUUAUCAAUGUUUACAACAUAAUCACAAAUUCACUACAAUCUGUCUUCCUGAGUAACAGUCACUAAAUUAUUUAUAACUGGAGGUGCGAAACUCCAAAUCAAGUGCCAUUAAUUUUCCCUGAAAAUAGAUUCAUAUAUCUUCUAUUCAUAAAAUUUUUAGAAUUUUUGGUUUGGCCAUUCAAUACCAGAUUUUCUUAAAGUUUCCCUAUUUCACUGUUUGACUAUUCUGACCACUAUUAACUACGAAUCAAAUUUCUCACUGUACAUAAUUCAAAAUAUGUUUUUGUUUAUUUCAUUUGAAACUAGACUCAUUAAGGAGUCUAAUCAUUUAAAUUUUAUCUUAUGACCAUUUUUUUACAAUUUAUAAUGAUUUUAUAAAAACAGAACAGGGGAUCUAGAAGUCAUUUUGACUCUGUCCCACAUCACUUCAAAUAUCUCAUUAUCGGAAAUUCUUUUGCCUACACAGGUUCUUUUAUAAGAAACUAGACUCAUUAAGCUUUAGUUACAUAAUUUAUUCAGCCUCUAACUCAACUCCCACAAUUUAUGAUGAUUUUUAAAAAUCACAUUACUGCUGCUGUCCCAAGUAGAUUUAUUACAAAUUUACUCUUUCACACAUUCUUUGCAUUCAUGUUAUUUAAACAUGUAUAUCACCAUUCAAUUUCAUCAUAUUUUUAUUCAUCACAAACAUGGACCUAUGAUUACAAGGUCACCAUAAAUUCUAUUUCAGAUAUAUAUAACAUCUUCACAUAUACUUCUCAUUUCACAUCCAUGAUUCAAUUCUGAUCAAUCUAACAUAUAUAUAGGUAUAUAACAUAUACCUGGACAACUUAACGUAUUACACAAAUUCAAUUGCCGAUCUAACACAAGGUCUCAUAGUUGAACAUAAACAUGAAACCAUUUCUCAUAUGUUCGAUUCACAUCAAUAAUUAAAUUCAUUUAAUUCACAUGUACAUAAUUAGGUUGUUCGUACCUGAAUAAUUUACUUUACGGAACGAAUCCACAUAUCGUAUUAGCCCAUAGUCUUAUAGCACCACACUUUUAAUAGUUCACCGGCAAUUUGCUUGCUAGGUAAUAACCUGAUUUCAUCACCGGCAAUAAGCCUGCUAGACCUUUAAGUCCGAUAUCAUUUCAUCGGCAUUACGCCUGCUAGGCUCGGAGCCCGAUAAAAUUCACCAGCUUAAAGCUUGCUAGACCUUUAAGUCCGUUAUCAUUUCACCAGCAUUAUGUCUGCUAGGCUCAGAGCUCGAUAAUAUUCACCAGCUUAAAGCUUGCUAGACCUUUAAGUCCGAUAUCAUUUCAUCACCAUUACGCCUGCUAGGCUCAAAGCCCGAAAUUCAUCACCGGUACAAGGCCUGCUAGGUUUGAAACCCGAAUAUAUAUUAUAAUGUAUAACUUAUAUCAUCGAUCACUAACAUUUACCUUAUCGAAGUUCACAUUUAAUCACUUUAGUACCAAGCCACAUUCGGCUACCACAUAUGACUAAUAAUAAUUUUAUACACAUCGUGGUUUCCUUUAGAUAUUCAAUAAUCACAAAUCGUGAUAUCUCUUCCAGCACAUAUACGGCAUAGUUUAUUCAUUGUAACACUCAUUUAGUGCAUCAAAUUUCCAAAUCCAAUUCAACUUAAGCAUAAUAGCCAUAAUCGGCUUAUAGCCUUAAAUCAUUACAUAUUCGACACAUUAACUAAAUAAAAUUAACAUUCUCUUUUCCAUAUUAAUUUAACACUUAGGCAUAUAAAAAGAAUCAAGCUUAAACACUUAAGAACUUACCUUGAAUGUCAUUGAACAAUUACGGGUUGAUUAAUCAACUACUUUGGCUUUCCGCCUAUCCGAAUUUAGCUCCCUUUGCUCUUGAGCUUAAUUCAAGCAAACAAAUAAACAUUUAUUCACCUUAAUACAUCUCAUGACUAAAUGCCUUUAAUUUUAAUAAUAGCAAUCCUUUAACAAAAUAACAGUCAACCAAAACAAAUUCAGUUAUACAACUAUAUAAUUAAAAGCAUCAAUCAUGCUUAACUAAACGUUAAGCUAUAAUCGAAAUCACUCAAACAUAUUUAUGGUCAAAUAUAGCAAGAAAACUAAAUAGGCUUUACUAGCCACACUUAGCUCAAUUAUAACAUAACUUCACUUACUUAAAAGCACAUUCGGCAACUUGAUAACUAAGUUAAUAUCAUGGUAUCAUAACUCAACAUUUAUCAACAUGUCAUUAGCAAAAUAUGCUCAUGUCAAAUUUGCUCCCAAUCACAUUUCAAAAUUCAACAAGCUUAGAGCUCAUUUAAUAAUUAAAUUCCAUUUCAAUGCAUCAAAACAUUAUCAAAUGUAUACUCAUCCUAAAUGACCGAAUGCACAUUAACUAAGCACUUAACAAUUUUCUUUAACCAUUAAACUCAUUCGGCAAUGAUAAGGACAAAUUUAGCAAACCUUAAAUUCAACUUAUAAUUGUGCAUAUCUCAUUCAAAACACCCACACCAAUUUAUUAUCCAAUCAUCCAUAACCGAAUACACAUAUUUCUUUCAUUUAUUCUUAACAAAAUUUUAUCAAGCUUAAAUAUCCAUUCCAUCAUUUUAAAACGCAAACAUUACUCAAAUGUUAUCUAAAUUCACAUUCGGCAACUACAUAUACACACAGGCCGAUUUCCCCUUAUCAUCUAAUCCACCUAUAUGAACAUUUAACUAGCUCAAAAUUCACCCAUCCACAAUUACUCAUUAAAACAUAAAGACAACAACCAUUCCCUUCAAAUUCUUCCAUGGCCGAUUGCUCAUAUCACCACAAAAUUCAAAAUUUUGACAUGGGCUAAGUAAGGGACUUAGUAACUAGCUUAAAAUAUGCUAAAAUUUCAAGAACUAACAUGAAUUACUUACCUUAAUUCAAUCUUAAAGGUGACCGAAUGGCUUAGUUCCCUUUUCUUUCUUUAAAUUCGGCUAAGAAGAAACAAAGAUGAGCACUUUUUUUUCCUUCACCCUUUAGCUAUUUUACUUAUCUUUAUUUUAUAUUAUAAAACCAUUUAGUUAUUAUAAUACUAAUAUAAAAUACAUAUAUUUUGUAUCAAAUAUCAUCAUGGCCGGCCACUUUCUCAAAAGUGGGGAAUUUACAUGCCAGUCCACAUUUUUUAAACCAUACAUUAUUUGACCACUACAAUUUAACCUAUCACAUUUUCAAAGUUUCACACAUAAGUCCUUUUUAAUAAUUUCACAUUCAAAUGACAAAAUUAAGACAUGAUACUUUCACACAUGAUACUUCACAUAUAAUAAACAUAGAAAAGAGCAUUUAAAUAAUUUUGUGACUCAGUUUUGUGGUCCCGCGACCACUUUUCGACUAGGUCAAAUUAGGGUUGUCACAGGUUAGGUUCAGUAUUACUUGGUAAGCUACCUUGUGGUCGUUCGGAGAUUAGUUUGGAUAGCUGGCCUAUCUGAGUUUCGAGUCCUUGGAUCGAUGCUUAUUGAUUUUUAAGUGCUGUCUCGGUAUUUUAGAAAUGGGUUUCUGACACUAAGAUGAAUUUAUAGAGCAUCUCUUCAAGGUUCAGUUUCUUCUCUUGUUGAUAAGGUGGCUGUUGAAAACCCUGAGGAUUUUGUGGCUUUUGAUUCCCUGGACCACCCCAGGAGAAAUUUGGGUGGUUCCUCCAACCUGCAUUAUAAGUAUUACUGUAUGGGCUAUUUUGAGAUCUAAAGUUAUUGUUACCCAUAUAGUUGACUUCUUCCUCUUCGGUUGUAGGAUUAAAGGAUUGAUAUUCUGUAUGCGCACCUCCUCCACUUAAGUCACACCUCAUUACUGGAUGUACCUGAGUAGAACGAAGUAAACCAUCAAUCUUUUUAUUGAAAAGUUCUACCUGAUUUGACAGCAUAGUAACUGAGUCGACAUUAUAAACCGCCUACUGUUUUUGUUGGAUUAGUCCUUAUGACUUGCCAUUAAUAGUUAUUCAGUGACAUUUCUUCAAUAAAUUCAUAGGCCUCUUUAAGUGUUUUGUUUUUUAUGGUUCCUCCAGCAGCUGCGUCAAUCAUCUGUCUUGUUAAGGGAUUCACCCCAUUGUAGAACGUUUGAACUUGCAGCCAUAGAGGUAACCCAUGAUGAGGGCACUUUCGCAAUAGAUCCUUGUAUCUCUCCCAUGCAUCGUAAAGUGUUUCUAAGUCCAUUUGCACAAAGGAAGAGAUAUCAUUACGUAACUUAGCCGUUUUAGUUGAUGGAAAAUAUUUUAGUAAAAAUUUUUCUGUCAUUUAUUCCCAAGUAGUGAUAGACCCUCGUGGUAACGAGUUCAACCACUGUUUAGCUUUGUUUCUCAGUGAAAAAGGGAAUAAUUGAAGGUGAAUGGCAUCAUCAGAAGCGCCAUUCAUUUUGAAUGUGUCGCAAAACUCCAGAAAAUUCACCAAGUGAGUGUUUGGAUGCUCAUCCUGCAAACCAUCAAACUGAACAAACUGCUGUAUCAUCUGAAUUGUGUUAGGUUUCAGUUCAAAAUUAUUCGUAGCAAUAGCAGGUCUAACUAUACUUGACUCAGUUCUUGUUAAAGAAGGUUUAGCAUAGUCAUACAUAGUGCGUGGAGUAAGAUUUUGAUUAACCCCAAUUGCAGGAGGUAGCUGAUUGCCUUGGUUUUCAGCCAUCUCUUCGGUUGGGGGUUGAGUAUCGUCUUCUUGCUCGUUCUCCGUGUAUCUUAAGCUGCGCCUUAUUUCUCUUUGGUUUCUACGAACUGUACGAUCGAUUUCUUCGUCAAAAGUAAUGGUCCCGACGGGUUUCUUCUAGUCAUAAACUAUAAAAACCUACCAAGAGAAAAGAAAAGUAAAUUAAUUAGUAAUAAUAAUAAUAAUAUUAAAUUAAAUUCCAAGAAAAAUAAAUGGCUAAAGUAAUAAAAAUUUAGCGUUCCUAAUAUUUUAGUUCCCCAGCAACGGUGCCAAAAACUUGAUCGCAUUAUUUCGUGAUAGGUUUUAAAUAUUUAUAAUUACUCGUUCUUGAACUAACUAUUAUCGCGAUGUAGGCAAGUGUACCUAUUGAACAGUAGUAUAGUUCUAGCAAGACCAGAUUGUCGAACCCAAAUGAACUAAAAGUACUAGUAAUGACUGUCUUUUAUUAUCUAGCCUAAGAAUAAAGAGGUUUUGUUUUAACUAAAUAAUUAUCUAAACUAAGAACGCAAAGAGAAAAGAAUUAGGGAAUUGCUUUUGGGAAAAUUGAUUGACUUAAGACAAUACCUAAGGAAAAAUCCACCUAGACUUUACUUGCUAUUCUGGCUCCGAAUCGAAUGAUUUAUUCAUUCAACUUGUUCCGUAAAGAUCAAGAAGUUAUGUUAUUAUCCCUAUUUAAGACUAAUAACGUCUAAUCCCUAGAUUGAAUAACUGAGACUUUUCUCUAAUUAACACUCUAGGUUACAUUAACUUGAUCUAUGGAUCCCAUUAUUAGGUUUCACCCUAAUCCGGUAAAAUCUUGUCACCCUAUUUCUAGGCGCACAAUCAACUUCGCUUAAUUAUGACAAAUGUACUCUUAGACAGGGUCUAUUCCUCCUCUGAAUAAGAGCUUUUCUUGAAUCAGUAUCCUGGGAUAUUAAAACAAGAAUUAAGAACAAAUAAUUAAGAACAAGUUAAAUGUUUAUCAUACGAUUCAGAAAAUAAUAACAAGAUUGGUCUUAGGUUUCAUUCCCCUUAGGUAUUUAGGGGUUUUAGUUCAUAACUAAAUAAGAAAACAUCUCAGAAAAAUAAAGAAUACAAAACAUAAAGAAAACCUAAAAUUCCUGAAUGGAAAUUGAGGAGAGAUCUUCAAUCUUGAUGAUGAAUCCGGCUUCCUUGGAGUAAUUCCUUACCCCCUAUUCUCCGUCUCCCUUUUCUUCCUCCUCUAGGGUGUAUUUAUAGGCUUUGGAAUGCCUAUGAGCCCUCAAAAGUGGCCUUUUUCGAAUUGGACUCAACUUGGGCUCGACAGGGACACACCCGUGUGCGAUUACUUUAGGCCGUGUUCGAUUCUGCCAGAUUGACAUGGCCGUGUGGUCUGCCCGUGUGAGGAGGUCCAGGCCGCGUUGAUUUCGUACUUUGGCCCGUUUCUCGUUCCUUUCACUUCCUAUGCUCUCUUAAGUAUAAAACAAGAAAUUAAAGCAUUAGGAGCAUUAGGAGCAUUGAAUUCACCAAUUCUAAUGGGAAAUCAUCCAUAAAAUGCAUUAAAAAUAGGGUAAAAAUAUGUAUAAUUUACAGUUUAUCACACAACAACAAAGCAUAUCUUCGAGUACCUAAAUCGUCCUUUCAGAUUAACCGUUGGUCUACAGAUGAAAUGCGAUACUAAAAUUCAACUUUGUGCCCAAAGGCUCUUGCAACUUCUUCCAAAAUCAAGGCGUAAACCUCAGAUCUCUAUUAGAAAUAAUAGAAAUCGGCACUCCAUGAAAUCUAACAAUUUCAGCAAUGUAAAAUUCAGCUAGCUUAUCAAGUGAAUGGUUGGUAUGUAUCGGAAUAAAAUGAACCGAUUUCGUCAAUCUAUCAACAACAACCCAAAUAGCAUCAUUCUUCUUUGGAGUCAGAGGUAACCCAGUUACGAAAUCCAUUGUAAUUUUGUCCUAUUUCCACUCGAGAAUUAUCACAGGUUGAAGUAAACCCGAUGUUACUUGCUGUUCGGCCUUUACUUGUUGAUAAAUCAAACAUCUCGCUACGAAUUCAGAAAUAUCUCAUUUCAUACCUGACUACCAAUACAAUUUCUUCAAAUCAUUAUACAUCUUCGUACUUCCUUGGUGAACAGACAGACAAUUAUUAUGUGCCUCAUAAAGAAUUUUCUGAAUAAGCUCGGUAUCUCUCGGUAUACAAAUCCUACCUCGAAACCUCAAACAAUCAUCAGCCCCAGUUUGGAAAUUUGAAUCGCUAGUAGAUUCGCAUUUAACUUUUUUAGCUUAAAGUUUUUUGUCACUUUUCUGAGCUUUGUAAAUUUGCUGAAGAAAUACCGGCCUAGCUUUCAACUCAUCUAUAAUUAAGCCAUCAUCAGAUAAAGUCAGUCGUGUAUUCAUUGCUCUCAAAGCAAACAAAGAUUUCCUACUUAAAGCAUCAGCGACUACAUUCUCCUUUCCCAGAUGAAAAUCGAUUACCAAUUCAUAGUCUUUUAACAACUUGAGCUAUCUCUGUUGUCAUAAAUUCAAAUCUUUCUAAGUCAUCAGGUACUUUAAACUCUUGUGAUUGGUAUAGAUAUGACACUUCUCACCGAAUAAAUGGUGUCGCCAAAUUUUUAAAGCAAACAUAAUGGCAGUCAAUUCCAAGUCAUGCGUCAGAUUAUUCUUUUCGUGCAAUUUCAACUGUCUCGAGGCAUAAGCUAUCACUUUGCCCACUUGCAUCAACACACAUCCAAGAUCGUUCAAUGACGCGUCAGUGAAAAUUACAAACUCUUUUCCCGACUCAGGUUGCACUAAUACCAGUGCCUCAGUUAACGAUGCUUUCAACUGUUCAAAACUCUUUUGGCAUUUCUCCGACCACUAGAACUUAACAUUUUUCUGUAACAAUUUUGUCAUAGGUGUAGUAAUCAUCGAGAAUCCAUGAGCAAAACAUUGAUAAUACCCGGCUAAGCCCAAAAAACUUCUAACCUCGGGUACAUUUCUUGGCGGUUUGCAGUCAACAAUUGCCAAAAUCUUACUCGGAUCAACUCUUAUACCUUCCGCUGAGACAAUAUGCCCCAAAAAUCUGACUUCUCAAAGCCAAAACUCACUUUUACUGAACUUAGCCAAAACAAUAUGCCCCAAAAAUGUCAUCAAUGAACAUAACUACAAACUUGUCUAAAUACGACCGGAAGAUCCGAUUCAUCAAAUCUAUAAAAACAGUAGGAGCAUUGGUUAAUCUAGAAGGCAUAACAAGAAAUUCAUAGUGCCUAUACCUCAUUCUGAAUGCAAUUUUUGGCACAUCCGAGUCUUUAACUCUCAGCUGAUUAUAACCAUAUCUGAAAUCUAUCUUCAAAAAUAUUGUUGUCCCUUUCAACUAUUCAAACAAAUCAUCAAUCCUCGGUAAAGGAUACUUGUUCUUUAUUGUAACCUUGUUGAGUUGACAAUAAUCGAUACAAAGUCUCAUGGAUCCAUCUUUCUUCUUGACGAAUAAUACCGAUGCACCUGAGGGAGAAAAACUCAGUCUCACAAAGCCCUGGUCUGCCAACUCUUUUAAUGGAGACUUUAAUUCUUUCAACUCGGUUGGAGCCAUUCUAUACGAAGCUAUCGAUAUUGGUGCAAACCCCAGUACCAAAUCAAUAGCAAACUCUACCUCUCUGACCGGUGGUAACCUUGGAAACUCUUCUGGGAACACGUCCGGAUAUUCACAAACUACUGGCACAGAUUUGAUCUUUAAUUUAGACACCUUAGUAUUCAGUACAUACAUGAGUAAUGCUUCACAACCCUUUCUUACAUACCUUUGAGCCGACAUCGACAAAAUCACAAUAGGCAAUUCACCCGACUUAUCCGACUCAACCCGAAGAGUUUCAUUAUUUUGACAUUUCAAUUCAAUAACCUUUUGUCUUCAAUUCACUACUACAUCAUACAGAGUCAACCAAUCGAUUCCAAGUAUCACAUCUAACUCAUCAAAUGGCAAAAGCAUUAAAUCAGCCAGAAAAUAGUGGCCCCGAAUCAUUAAAGGACAACUCUUGCAAACUUUAUCAAAUAAAACAUGUUUGCCUAAAGGGUUCGACAUCUUAAUCACAAAGUUAGUAGACUCAACAGACAAAUUCUUACUAUAUACCAAAUUCAUGCAAAUAAGCACACGGGCGUGUGACUUGGUUGUGUGAUUACAAUUUGUUGAUGAUGUCAUAAACAGAGAGUUACACAAGUUAGGGAUACAGGCAUGUGUAACCACAUGGCCUACCCACACAGGUGUGUCCCAAGCCAUAGGGGCGUGUGACCCCUGUUUUGAUGAAAACUUUUCUAAGUGUUAGGAAGUUUUCUAAAGUUUUCGGUUUGGUCCCAGACCACUCCUAAUGCAUGUUUUGGGCCUCUUAGGCUUGUUUAAGGAAUGAUAUGAAUGUUUUUUAAAAGUUUUAAAUUGGAGUGGAAAUUCAUGUAUUGGUUUUGAAUGUUUGUUUGAGUUUAAGUCCAGUAAUGCCUCGUACCCUGUUCCGGUGUCGAAUACAGGUAAGAGGUGUUACAUUUGCCAAGCAAUUCAAGUCAUAUAAAUCAAGCAAACAUAAUUAAUAUAUAUGAAAUAGUAUCACAUAUUCAUAUUAUUAAGCUUACCUUCUUAUGAUGAUUUAUAUUCUAUUCUAAUUCAAUUUAACCGAACCUUAUACAUGUAUAUAUUAAACAUGAUAUAACUUUAUAUUAUCAUACCAAAAUAUACCAUUAUUACCCAUUCUAAUGGCUAGAUUAUAAACAUCCAUUUACAUAUAAUCAUUGGUAAAAUUAGCUUAUACAUGCCAUUAUGUCAAAAUAAGUUUUCUAUUUAUAUCAAAACAAGCUGGAGGAUAGUGUGAUGAUAGUCUAGCUGAUCUCCAACCUUUACGAGCUUCUGAGCACUAUAAAACAGAGAAAAAAAACCUAGUAAGCAUUUAAUGCUUAGUAAGUUCGUAUAACAUGAAUUUAACUUACCAUAUAUUUAAAUUUAAGAUAAGCAUACAAUAAUGCAUCUAAAUGAUCUGGCUUAUAUCCUAAAACACAACUUCACCAAAUCAUGUUAGUCAAGUAAUUCACAUAAUACCAAGAAAAUAGAUGAGCUCAUCAUUUAAUGUAUUUCAUAAUCACAUGCUUUUUAUAAUAUUAUUCCAUAUUACAUGUACACUUUGAUGACAAAUCAUUUCAAAUUCAGUUUAGCCAUGUUAGAACUUUACCCGUUGAAUUUAUUAGAAAUAUCAAUGGAUAAGUUCAUAUAGUACACUUUAGUGUACACUACUAUAAUUCUUCAAUUCAUUUUCAGAGGUACCCAAUUAGGCACAUAAUCGAGAAGCACACUCUUGAGCCUUGUAACAGAAAGCUCACACAGAGCCAUUCUGGGAAGCUCAUAAAGAGCCUAUCAAGAAGCUUAUCCGGGCUAUAUAACGAGAAACUCAUAAGAGCCAUAAUCAGAAAGUUCACAAAGAACCUUAUUAGGAAGCUCUAGAUAGCCAAAAUUAAGAAGUUCGAGUGAGCACUAUUAGGAAGCUCACAAAGAGACAAUUUAACAGAAAGCUCAUGAAGAGCCUUUAAUCGGAAUGCUCAUAAGAGCUAAAGUGUGUCCAUAAAAAAUGUAGGAUCAUAACCUAUCGAGACGCUCCAAAGAGAUAUAACGGGAAACUCACUAAACCAUAUAAUGGGAACCUUGAGAAGGCUUAUAACGGGAUGCUCAUAAGAGAUAUGGUGUGUUCGCAACAUAUGCUAGACCACAACCAAUACGGGAAAUCCUGUAUCCAUCGACUUUCAUUUAUUCAAACAAGAUUUGACAUUUAUUGAGCAUUAUCGAAUAUUCAAUCAAUUUCAUAUACAUGGAAAUUAUACAAUUCACAUAUAUAACAUUUAAUUCAAACAUAUAAAUGUACACAAUUUAGUUACACAGACUUACCUUGAUACUUGUUCGUAUACGAAACCUACUAAUCCUAAACUUUUUGUUUUCCUUGAUCCAACAAUGUAUUAGGUCUUUUAGGAUCUAUAUAAAUAAAUUUAACAUCAAUUUAAUCCAUUUCAUACCUAGUUUAAUUCAAUUUACAUCCUAGGAAAAAUUACUAUUUUGCCCUUAUACUUUUCACAAAUGACAAUUUCAUCCCUAGGCUAAGAAAAAGAAAUUCAUCCAAUUUAAUCCUUAUUCCGAGCCUAACCAAAAUUUUCAUGUAACUUUUACAGCACAUGUAUUUCAUAAAAUUUAUAAUUUUUCCAUAACUUUUACAUCUUUACAAUUUAAUCCCUAAAUCAUAUUUUCAUCAAAAUUCACUUUGUAAAAGUUAUUUAUCUAUCAACAACCUUUCAUUUUCUACCAUAAAUUUUAAAAUUUCAGCAUAUUCAUCCAUGGAAAAACUUUGAUACUUUGAUAUCUUUUCAGAUUAAUCCCCAAAAUAGAUAGAUUAUGUAAUGGCCCGUUUUUGGGUCAAAUCAGAGCAGUGGUUUCGGGACCUCAAAUCCAAAGUAGAAAUAAUUUUUUUACUAUUUCUUUAAGGUCUACAGCAUGAUAGAAUAAUCGUGUGAAAGUUUCGUUAAGAAAUUUUAUCGAUUGAGUACUCAAUUUGACUAGAAGGACUAAAUUGCAAUAGGUACAAAACUUGAGUUCUAUAGGUUAAAGGUAGUAAAUUGUUAUGAAAUUCUAAAUUAGAGGUCCUUAAAUGGUAAUUAGACCAUUAUAUCUUAGUAUGGAAAAAAAUGGACAUGGUUAGGAAAAAUUUCAAAGUUUAAGUGAAGGAUAUUUUGGUAAUUUAGUAAAUAAAGACAAAUUAACUAAAAUAAAAAUGUCAUCUUCUUCAAUUUCAUCCCCAUACUCGAAAUUUAGAAGAAGAGACAUAGCUAGGGUUUGGCCAAGCUUUCAAGCUCGAUUGUAAGUCCGUUAUUGUCCCGUUUUUAACUAUUUUUAUAUUUUUGAGAUUGUUGUAACUUGAUUUAGCUAUUUCAAGGACUAAUUUGAAAGAAAUUUUACCCAUGUUGGAUGUGCAUGUAUUUUGAUAUUUGAUGGUAGAAAAUGCAUGUUUUUUGUUAGUUAAACAACGUUUGUAAAGCGAUUUUCGAUAAAAACAUUAAAUAGGGACUUAUUUGUAAAAGUCUAUUAAAUGUGUAGAAAAGUGUGAAUAAAUGAAAAUUGUGGGCUGUUAUGAGUACAAACAACAUUUGGCUAGGCUUUGGUUGUGAAUAAAUUGAAUGAAAUUCAUUUUACGAGCCUAGGGACUAAAUUGUAAAAAGUUGAAAAGUUAAGGGAAAAACUGUAAUUUUUUCCAUAAUGUGUUUUUGGGCUGGAUUGAAUAAUGUGAUGACUAAAUAAGCUAAAUUUGACAUUAUAGGUCAAGAAAAACGAAGUUUGGAUCUAGAUUAGGGGAAAAAUAAAAUAAUUGAUGAAUAGAUCCUUUUGUCGUUUUUGUAACCGAGGUAAGUUUAUAUGUUAAAUAAGCUUUUCUUUAAAUGUAUUUUACUUGCUUUAGUUUAUGCAUGAAUUGUUUAAUCGACCUUACGGACACAUUUGAUGACGAUUUGGCAAUUGAGAAAUCCCAAUCAAACCUUAGGAAUAGAUUAGGAUACAAGUGACAUGUCCCUGGGGUUUUAUGUUAUGUGAUCCAGGUGCCGGUCUUGUAUGUUCUACCGGUGGCUGAGUAUACCAACAUACGUUGCGGUUACUUGACAGCUUCUGUGAGCAGCAAUGUCUUAAUUAACAGCUGGUGUGAGUAGGCCCGUUGAUAGCUCGAGAAGGAGCAUAUAUGUGUUAUGAGAUAGAGGUAGCAUGGUUACAUAUGUGGCACCUUGUGUGCAAGGUUUUCCUGUGUAUCCGAUAUUAUUAUUUCGAGUGGUUCAUUGGGUAUGACAACGAUGAGAAUAAGUAUGAAAUUAUUACGAUAUGGUACAGGUAUGUACUCAAAGUUUAUGAUUAUUAAUUCGUGAAAUGACGAUUUCAAGGUAAGUUGUGAUGGAAGUGAAUUGUGAUCAUGAGGUUAUGGUAAAUUAUAAUAUCUUAUGUUAUAUUACUUGCAUGAUUAAUGUAUGGUAAGGUCGGCUUAUUUCUUACAUACGGGCUUACUAAGCUAUAUAGCUUACUCCGUUUUAUUUCCAUGUUUUAUAGUGUCACCAAGCUAGCUGGGAUUGGAGAUUCAUUGGAGAUCAACUCACACUAUCAUCUGUCAUUUUGGGUAUCAAUGAUUUUAAACAUUUUGAGAGUAUGGCAUGUAUAGGGACUUGGUCAUUUUGUUAUAUGUGUCAUUAUGACUUUAGCCAAAUGUAUUGGCUUGUAAUUGUCAAGGGCUUCAUAUGGUAUUUGGCCAUGUAACUUAGCUUAUAUUGGUUGAAUUGGUUGUAAGCUUAUAUACAUUUAUACAUGCAUCCAUGUGCAAUUAUCUCUUGUAUGAUGUGGUUUAUAAAUGUUGUCUAAAUGGUUGAAUGUGGCUUAAUGGUUUUGGUUGUUGAAUGGUUAAGAUUGGCUCAUUGGUGUACUAGGAAAACUGGGUAAAAAUUAUGCAUGUUAUUAGUAACCAUACUGAAAUUUGUAGAAUGGGAGUUCGUAUGAUUUGGUUUGACAAAUUAUGGUGUUAUAAAUAUAUUGAGUGUGGAUAAUGAAAGGACAUGAUUUGGCCUUGUUUUAUGGAUGUUUGGUUGCCUAAGUAUAUCAUGAUUUAUGCCAUUGAACUUGUGUGUGUGUAGGUGGAAAUGAGUGUGACAAAUGGCUUGGUAAAUAGCCUUUAUUUUUUCCACAAGGGUAGACAUACGGGCGUUUGUGACACAAUCUUACCCCAUAGGCAUGUGUUUCAGCCGUGUGUCCUUCGUACCUAAAUUUUGAGAAACAGAAUGCUCAGAAUUGAGCACACAGGCAGAGACACGGGCAUGUGUCUCAGUCGUGUGAGGGACACGGCCUCAAGCAUGGGCGUGUGUCCCGACCUAGUGAAGUUUGCACUUAUUUUAUGAAAAUUUAAUUACCCACACAGCCUAGCACACGAGCAUAUGACUUGGCCCUAUGAACUCAAUUUGUUCAUGCCUUGCAAAAUAGAGAGUUACACGGGUUAGGGACAUAGGCGUGUGUGACCACACGGCCUGCCCAGAUAGGCGUGUCCCAAACCACACGGGCGUGUGACCUUUGUUCAUAGCAAAAAUUUUCUAAUUUUUGUAAAAUUUUGAGUACUUGGUUUAGUCCCGAACCACUUCCAAGGCAUGUUUUGGGCCUCGUAGGCUCGUAUUAGAGACUUUAUGUUUGAAUACAAGCGGUUUUAAUUUCGAUGAAAAUUUAUGAAUUGGAAUUGUAUGUAUGCUUGCGAUGUGAGUUCGGUAAUGCCUCGUAUCCUGUUCCGGCGUUGAAUACGGAUAAAGGGUGUUACAGAUUUAUCUCAAAAAUAUAAAAAUUACUAAAAACGAGACAAGAAAACAUAACUAAUUAAGCUUGAUUAGUUUCUUUUCUCUCUCCUAGGGUUUCUAUGUAAUUUUUGGGGAUGAAGAUGAUAUAAAAUGAUAUUAUUUCUAUUUAAUUAUUUAUCAUCCAUGAAUUUUUCCACUUUCCAAUUUAGUCUUUGUCUUUUUCUAAUUUUCCAUGGAUGAUUAAUCAAAAAUAUCUACUAAAUUUUUUUUAAUGGUCUAAUUACCAUAUAAGGACCUCAAAUAUUGAAUUUCAUAGCUAUUUGAUACUUAUAGCUACUAGAAUUCAACUUUUGCAUUUUAUGCAAUUUGGUCCAUUCCUUAAUUAAACACAUAAUUGGUAAAAUUUUCUUAUCAAAAUUUUCAUAUGACAUCCCUAUCAUAAUGCAGAUCAUGCAAUAAUAUUAAAAUAAAUUUUUUCCGGCUCAAAUUUGUGGUCCGAAACCACUGUUUCGAUUUCACUGAAAAGAGGUGGUUACAAUGGAGGAGACAAACUGCUAUUCCACUAUAUUAAUAAUCCUACCGAGGAUGUGAACUACAUAGAAUAUAAGAGUGGAAAUCCCUAUUCAAGUAAAUACAAUCUCGGAUGGAGAGAUCACCUGAACCUGAGACGGGGAGGAAACCAAGAAGGAGGUAAUAGCUCGAAUCAAGUAAAAUACAUUAACUAUCAACCUCCUUAUUUAUAGAAACCUCAAGAUAGGGCCAACCUAAGUGACCAUACUGUAUGUGGUCAAUGUCUAGAUAGAAUCAAGGGGGAGAUGCAAUCAAUGCGAAUGGACGUGAAACGUGUGAAUUCACAGAAAUACAGAAAAUAAUUCUCGUAGGGAAGGAGCCGGUUGAUGAGCAUGAUGGGUGACAUCAAAAUAAAAAUUGACAUAUGAAUUCCCAGCAAUACGGAAAAUAAUUCUCAUAGAGAAGGGAAGAAGCACAUAAAAGCAAUAGUGCUCCGGUCAGGUAAAGUACUGAGUAGCCCAGAAAUCCAACUCAAGAGGUAAAUAUGGAAAAUACUAAUGACCUUUAAGUGAGACCCCUAGAAGCUAACACUGAACCUAAACUAGAGGAUGUAAUUGCACUGAUAGUGGAGCUAGAGACAGAAACAACUAAAGGUUCUACCAUUGCAAAGAUACCAUUUCUUUCAAAGAUAGAAGAGAGGAAAAAGCGAGAUGAAGAUGAGUUUGUAAGUUUUAUAAACUUAUUCAAAAUGUUAAAAGUUAACUUGCCCUUGAUUAAAGUAAUUGAAAAAGUUUCUAAGUAUGUCAAGUUGUUAAAGGAAAUCGAGUCUAGGCGCAGGAAAAUUAAAGUAGGCGAACAAGUCAAUAUUAGCGCUUUCUCUAGUGCUAUUAUCUCGAGAAAGGUUCCCCAAAAAUUGAAAGACCCUAGAAGUUUUACUAUUCCCAUAGAGAUAGGGAGCAUUCAUUUUAAAUGAGCUCUAGGUGACCUAGGAGCUAGUAUUAAUUUAAUGCCUCUACCUAUUUUUGAAAAACUAGGGUUAGGUGACCUCAAAAAUACCUAUAUAACACUACAGUUGGCGGAAAGAUCUUUCGUACAUCCAAAAGGAGUACAAGAAGAUGUGUUAGUCAAAAUGCACAACUAUAUCAUCCUGACAGAAUUCUUGGUUCUAGAUUUUGAAGAAAAUUGAGAAAUACCUAUCCUGCUAAGUAGACCUUUCUUAGCUACUUCUAGGUCCACCACUGAUUUAAAAGAAAAAAGGAAUUAACCAAGAAAAUCAAUGGUGAGACUGAAACUUUUAAGUCUAGUCACCAAUUAAGCGAGGAAAGAAUAAGGAAAUCAGGAGUGCAUUGUAAUAAAUUAUCUAUUUCUGAUAAUCCCAAGUCAAGGGACAUAAUGAUAAUGACAGAACCACAAAAUUGUCCUUUUAUGAAAUAAUGAUACUGUUGAAUGAAUCCGACAGUCAAACUUAAAUUAUUUUGAAUUGAUGUUUAAUAUUUUGUAAAUUAUUGUAUACCUAACUAAUUAUUUAGUAUAGAUUUUAAUUAAUUAUUUAGUAUAGAUUUUAAUUAACUUUAUGUUUUAUAGAAACCAUAGUGCUCUAGAAAUUUGAAUUUUGGGUGAAAUCAAAGCCAGUGUUGCAACAUGGUAGCCCCAUGUCGCAACACCAAAGGCAGAUUCGAAAAAAUUGAGAACAUUACUUCAAUGUCAUGACAUGGAGUUUGUGUGUCAUGACACCGAAGCCAGUAUAUCCAGGAAUCUAAAAAUUUAGAGUGUGUCUCGACAUCGAACCCUGAUGUCGUGACAUUGGUAAGCUACUAGGGAUGUCGCUACAUGGAACCCCAGUGUCACGACAUCGCUACAAUUUUCUACAGGGUUGACAUGACUCAAUUGCACAACCCGGUUUGUUAAACUUAAUUUUUACCCGAUUUUUAACCCCUCAAAACAUUAGUUUUUAACCUAAAGCACUCUUAUCUCAUAUUCUAACCUUCCUUAACAUCUUGAACUUCUUAAAACUCUCUCAAACCCCAAAAAAUUCUAUUUUCAUUAAAACCUUAAAUCUAUAAAAUCUCUUUUUCUAUUUGGUACAUUCAUGAUGCAGGAUCGACAUAAGCAGUUAGGACCAAAGCAAAAAAGGCUACAACAUCAAGGUCAAGGGUUAUAAACUUUCUCUUUACUAUUACAUUGGGAACAUUUCUUGUAAUCUCAUUCAUAUUUGCAUAGAUUAUAGUAAAAAAUGCCACCUAAGAAGUCUGAAAAGACAAAUGUGUAAGAACCACCGACGGUUUUGAAUUCCAUAAAAUUUCAAAACCAAAAUGUCAAAAAGUAUUAUCUUCAACUUCAAGUCGAAACUUUAAUUCAAGAAAGGGGAUUCGAACCAUCAAUGGUUCUUUGUAAUGAAAUAUGGUCCGUAGUAUAGUAUCAUAGAUGGGAGUGAUUUUGUGUCACUCCCAAACAAACAGUUGUUAUUCCACUUGUACAAGAAUUUUAUGGCGCUUUUAAAGAUAAGGAACUCGACGUCCUUGUGAGAAAAUAUGGAAAAUAGUAUCAAUACGAGGAAAAGAUGUACCAUUCUCUCUAAAAAAGAUUUGCAAAUAUUAUGAUGCCCUAUACUAUGAAUUAGAUUAUUUACAAAAUAUUGAUUUAAUGGAGUUUAAAGGCACAGAUAUAGAGAGCAUCAUAAAAUAAUUAACUUAAAAUCGAAGGGAAUGGAACGUCCGACAAGAUACUAGACUACCGACUAAUUUCAAUCAAGUUAUAAUGCUUUCGGUAUUUAAAAGGUGGAUAUAGUUUUUUCGUACCAGAAUUACACCUGCCCUUAACAUUUCUAAUGUAAAUACAUUUCGAGCUCUUUUUUUAUAUGGUAUUUUACAGAAAAACCAAAUAUGCAUUAGAGAAUGGAUCCAUUGAAACAUGAAGCAUUGCAUUUUUGGCCAAAAGGUUGGGAUUUUCUUUCCUCGUCUCAUGACAGCACUUUGAAAAAGUGUAGAGUUUCCAAUGGAUGAAAAUGAGCAAUUAAUGAAGUCAACAAAAAGUAUAAUUAGAGAUUCAUUAUACACGCAAUAUGUUGAGCUACAAAGAGAACAAAUUAUCGAUUGGAACCAGAUAAGGAAAGAAAAUAUGGAUGUUCUAACAUAGCUAAAAUGAAAAGAGCAAUCGAAAGCUCGAAAAAGAGUUAGUGAAAGCACUGAAGAAAAAACUUGAUGGAAUAAUCAAAUGGAUGCAAGAGAUAGGCCCGGUUCUCCAAGAAUUCACCAGACUGAACGAGUUAAGAGCUCCAAAUUAUUUUCCAAAUAUGUUCGAUCACACACAUUAUAUAGUCAAGAAAGAGGAGCUUCCUUCAAGAGAUGAUGGUGAAGGGGAUGAACACAAUGUAACAGCCCCUUUUUUAGUGAAAUCGAAACAGUAGUUUUGUGACUACAAAUUCGAUCUAAAAAUAAGGUUUAUUUUUAUUUUUAAUUAUAUGGUUCAUAUUAUUAUAGGCAUGUCGUGUGAAAAUUUUGAUACAAAAAUUUCAUCGAUUAAGUGUUAUUACGAGAAAGACUAAAUCGCAUAAAAUGCGAAAGUUGAAUUCUAGAAGUUAUAAGGAUUAAAUAGCUAUGAAAUUCAAAUCUAGAGGUCCUUAUAUGGUAAAUAGACCAGUAAAGAAAAGUAUUUAGAUUCUUGUAAUUUAUCCAUGGAAAUAUGGGAAAACGGCAAGGACUAAAUUGAAAAUUACAAUGUAACAGCCCGUUUUUAGGAUUAACUGGAACAGUGGUUUUGGGGUCACCAAAUCUGACGAGUAGGUUUGUAAAUAUUAUAUUUAAUAUUUACGAGUUAAUUGUGAUUUUUAAAAAUAUUUUUGAUAUUGUGAUAUUUGUUUUAUAAGUGAUUUAUUAAGUUCAAGUGGUAUGACCCUAAGGUCAAGGGGGUUUAGGAAAUGAGGUAUCAGGACCUCAUUUCUAUAAAUCGAGUCGUAAAUAUUUUUAUAAAUAUUUACAAAGUGGCAAAAAGAUGGUAUUAAAGUUUCGUUGAAAAAUUUUAUCGUUUCGAUAGUUAAUUAAGCAAAAAGGACUAAAUCGCGUAAAAUGCAAAAAGUUACAUUCUAAUUGUUUAAGUGUUUAUUUUCCAUGUUUUACUAAAGUAGAAGUCCCUAUUUAUCAAUUAAACCAUUACUUUAUGAUAGUGGAGAUUGGUGGUUUGGCAUAUAUGAAAUUAUGUAUUAUUAUAAAGGACAAAAAGGUAAAUGGAAUAUUAAAAUGUAUUAAAUAAAAAUAAAUAAAGUAACAGCCCAAUUUGGACCUUAAUUGGAACGGUGGUUUCGGGACCACGAAUCCGAGUUAGAAUAAUAUUUAAAUAUCAUUUUCUAUGUUUAAAAUGUGUGAAGUUGCUUUUGUGAAAGUUUCGUUUAAAAAUUUUAGUGUUUGGAAGUCGAUUGAUGAAAGAAUGGUUUAAUCGCGUAAAAUGGAAAAUUUAAGGGUUAAUGUAUAAGGGCCAAAUUAUGAUUGUUUUUAUAUUAAGGAAUAUUAAGGUUGCAAUUUGGCCAUAAAUAGGAAUUGGUGGCCGACCAAUAUGCAUGGAUUAAUGACUUGAAUUGUUUGUUAUAUUUUAUGGCAUUAUGGUAUACUUUAAUAUAUGUUAAUAUAUUAUAUUUAAUAAAAGAUGAAAGUGUUCAUCUUUCUUUUAUUUUUACUCGGCCGAAACUAAGAGAAAGAAAGGAAAGUUUCAGCUUUGAUAUUUUCAGUCCUUGCAUGUUCAAUUAGGUAAGUGAUUUGAGUUUGGUUUUUGUUAAUUUUUACACUUUUGAGAUAGUUGCUUUGAAUACUAUAAAGCCCAUGCUUGAAAUUUUGAAAUUGAUGAUAUAGUCAUGAAGAGUCAUUGUUAAUAGUUUGAUAAAAUUUACGUUUGAUGUGAGAAAAUAAAAUAAAUGUGUUAGAUUAACAUUUUGGUAUUGGGAUUUUUGGUUAUUUUGAGCAUUUAGGGUUAAAUUGAAAAAAAGUACUAAAUUGAAGGACUAGAUUGUGAAAUUAGUGAAAUGGGAGGAUUUAUAUAAGCUUAGUGAACAUUCGGCCCUAGCAUUGUAUAUACAAAUUCUUCAUAUUUUGUGUUUUGAGAAAAUUGGAUUAAAUUGUAAAAGUGCAUAAUAUUAGGGGUAAAUUGGUAAAUUGCUCAAUUAUGUGUAUUUGUACCUAAAUGAAGGAAAUUCUAUUUGAAUGAGAUUAAUUUCGAAAUUUUUAGAUCAAGAACCAAAAAGAUCGGACGUGGAUCGGGGAAAAUAAAAAAAAAAUCGUUGAGUAGUCGAAUUCGACUGUCCGUCGAAAUCCGAGGUAAGUCGUUAAGCAAAUAUUUAUUGUUGGUUUAAAUAAAUAUAAUUUAUAUAUUUGUGUGAGCCGCGUUGAAAUAUAUAAAAUCUUGGUGUUGUCGAAUGCAAAUAGAAAUAAUAAAUAUGAAAAUUUCACUAAGCAUGCGAGUUUGAUUAUCGAGCACUAAGUGUGCGAAGGAAAAUAUUAAGCACUAAGUGUGCGAUUUCAUGGCCUUUCUAGUUAAACAAUAGCACUAAGUGUGCGAAUACAACGGGUGAAGGAAAAUGAUCAGACGAUCUAAUUAUCAAAUGCAAGAGUAGUAGUGUAAUAUUUAUGUUCGUAAUAAUGAAGGUACGUAAUCAAACCUUUGUGGUUGAUAUUAUUGAACUUGAAAUUAUAUGGUGGGUAGUUAUAAAUAUAAUAUGUAUGAUAGAUUUGGAAAAAUGAGAGAUGGAUGAGUUGAAAAGUAUAAAAUAAAAUAAAUAAUGAUAAUAAUAAUAAAAUGAUAUGAUAUAUAUAAUAAUGUUUGAUUAUUAUUUUAUAUAUGAGUGAACAUUCGACUAGGUAUUAAAUGGUAAGAUGGGAAGUGUUAAGUAAUUAUUAUUAUUAUUUUUAGAGUUUAUGUAUAUUCGAACAUGUUAGGUAUUAAACUUGACUGAUUGAUAUAUAUUGGUAGUCAAGUUUGGUUGAAUAUGUGAUUUUAGUAGCAGGACUUGGUUACUCAAAUUGAGUUUUUAAUGUCUUUUAAAUUGUUUAAAUUGCUUAUAACUAAGCUAAAAUAGCUUACUUUGAGAAUGUGAAAGUGUAUAUAUGUGAUAAGGCCUAAUGGCCAAUGUGAUGAAUGUGAAAGUGUAUAUAUAUGUGAUAGGGCCUAAUGGCCGAUGUGAUGAAUGUGAAAGUGUGUAUAUAUGUGAUAGGACCUAAUGGCCGAUGUGAUGAAUGUGAUAAGUCCCGAAGGGCAUUUGUGUCAGUACUAUAUCCGGGUUAAAACCCCGCAGGCUUUAUGCGAGAAUAUUAUCACUGAUUAAUGUCCGUAAGCUUCGUGCUCAUACUAUAUCCGCGCUCUAAAGACCCGAUGACUACGUGUGGGGAUUUUGUCCGGGUAAGACCCGAUAACUUCGUGUGGAGAUUAUGUCCGGGUAAGACUUCGUAAUAAGAAUUGCUUAUAAAUAUAUUCAAUGCGAAAGGUUAAACAAGUAUGUACUCCAAGUUUAUAUGUGAGCUUGAUUUGCACUAAAUCAUAAGGUAGUUAUGUGACGCAUACGAGAGCAAUCUAUGAGACUAUUCCUAUGAUUAUGUGACAUCGGAUCAGAGUGAGAGGUUAUGUGAAAUCAUACGAUAUAUCUAUGUCACAUGAGCUCACUUUUAUGUGAAAGUUUAUCUGCCUAUUGUAUAUGAUGAGAUGUGCAUAUUCGGUAAAGGGAUGGUAUGCCCGAAGGAAGAGUGAAAUAAAAAUACGAACAACUAUGUUAUAAUUUGAUUGUUAUCUGUUGACACUGCUUAAAACUUACUAAGCAUUGUAAUGCUUACUCCGUUUACUCUGUUUCCUCUGUUUCAUAGAUCUCAUUGCGAAGCUACAGGCUUGGGGAUCGUCAGCAACUAGUCACACUAUCACUAUCCACUGUUUGGUACUGCUAUGUUUUGGAUUAUCUUAUGGCAUGUAUAAAAUAGACUAGUGGCGGAAGAAUAUUUUGGUUAAUGUAUAUAGCCAUGCGAAAAUGGCUUAUAUAUGUUUGAGCAUAAUGUUAUAAUCAUUUGGUAUGGAAUGGUUAAUCACUAUCAUAAUUUGUGCUAUUCAUGCUAAAAGGGCUAGUUGAAUCAUGGAAACUAUGAAAUAGGUAAAGUCUACCUUAAAGGCAGAUGCUGGCAGCAGCAGUGAUGUAGAUUUGGAAAAUCACUAAAAAUAGUAGGAUUGGAAUUAAAUAAUGAAUAAAUUAUGUAAACGAACCUUGAUGAAUCUAUUUUCAUAGGAAAGUAACGAAACGAUCAUAUGGACAGUAUGUUAAGAGAUAUUCAGGUUCUCGUGAGACAGGGCCAGAACGGUUUCUGGAUUCCCUGUUCCGACUUUGGAAAUUCAUUAUAAAUUAACCAGAGAUAAUUAGGAGUCAUGCCAUAUAUGUAUAGAUUCCUCUCCGAGUCUAGUUUCUAUAGAAACAAACGGCGUCAGUAUUGAAUAUCUGUGCAGGGAGAUAUCCAAGUCGUAAUGCGAAAAGGUCAGUGUAGUUGAUCCCUGUAACAUGGGAGACUUUGACUAAUAAACUGUACUAAUUGGCCCAACCAAAAAUUCUAGAAAAAAAAUAUGUAGAUGGGCAUAUGAGUCUAGUUUUAGGGAAAAUUACGAAACUGAUUUUCGAGUUGUGAAACUCAAGAUAUGAUUUUUAAGGUGACAGUGUCGCAGUUAGCCAACUGCCUGGAAAAUUUUAAAAUGGACUGCGAUAGUAAGCGAAUUUAGUCUGUGAACCCCUCGUGUCCGACUCCGGAAACGGUCUCGGGUACGGGGUGUUACAAUUUUAUUGGUAUCAGAGCUACGGUUUAGUCGAUUCUAAGACUAACGUAGCACGCGUGAGUCUAUUUAUACAUGCCAUAAAGUGAUAAAAUGAUAGUGUGAUGAUUUUUGGCUAUUAAAAUGUGUUUGUUGUAUUGUAAUGAAUCUUGAUCCCGAUCAAGCUGUAGCAAGCUUCUGACUAUGAGAAUUUGCGACAUAACUUCAUUUAGAUAUGCCUAAAUUAUUAAGUUGAUCAGGUACGUAUCAUGUACUCGUAUUUGAAUUUCGAUUUGGAUUGAAUUAUAAGGGUAUAAGUGAUGCAAUUUUGAAGGAGUGUUAUGACUAUAAAUGUGAUUUUUGUAUGUGGCUAUGGAACUGGAAGUUGAAUGGUCGAUAAGCAUGUUGUGUUUGUAUUCAAGUAAUGUAAAUGAUAUACUAAUGUGUAUUGCUAUAUGUGUAUAUGUAUGUAGAGACGAAAUUGUCGAAUGUAAAAAGGCAGUGAAGCGUAUAGAGUGGUUGGUUUUCAGCACUAAGUGUGCGGCCAAUAUGUGUUCACGGUUGUGAGAUUGGCACUAAGUGUGCGGGCAAUAAGUGUUCACGGUUGUGAGAUUGGCACUAAGUGUGCGGGCUUGAAAUGCAUGGCACUAAGUGUGCGAGUUUAAAGUACAUGGCACUAAGUGUGCGUGGUUGAUUAUUAAGCACUAUGUGUGCGAACCCACUAUAUAUAUAUAUAUUUUCUAUCAAUUAUUUAUAUUAAGGGUGUGACCUUACCAAGUCGAUUUCGGACGGCGGAAAGGGGUAAGUUCUUGAGUAAUAGAGCUUAAAUUAUGAUUUGAUUAGAUCAUGCUUUAAGCAAAUCAAAAUCAUGCUCUUUGUGUGUGGCUAUUGAGCCGAAAUUGCAAGAAUGAUAAGUGUCUUGUGUUUGAGUUUUGCUAAUGAAAAUGAAAUACGAAUGUGUCAUGAUUUAUUGUUAAAUGUGCAUGGUUAUUCGAACGAUGUCCGGGCUAAGUCCCAAAGGCUUUGUGCUAAGUGACCAUAUCCGGACUAAGAUCCGAAGGCAUUGGUGCGAGUUACUAAAUCCGGGCUAAGUCCCGAAGAGCAUUCAUGCUAGCGAUGUAUCCGGGCUAAGUCCCGAAGAGCAUUCAUGCUAGUGAUGUAUCCGGGCUAAGUUCCGAAGAGCAUUCAUGCUAGCGAUGUAUCCGGGCUAAGUCCCGAAGAGCAUUCAUGCUAGUAAUGUAUCCGGGCUAAGUUCCAAAGAGCAUUCGUGCUAGUGAUGUAUCCGGGCUAAGUUCCGAAGAGCAUUCGUGCUAGUGAUGUAUCCGGGCUAAGUUCCGAAGAGCAUUCGUGCUAGUGAUAUAUCCGUGCUAAACCCCAAAGAGCAUUCGUGCUGGUGUUAUAUCUGGGCUAGGUCCCGAAGAGUAAUCAUGCUGGUGACGUGUAUUCGGGCCUUCGUGCCUAGUAGGCUUCGUGCCGGUAAUUUGAGCAAAGUUUAAGUGCUCAUUACUAUACGAAUUCAAAUUUAAAUGAGAUGAUAUGUUUAAAAGUGUACAUACAUGAUGUUUAUAGACUUGGCUAAGUCAUAUCAAUGUGUAUUAACGAAUGAAUAAGAGCACUAUGUAUGUGAAUGAUUAAAGGCACUGUGUGUGUGCGAAUUCCUUUAACCGAGCACUAUGAGUGCGAGAUCGGUCAGUGGGCACUAAGUGUGUGAAGUGGAGUUCAUGUAAGACCUCGUUUGGGACGAAGGCAUUGAUUUGAGAUAGUGUGUAAGACCAUGUCUGGGACAUGGCAUCGGCUCGAUAUGUGAGAAUAUGUAAGACAUAUCUAGGAUAUGGCAUUGUAAGAGUUAUAUGUGCUAUUGCUGAAUGGACACUAUUUUGUUAAUCUUGUUCAAGAAAUUAUUUUGAUUAAGUUUCGACAUUCGAAAGUUUGAAAGAAUUUUUGAUGAAUGUUGAUAAUUUUGGAUAUACGAGUUAUGCGCUAGAAUAAAUCUCAUGCCAGUGUAUUAUAUUAGGCUUUAUGCCUAUUCGACUGUAUACGGGUAAUGUUAACUAUGAUUGAAUGUACUAAAUGAACUAAAUGUUCAGGUACGUGGAAGUUGACUUUUCUUUUGGAAAUAAGUUAAGUUGAAUAUUGAGGUGUGAUAAAGUUAUAAAGGAUAUUCAUUGGGAUGUUUGAGAAUAUGUAUACUUUCAGCCAGGUUACAGCUUAUACAUGAAUGAAAAUGUGGGUUAUGAAUAUGUGAGUUGAUGUUAUGUAUUAUACAUGUUAAUAUGUGAUUUAUAUGUGUUUGAAAUGCAAGUAUAAAUUCAAUUAAGUGAUUAUUGCUUAUGAAAUCAAGAAAAUGAGAUGUAUGUGGAUACUUAUAGAAAUGUUUAUGUAUUUGUUUUAAGAUAAGAAAGUGAUUUUAUAGAUCGAUGUGAAAGCAGUAAUGAAUUACAAUUGUUAUUGAUGAGCUAAUGUUUAUAUGGACAUAAUUCAAUAAGAGGACGUUAUCCUAACUUAGUCGCUACUAAGAUUUUCGGGGACGAAAAUCCCUAAGGGGGAAGAGUUGUAACAGCCCGUUUUUAGGAUUAACUGGAACAGUGGUUUUGGGGUCACCAAAUCUGACGAGUAGGUUUGUAAAUAUUAUAUUUAAUAUUUACGAGUUAAUUGUGAUUUUUAAAAAUAUUUUUGAUAUUGUGAUAUUUGUUUUAUAAGUGAUUUAUUAAGUUCAAGUGGUAUGACCCUAAGGUCAAGGGGGUUUAGGAAAUGAGGUAUCAGGACCUCAUUUCUAUAAAUCGAGUCGUAAAUAUUUUUAUAAAUAUUUACAAAGUGGCAAAAAGAUGGUAUUAAAGUUUCGUUGAAAAAUUUUAUCGUUUCGAUAGUUAAUUAAGCAAAAAGGACUAAAUCGCGUAAAAUGCAAAAAGUUACAUUCUAAUUGUUUAAGUGUUUAUUUUCCAUGUUUUACUAAAGUAGAAGUCCCUAUUUAUCAAUUAAACCAUUACUUUAUGAUAGUGGAGAUUGGUGGUUUGGCAUAUAUGAAAUUAUGUAUUAUUAUAAAGGACAAAAAGGUAAAUGGAAUAUUAAAAUGUAUUAAAUAAAAAUAAAUAAAGUAACAGCCCAAUUUGGACCUUAAUUGGAACGGUGGUUUCGGGACCACGAAUCCGAGUUAGAAUAAUAUUUAAAUAUCAUUUUCUAUGUUUAAAAUGUGUGAAGUUGCUUUUGUGAAAGUUUCGUUUAAAAAUUUUAGUGUUUGGAAGUCGAUUGAUGAAAAAAUGGUUUAAUCGCGUAAAAUGGAAAAUUUAAGGGUUAAUGUAUAAGGGCCAAAUUAUGAUUGUUUUUAUAUUAAGGAAUAUUAAGGUUGCAAUUUGGCCAUAAAUAGGAAUUGGUGGCCGACCAAUAUGCAUGGAUUAAUGACUUGAAUUGUUUGUUAUAUUUUAUGGCAUUAUGGUAUACUUUAAUAUAUGUUAAUAUAUUAUAUUUAAUAAAAGAUGAAAGUGUUCAUCUUUCUUUUAUUUUUACUCGGCCGAAACUAAGAGAAAGAAAGGAAAGUUUCAGCUUUGAUAUUUUCGGUCCUUGCAUGUUCAAUUAGGUAAGUGAUUUGAGUUUGGUUUUUGUUAAUUUUUACACUUUUGAGAUAGUUGCUUUGAAUACUAUAAAGCCCAUGCUUGAAAUUUUGAAAUUGAUGAUAUAGUCAUGAAGUGUCAUUGUUAAUAGUUUGAUAAAAUUUACGUUUGAUGUGAGAAAAUAAAAUAAAUGUGUUAGAUUAACAUUUUGGUAUUGGGAUUUUUGGUAAUUUUGAGCAUUUAGGGUUAAAUUGAAAAAAAGUACUAAAUUGAAGGACUAGAUUGUGAAAUUAGUGAAAUGGGAGGAUUUAUAUAAGCUUAGUGAACAUUCGGCCCUAGCAUUGUAUAUACAAAUUCUUCAUAUUUUGUGUUUUGAGAAAAUUGGAUUAAAUUGUAAAAGUGCAUAAUAUUAGGGGUAAAUUGGUAAAUUGCUCAAUUAUGUGUAUUUGUACCUAAAUGAAGGAAAUUCUAUUUGAAUGAGAUUAAUUUCGAAAUUUUUAGAUCAAGAACCAAAAAGAUCGGACGUGGAUCGGGGAAAAUAAAAAAAAAAUCGUUGAGUAGUCUAAUUCGACUGUCCGUCGAAAUCCGAGGUAAGUCGUUAAGCGAAUAUUUAUUGUUGGUUUAAAUAAAUAUAAUUUAUAUAUUUGUGUGAGCCGCGUUGAAAUAUAUAAAAUCUUGGUGUUGUCGAAUGCAAAUAGAAAUAAUAAAUAUGAAAAUUUCACUAAGCAUGCGAGUUUGAUUAUCGAGCACUAAGUGUGCGAAGGAAAAUAUUAAGCACUAAGUGUGCGAUUUCAUGGCCUUUCUAGUUAAACAAUAGCACUAAGUGUGCGAAUACAACGGGUGAAGGAAAAUGAUCAGACGAUCUAAUUAUCAAAUGCAAGAGUAGUAGUGUAAUAUUUAUGUUCGUAAUAAUGAAGGUACGUAAUCAAACCUUUGUGGUUGAUAUUAUUGAACUUGAAAUUAUAUGGUGGGUAGUUAUAAAUAUAAUAUGUAUGAUAGAUUUGGAAAAAUGAGAGAUGGAUGAGUUGAAAAGUAUAAAAUAAAAUAAAUAAUGAUAAUAAUAAUAAAAUGAUAUGAUAUAUAUAAUAAUGUUUGAUUAUUAUUUUAUAUAUGAGUGAACAUUCGACUAGGUAUUAAAUGGUAAGAUGGGAAGUGUUAAGUAAUUAUUAUUAUUAUUUUUAGAGUUUAUGUAUAUUCGAACAUGUUAGGUAUUAAACUUGACUGAUUGAUAUAUAUUGGUAGUCAAGUUUGGUUGAAUAUGUGAUUUUAGUAGCAGGACUUGGUUACUCAAAUUGAGUUUUUAAUGUCUUUUAAAUUGUUUAAAUUGCUUAUAACUAAGCUAAAAUAGCUUACUUUGAGAAUGUGAAAGUGUAUAUAUGUGAUAAGGCCUAAUGGCCAAUGUGAUGAAUGUGAAAGUGUAUAUAUAUGUGAUAGGGCCUAAUGGCCGAUGUGAUGAAUGUGAAAGUGUGUAUAUAUGUGAUAGGACCUAAUGGCCGAUGUGAUGAAUGUGAUAAGUCCCGAAGGGCAUUUGUGUCAGUACUAUAUCCGGGUUAAAACCCCGCAGGCUUUAUGCGAGAAUAUUAUCACUGAUUAAUGUCCGUAAGCUUCGUGCUCAUACUAUAUCCGCGCUCUAAAGACCCGAUGACUACGUGUGGGGAUUUUGUCCGGGUAAGACCCGAUAACUUCGUGUGGAGAUUAUGUCCGGGUAAGACUUCGUAAUAAGAAUUGCUUAUAAAUAUAUUCAAUGCGAAAGGUUAAACAAGUAUGUACUCCAAGUUUAUAUGUGAGCUUGAUUUGCACUAAAUCAUAAGGUAGUUAUGUGACGCAUACGAGAGCAAUCUAUGAGACUAUUCCUAUGAUUAUGUGACAUCGGAUCAGAGUGAGAGGUUAUGUGAAAUCAUACGAUAUAUCUAUGUCACAUGAGCUCACUUUUAUGUGAAAGUUUAUCUGCCUAUUGUAUAUGAUGAGAUGUGCAUAUUCGGUAAAGGGAUGGUAUGCCCGAAGGAAGAGUGAAAUAAAAAUACGAACAACUAUGUUAUAAUUUGAUUGUUAUCUGUUGACACUGCUUAAAACUUACUAAGCAUUGUAAUGCUUACUCCGUUUACUCUGUUUCCUCUGUUUUAUAGAUCUCAUUGCGAAGCUACAGGCUCGGGGAUCGUCAGCAACUAGUCACACUAUCACUAUCCACUGUUUGGUACUGCUAUGUUUUGGAUUAUCUUAUGGCAUGUAUAAAAUAGACUAGUGGCGGAAGAAUAUUUUGGUUAAUGUAUAUAGCCAUGCGAAAAUGGCUUAUAUAUGUUUGAGCAUAAUGUUAUAAUCAUUUGGUAUGGAAUGGUUAAUCACUAUCAUAAUUUGUGCUAUUCAUGCUAAAAGGGCUAGUUGAAUCAUGGAAACUAUGAAAUAGAUAAAGUCUACCUUAAAGGCAGAUGCUGGCAGCAGCAGUGAUGUAGAUUUGGAAAAUCACUAAAAAUAGUAGGAUUGGAAUUAAAUAAUGAAUAAAUUAUGUAAACUAACCUUGAUGAAUCUAUUUUCAUAGGAAAGUAAUGAAACAAUCAUAUGGACAGUAUGUUAAGAGAUAUUCAGGUUCUCGUGAGACAGGGCCAGAACGGUUUCUGGAUUCCCUGUUCCGACUUUGGGAAUUCAUUAUAAAUUAACAAGAGAUAAUUAGGAGUCAUGCUAUAUAUGUAUAGAUUUCUCUCUGAGUCUAGUUUCUAUAGAAACAAACGUCAUCAGUAUUGAAGCUCUGUGGAGGGAGAUAUCCAAGUCGUAAUGCAAAAAGGUCAGUGUAGUCGAUCCCUGUAACAUGGGAGACUUUGACUAAUAAACUGUACUAAUUUGCCAGACCAAAAAUUCUAGAAAAAAAUAUGUAGAUGGGAAUAUGAGUCUAGUUUCAGGGAAAAAUUACGAAACUUAUUUUCGAGUUGUGAAACUCAAGAUAUGAUUUUUAAGGUAACAGUGUCGCAGUUAGCCAACUGCCUGGAAAAUUUUAAAAUGGACUGCGAUAGUAAGCGAAUUUAGUCUGUGAACCCCUCGUGUCUGACUCCGGAAACGGUCUCGGGUACGGGGUGUUACAUACAAAAUACUUAAUUAAUUAAAAGAUGAAAAUAAAAUAUCAUCUUAUUUUUCUCAUCAUCUUCAACCUAAAAACACAUGAAAACCCUAGGAGAGAGAGAAGAAACUUUUAAGGCCUAAUUGGAUCCGAACAACAGUAAUUCAAGGUUAGAUCAAGGAAAAGAAAAGGUAUUGAAUUAGUAAAUUUCUAACGCGAACAAGUGGCGAGGUAAGUUCGUGUAACUUAAUCAGACAUGUAAUAUCUGACUUAUAUUGAUGUACAUUACUUGAAUGCUAUAAUGAGAGAAUUAAUACAUGCUUGAUAUGGUGAAAAAAGGGUUAAGUCCUGAUUGAAUAGUAAAUUCAGAUGAAUAUAUGCGCUUUCCUGAAACGAAUAAGGUCCUACAUUUGUUGUGAAUGGGAUUUAGCUCGGAUGAGUAAUCCUAUCGACCUUGUUACAGAAAGGAUUUAGCCCGAACGGGUAAUCCUGAUAUAAUACCUCUCGAGUAUACGUUAAGAUUAGGGAUUAGCCUGGACUGGUAAUCCUGUUACAUGAUAUGUGGCUUGAGAGUGUGUUCCUUGAUUAAGUGCCCUAAUGGGUACCAUUGAAUAAGAAUUGACAGAUUAUGGAAUCGUACUCCUCGAGUGUAUUACUUGAGCAUCCAUCAGAAUUUUAAUAAUUCAACGGACAUAAAACUCUUAACAUGGCAUGAGAAUUAUGAGAUGAAAUGAUAAUGUCUUGAAAUAGUAAUACAUGAUGAGCUCGUCUAUCCUUACUUGAUGUAUAUGUAAACUUUGUGACUAACAUGUUUGCUUGGAUGCAUGUGUUUAGGCAGUUUAGCCAAAUGGAUGGAAAACUUGUUAUUGUAUGCUUAGAAUUAAUAAACGGGAUUGGUAAGUUUAGUUUCCGUUAUACGAACUUACUAAGCAUGUAAUGCUUACUCCAUUUUAUUUUUCCCCUAUCUUAUAGUGCUCAGAAGCUCGCGAAGGUUGGAGAUCACUGAAGCAUCGUCACACUAUCAACUAGUCAUGUAUAGCAUGUAUAAUGGCAUGUAUAGGACAACUUGACCAUUAGUAGCUUGAUAAUGAUGUUUUGUAACCUAGCCAUUGGGAUGGCUAGUAAUGGCUUAUUUUGGUAUGAUUGAAUAGGUUAUUAUGAUAUAUAUUCAUAUGUGUUAUGUUAAGUACAUCUGAUCAAAUGGUGUUAAUGCUUAGUAAAUCCAAGGUAAGAUUGUAACUAUGUAUUCAUGUGAUAGCAUGUCAUGUUGAAUGAUGGAAAUCUCUUAAUUUAAAUGCUUGAAAUAGUUGAAAUAUGUUUGCUUGUCUUGGUGCAGGAAAAUGAUGAGUUUUGGGUGACAAAUGAGGCUAGGAAAUGGCCCCGUGUGUCUGCCCGUGUGUGACACAUGACUUGUCCCAUGGGCAUGUGGUCUGGCCGUGUGUCCCCUGCAUCUUAAAAAUGAGAAAUAGAAUGCUCAAAAUUGGUUACAUGGGUACAGACACGGAAGUGUCUCAGUCGUGUAGUUGACACCGCCUUGGACACGGGCGUGUUACACUGCCGUGUGAAAACUGCACCUAAACUUUGAAAAUUAAAUUCGCCACACGGCCUAACACGAGUGUGUGACUUGGCCAUGUGACUUCAAUUCCUUCAUACCUUAAAAUUCAGAGAGUUACACGAGUUAGGGACACAGACGUGUGUAGUACACGGCCUGACCACACGGGCAUGUCCCUAGACCAAACGGGCAUGUGAGCCUUGCAACUUUGGAAAAUUUUUGAAAUGUCGCGAAAAAUUUUAUGAGUUUUUGAUUAAGUCCCAACUUGAUUCUAAUGCUCGUAUUGGACCUCGAGGGUCCAAUUAGGGGACGUUUUGAAUAAUCUCGGUUAAUGAAUAGUCAAAUUUUUGUAAGACAUUUUGAAAGUUUUGGUAAUGCUCUGAAACCAUGUUCUGACGACAGAUGCGGGUUAAGGGUGUUACAUUUAGUGGUAAUAGAGCUACGGUUUAGUCGAUUCUCGAAUUUGACAUAGAAAACAUAACCCUAGCUAUACAUAGUGUGAUGACUCCUGAUCAUUUUAAAUGUAUUUUUCAUAUAGUAAUGACAUUCAACCGAGCUAGAGUUGAAUCCGAGGAAGCUGAGAGCAAUGCUUUAGUUCAAAGAGUUGCGUCUGCAUCUGGUAGUGAAAGGCCCUAGUCUAAGGGCCGAGGUGAGGAGGUAAAAAAGGCCUUCUUCCAAUUGAUGAAUGAGUGGUUUACCGAUUACUUAAGAACAAACCCUGCUGUACAACGACCUCCCCCACUUGCUAGAAUUGGUAAGCCUCUGAUAGAUAAAAUCUGAAAGCAUUGGGUAGAAGAAUUUAGAGCAAUUGCAGAGGGUGAUCCAAAAAAGGCUGAGUUUUGGCUAGAAAAUACUAUCCAAGUUUUUCAUGAAUUGUUUUGUACGCCUGCUAAAUGUUUAAAAUAUGCAAGAUUUCUUCUGAAGAUGCAGCUUGUCAUUGCUGGAAUACCAUAACUUCAGUGGUACCAAGAGAGAAUGUUACAUGGGAAUUCUUCCAAGCUAAGUUUAGUAAGAAAUAUGUUAGUCAGAGAUUUAUGGACUAGAAAAAGAAAGAAUUUUUAGAACUCAAAUAAGGAAACAUGACUUUAUCUGAAUAUGAACGGGAAUUUGUUCGGUUGAGCAAUUAUGCCAGAGAAUGGUUUCGAACUAAGGCUGAAAUGUGUAAACGCUUUAAAGAGGGCCAAAAUGAAGAUAUGAAGCUAUUGAUCGAGAUCCUAGAAAUAAGGGAAUUUACGGUGUUAGCCUGUCGAGCACACAAAGCUGAGGAAUUGAGUAAAGAAAAGAGACAAGUUGAAAGAGAGGCUCAGGUUUUUGGAAUAACAACCAUGAGUAAGUCACAAUCAUUUGCCUCUGAGAAAUUAAAAAAGUAUUCUGAUCGCGUUACCACCUCUAUGAGAUAUUAUAGAAGAGAGCGAGGCUCUCAGCGUUCUAACCCGAGAUCUUCAUCUCCGUCUGUGACCAGUGUGGGUAGUGUUGGUAAUCCCAAACUGACAUGUAAACAUUGUAACAAAUUUCAUCAUUGGGAUUGUCAGUUUAGAAGUGGAGCUUGUUUUGGAUGUGGUUCACUUGACCAUUUUCUCAAAGAUUGUCCAGAAAGAGUUGAAAAAGAGAUAGAACUAGCUCCAAAGCCUAGAAAUCCUGUCUCGAGGGGCAGACCACCCUGUCAUCCCGGCAAUGUUGGUGGUAGUUGAGAUACUAUCAAGGAUACUAUAGUUAGAUUUGAGGCACGAGCACCUGCAAGGACAUAUGCUAUUCGUGAAGAGAAGAUGCCUCUACACUAGACGUCAUUACUGAUACAUUUUCUCUACUUGGUACUAAUAUUAUUGCAUUGAUUGAUCCUAGUUCCAUACAUUCAUACAUAUGCACGAACUUAGUGACUGUAAAAAUUUACCUGUUGAAUUCACUGAAUUUGUGGUUAAAGUUUCAAACCCCCUAGGCCAGUGUGUUAUGAUGGAUAAAGUCUGUAAGAACUGUCUAUUAAUGGUAAAAGCUUAUUGCUUUUCGGCUGACUUGAUGUUAUUUCCAUUUGAUGAAUUUGAUGUGAUCUUGGGAAUGGAUUGGUUAACCCAAUUUGAUGCAAUGGUGAAUUGUAAGCAGAAAUAUAUUGUAUUGAAAUGUUAGAGUGGCGAAUUACUCCAUGUUGAAUCUGAUAAACAGGAUGGAUUACCUAAUCUAAUUUCAGCAAUAUCAAUACAAAAAUAUGUUAGAAAAGGUUAUGACGCUUAUCUUGCAUAUAUGUUGGAUACUAAAGUGUCUGAGUCAAAGAUUCAGUCAGUGUUGAUUGUAUGUGAAUUUCCUGAUGUAUUCCCAGAAGAAUUACCUGGUUUACCACCGAAUAGAGAAGUGGAAUUCUCUAUAGAUCUUGUUUCGGGUACAACACCUAUAUCUAUAACACCUUACAGAAUGGCUCCUACUGAAUUGAAAGAGCUGAAAGUACAGUUGCAAUAGUUGAUUGACAGAGGUUUUGCUCGACCUAGUUUCUCACCUUGGGGUGCGCCAGUUCUAUUUCUAAAGAAGAAUGAUGGAUCGUUGAGGCUUUGCAUUGAUAUAGACAGCUCAACAAAGUUACAGUAAAGAACAAGUAUCCAUUGCCUCGAAUCUAUGAAUUGUUUAACUAGUUAAAGUGUGUCACUAUAUUUUCAAAUAUUUAUCUCCAUUCUGGUUACUAUCAACUACGGGUAAAGGAAUCGGAUGUGCCAAAGAUAACUUUUAGAACUAAGUAUUGACACUAUGAGUUUCUUGUGAUGCUAUUCGGCUUGACAAAUGCGCCUACAGUGUUUAUGGCUCUUAUGAACAUAAUUUUCAGCCCGUAAUUGGACAUGUUUAUGGUGGUAUUUACAGAUGAUAUUUUGGUUUACUCUUGAGAAGAAAAUCAACAGGCUGAGCAUUUGAGAAUAGUGUUGCAAACUCUGCGAGAGAAAAAAUUGUAUGCCAAAUUCAAUAAAUGUGAAUUUUGGCUACGGGAAGUUAGUUUUCUUGGGCAUAUAGUAUCUGCUGAAGGUGUUAGAGUAAUGUAACACCCCAAACCCAGCUUAGGCGCUAUGGUCGAAUUUGGUGUGUCACAUUAAAGUGUUUUAGCUAAACUCGUGUUUUCAUUGAAAACCCUUCUUAAAAUAAAAGAACAUCUUAAAAAAAUAAACACCUUUCAAUCACUUGUUUGAAACAUAAGAUUUGAUGAAAACAUGUCACUUAAAAAUUUAGUUGCAAAAACGUAGAAAACAUACUAUAAUUUAAGAAAUCCAUGUUCAACUUCUCGUAAUUACAAUGAAAAUAACAAUAAUAAUUCGAGUAAUAAAAACAUAAUGAAAACCUUAUUACAAUCUGAUCUAAACACACUUAAAAAGAAAUAAAAACUUAAAUGCUUAAAAAAACCAAGUCUGAAUUAUCUUGCUAGCCGGCCACCCAGAGUCCCUCCAAACAUCAAACCUUCUACUGAGCAUCACUUAAAAAAAAUAAAAGAGGGGGUGAGUUUUCGCAAACUCGGUGUGUACAACCUUCGAAGAAAAACAAGCAUUCAAAGAGAAAUAAUCAAACAUGCAAUGCAAUCCCAUCCAAAUUAUCCAUCCGCUACACACAAACUUCAUCCCCCGUCACACCAUGUGGGGAUAUAAAUAUCGAUCCACCCAGCCCACACACCAAUGGUAGCCCGGUUGCGGAACUACCUUCAUUUAUAUAUUAGGCUUUAAAAGUCGUCGGUGGAUCCACGAUUGUCAGGCAACCAUGCGAUCCUCAUAUACUUCCUCCGUUCCAAAGUUCCCACCUCAUAUGCAACCUAAGCAGAACAUCAUAUGUAUGCAUGUCACAUCCAUAAAACUUACAUUCAACACCUAGGGGUAUUUUGGUCAUUUUCUCCCUUAAGGGCAUUUCGGUAAUUUUCCCUUAAUUAUGGUUUUCAAUGCACCAGGUAAGAUUCUAGAGAAGAGGAGGUGGGUGAUUAAGACCGCUUAAGUACCAAGCUCUCCAAAGAUCCAGUCCUAGAGAUACAUAUACCCGUUGCCAUACCUUAACCCUUUGACUCGUCCACGGUCAGAAUAUAUUAAUUAAGUCUUAUGUAGUUAUCAUAUACUAGGCCCAAAACCCCUUACAACGCCCAAACAAAUUCACAUACCUGUAUCUGGCCCAUUAAGCCCAAUCAUAUUCAUAUGGCCCAUUAGGAUCAAACCACCUGUAUAUGGCCCAUUAGGCCCAAAUCACAUUUAUAUGGCCCGUUAGGCCCAGUCACAUUCAUAUUCAUGCUCACAUAUAGAUUCCUAUCACAUAGCAUCAAUAUUCAGUUUUUGCCUAGUAUGGAUCCAACAGCCCAUCGGGCCUAUUUAGCCCAUUCUGGCCUGUAUGGCCAAAUCACAACCCAAGUCCACGGAAUCGCCUGUGGGUCUCAGGCAACCUAUUGGUCU
rnacentral:lncRNA from 1 species